AGAAAGGAUUGUAUGAGACUGUAAUUCCACGUCAUCCUUAUCCGUUUCCAACGAGAGAAUGACAAAUUAGAUUUUUCUUCUUGAUUUUUAGUAUUUUUAGUUGGAUUUAAAUUUUCUCAGGAGAAAAAGGUUGAAAAUCAAGAGUAAAAAUCUGAUUUGUCAUUCUCUAAUUAGAAAGGGAUAAGGAUGACGUGAAACCACAAUUUCAUAUCAUCUCUUUUCUAGAUUAAUAAUAUUGUAGAAGUGAAGGAUUAAGCUCAAGUUGAGGAAUAAUUAUCGGAUGCCGAACUUCCCAAGAUGGUCUAAGUUGAAAUAAUUUACUGUGAGUGGACUUUGGUAAAAAAAAAUAUGGUUUGUACAGCUAUGAUUAAGCCCCUGUGAACUAAAAUUUAUUCCUUAGAGCUUUCAAACUUUUUAACUGUUGAACUAAUGCUGACAGGGACAUAAAUGGAACUUUAUGGUCCUCAUACAUGAUUCUCCUCUUCUUCUUCUUCUUUUUCUCCCUUUUUUUUAACCUUAUUAUCUCUCAAAGAGACUAUUUUUUUAUUCUUCCUCAUAGAAAACCUCUUCAUCUCAUUCAUCUCCUCUUUUCUUUUGUGAUUUUUAAGCAAAACCCAGAAAUGGCAACAAGCAAAGCUGAAGGGAAAAGGAGACUGAAGGAAAUGGCGGAGGAGGAAGAAGAAGAAGAAGAGGACGAGGAUAAUAGUACUACUGGUGACGAUGACAAGAAGAAAAAAGGCAAAAGAGGGUCCAGUACGGUGGUCGGAGGCUCCUGUCUUCCCGCCUGUCAGGUCGAGAACUGCACUGCCGACAUGACCGAUGCCAAACGGUACCAUCGGCGACAUAAGGUGUGUGAGUUCCAUGCCAAGGCUCCUGUGGUUCGAGUUGCUGGGAUCCAUCAACGCUUUUGUCAACAAUGUAGCAGGUUUCAAACAAAACCCUAAUUCUUUAACCGCUGUUAUAGACUUUUAACGGUUUAACCUAACAAUUUCAUCACUUUAACUGUGAUUAUGUCUGCUUUUAAUUUCUAUUUCUAACCAAACAUUUUAGUUCUAUUUUUAUAUCUUGAUGUCUGAAUCCAUGAUUUUUUGCAAUUUUUCUUAUCUUAAUUACAUGUCUCCUUCAUUUCACUUAUAAAUCAUUGAUCUAAAUUUGUGAUUAUUUAUAGAUAUUCAUGAAUUAUUAGACUUCUUAAAAGCAUAUAGGCAAUAAUACCUCACAAUCAAUCCUAUCAAAUUCUCAUUUAUGCAUUUUUUUUUUAAAAUUUAAACAAAGUUUUUUCAAAUUAAAAGUUAGGAAAAUCCUUUUAAAAAUAAAUAAAUUUUGUAUUAUAUAUAUGGUGAAAGCUACAGUAUCAUUGACAAAGGUUGUACAAAAGAAGCCCACUUUUAUUUUCAUAAUAUAUAUAUACAUUAACAGCAGUAUACCCUUAGACUAGAUAGAUUCAAUAAGCAUUGAUAUUAUCAUUAUUUAUUAUAUAAAAUAAUUUAUUUUCUAGGAAAUUACAUUUCAUUUUCUUUUAAAGAGGUUCAUUCUCAUAUAUAGCAUUCAAACUGGUGAUGCUAAUGCAGGUUCCAUGAGUUAUCAGAGUUUGAUGAAACAAAAAGGAGCUGUCGACGGCGUUUGGCCGGACACAACGAGCGCCGUCGGAAAAGUUCAUCGGAAUAUCAUGGAGAAGGCUCAAAUUAUUAAAACUAGCUAAGAAGGCAAGCCUAUAUAUAUAUAUGCAAAAAAGAGUCAAUUCAGUCUUGAAUUUAAUAUGAUCCUAUGUAUGGGAAUGGACUUUCCCAAAUGAUCAUGUAACUAUAUGGAAUUUACUAAUUUAACCAUGCUCUCUCUCUUCUGUCAAUCUUAAUUUUACCCCUAUAAUAAUGUCACCCUUUUUCAUGCUUGCUCUACUAUUAUAUCCUUUAUGUAUGUAAUGCCUUCAUAUAUGCUUCUUAAUUUGUGGGUUUCUUUUGGUUGGUUUAAUGUUUCUAUUGUAUGCUUUUGUUUCCUUACAUGCAUUGUGUGAUUCAUAUUCUUUUUCAUGAAAAAAACAAUAACAUUUAGGGCUAAUUUUUUAUCGCGGUGAUAUAUUAUUUAGUAUUUGAGUUUAGUUUUAAUAUUCAAUUUGGUACCUGAAAUUUUGCUAUCCCAAUUUGGUGCUGAAGUUUGGUUUCAAUGCUCACUUCAGUGCCAGAGUUUUCUUUUUUUGGUCUUAGAUAAGAAUAUGAAUGUGGCUUCGAUGCUCAAUUUGUAUCUUAAAUAUCUAUGUUGUUUAUUUUACUAGAGCACACGUGUCAAAUAUUUUUUGGACCAAAUGAUGCCAUUUGAUCUGAGUAUCAAAUUGAGCAUAAAAACCAAAUUCAAGAACCAAAUUAGAACAAAAACAAACCCAAAUAUCAAAUUGAGUACUGAUACCAAACUCAGAUUGCUAAAUAAUAUAUUAACCCAUUUUUAUUCAGAUUGUCAACAAGUGAAUAUAAAAAAAAAAGAGGCUAAAAAUGCCUCAAAAGACUUUCUUUCUUUGUUUGAGAUCUUCUAAUAAUUACAUUGAGCUCCGAUUAAACUUAAAAUCGAACUGGAUCAAACCUAAACAAGAAGUAAACUUUCUUCAUUAUUAAUUUUUUCUUACACGAAAUCAGAAUCUAAAACUUUACUUAAAACAAUUCAUCCUUAAACAGGAAAAAGAGAAAACAACCAAAUUAAUUUCCGACAGGGAAGGGGUGCCUUUUUAUGUGUCAUAAUCAAAAGUCGCAUUAAAUUUUUUUCACAUGAACAACAUGUACUCUAGCUUGCGCCGUUGGUGAGAGGUAACUGCUGUUUUUUCAUAUGUCAAAUAGAGAAACAGUUAAAAAAAGAGGAGUUGACAGUUGGAAUUUUCUAACAUGUUAGUGUCUUAAAAACCACCUAAACAAGCUUCUUUUUUUUUUUUUUUUGAAAUUAUGGGUCUCUCUCAUAAAUCUUCAACUUUUAUCUCGAAUCUAUCAUGGAGAAUAAUGAGAGCAUAAAACAGUAGCAUUACGUACCGACCAUCGUUUUCCUUUUGCUUUGCCCAUUGGAAUAUCGAAGGCUGUUUAAUACUACAGCGAAAGCGUUUGUUGUUUUGUUCUUGUUGCUUUGCAUCAUAUACCAAAUUUGAACGGUUGGUCGACAGAAUUGUGUUCAAUAUCGUCCUUUGGUUACAGUCCCUUUUUGAUUCUGAGUCGAGUUAUAAAUUGGAAGAGGAGAAAUUACGAUUUGAAUUCCGGUAAUUUUUAAAAUAUUUUAAUUAAAUUAUCAAAAUAUCAAUAUUAUAUUAAUCAGCGGCUUAGAUAUUAAAUGUUAGUUGAAAUCAGAUUCAGCAGCUUUUGAUGAAGGUUGGGAAUUAGCUUCUACGGCAUGUGCCUAGAGAUAGCGAUAAGAACACAGGUUGCAUAGUUAAAAUGACUUUUGAUGGAGAAUAUAGCUUGAUUUAUAUGAAAAAACCUCUAGUGUAAUUAGCUUAUUUUUAUUCACCAAAAAUUUAAACAUAUACAUUCAUUGCAUGGACAAGUUUAGGUAGAAAACAAUAGAUUUAAGUUAUCUAUAUGGUAGGUGUCAUAGGUUGCGCAUUCUAAUCUCAGGACAGUAGGUAUAAACACACUUAAGAUUUGAUCAAUGUAUUUUAAUUAUACUCCUCAUCAUGUCUGAAUUAGAGUUUAAUGUCCAACCUGACAAUUAGGCUAAUAGAAAAUUGAGUGAUACGAUAUAAAAAUUUUGAAAACUCAUUUACAAUAUUUUUAUGAUCAAUUUAAGAUUUAAAUAUAGUUUGUUAACAUCUUGUGCAAUUAACCCUAGCUUCAAUAAUACUAACAAGAACCGAGAAAAUUGAUAAACACCGAUUAGGUUGCUUCAUAUAAUUAAAAUUGCCACUAGACCAGAUGGAUGGUACAAUACCCACCCAUUAAAACAUAUAGUAUUUGCUUACACAAAUUAUUUUUCGACUGUGACAGAUACCCUUCGUCAAAUCUCUGAAUAAUCUUAACAAAUAUCAUUCUAUCUAAAAUUAGGUCGUCAAGUUUAAUUUUUUCGAUAAGAUUAUCAUGACUCACUAUUAAUAAAUAUUACUAUCUUAUCACAUCAAGUCACAUAAUUAAUAAUUCAUUAAUCAAAAGGACUCGCGAUAGCUUAUGAAUGUCUCCCUUAAAUACAUCAUCAAAAAUUCCAUGACAAGGGACACGAAUGAGAUCAUCAACUCUCUACAAUCUCCUCGUCAGUUAUGACUCUCGAUCCACCAAGUGAACUGCCUCGACCCUUCAACUUCCAAUUAUAUCUUUGUAUGAAUUCAACACCCAGAGAUUAUUAGGAUUUCCAGGGUUUUAUGAUGAAAACAUAAUAAACAUUAGAAGCAUCCUGUGAUUAUUGAUAUAAUUGCAGCUGCAUUAUAAGCAUGAAAGGCUGUAGCCACGUGUCAUGCGUUUAGAGUGUGGCCCGUGGUUCCCAAUCCCACUCAUGUCUCUCGGUUGAUAAUGCAUGUGUUCCAAAAUCUGAUGAAUUGACUAAAGUUUAUUUUGAUUUUCUAUUUUGGAAAAUAAAGUUGGAGCAAAUAAGCCCAAGGUUCCUUUUCUUUCAUAGAUGAAUCGAGUAUGUGGACUAUAAGGAUUUGGAUAUCGAAUAUGAAGAUUUAAUAUAUUAUCAUUUCUUUUUGUCGGUUAAGUCUUAAUUCGAUUGAUAUAGGCAUUGUUAUCAAUGCAGGAGGAUGUGAGUUCAAAUGUAUUGAAACGCAUUAUCCUUUUAUUUAUGGGUUAAGGAGGAACCAUGAAUAGUUCUAGGUAUUGUGUCGAAAAAAGAACAAAUAUGAUCAGAACCUGUAAAUUUAAAAAGAUCAAUAUGAUAUACAAAGAGUAAAUAUAUUUGUUCAAAUCUAUAAUGAGUAUUUUAAAAAAUAUCAAUAUGAUAUAUGAAGAGUAAAUAUAUAUAUAUAUAGCUCAUAAACUCAGCAAAAACUUAAAAGUGAAAGUGGAAGAUUACAAGUUACAAUUAAGGGAUAAAUAACAAUGGAAUUACAUUUUCUUUUAAUUUGUAAUGCACAAAAACAAAAUUACAAACAAAAUAUAAAUAUAAAAAAUACAAAUUUAGUUUUGGGGUUUAAAUUUAAUUUAUUUGAUGUAUAAAUGCAUGCAAAUAUAUGUUCAACAUAUUUUUAUAAUUAUUUUCUUUAUUGAAAAUUUUUAUAAUUGUCUUCAUUUACAUACAACGAUGAUUAAAGCUUUAUUAUCGUAUGACAUGAGGUCAAAUCUUAUCAUUUUAAUAUUGUAUAAAAAAACAUAUUUUUUGUAUUUUUCGGAUCAAAAUACAUUAUAUCAUUCUAAAAUUAAUUUUAAAAUAUUUAAAAUUAAAAUCUUAAUAAUAGCGAAAGAAAAUCAACCUUUAAUUUUAUUUAAGAGAUAAAUCUCAAAAACUAUACACAAGGGACAUAGCUAGAGGGGCAAGUAGUGGCCUUGGUCCCCCUAACUAAGGGUUAUAAUUUCUCUUUUAGUCCCUUUUAGUUAUAAAGUAUUCAAUUUAAGUCAUUUUUGAACAAAAUUUUUAACUUUGACCCCCAAAGUUCUAAAAUUUUGUCCCCCAAUAAUGAAUUGCUGGCUUUGCCCUAGUACAUGAAUUUUGAUUUUAAUUCAAGUGUAUAUAUUUAAAGAAAUAAAUACAUCACUUUAUUUUUAUACUAGAUAAAUAAAAUUAUUUUCAUAUAUAAUAUGUAAAUAUAAAAUAAUGUUUUAUCGAUAAUUAUGUUAAUAAUUUAUAAAAAAUUAAAUCAAAUCAAAAUUUUAAAUAUAAAAUUAUAAUUCAUGUAUAACAUUAUAUUUAACCUAAAUUCAUAUAUGAAUUUUAUUCCUUUAUUUAAUAAUUGAUGCAUAUUUAGGACCAAUUUAAUCUCAAUAAGAUUUCAAUUGUGUCUUCCAAUCCAAAAUGAUUGGGCCACUGAAGAGAAAGAAGCGUACAAGGUCUGCUGGAUGAAAUUUUUGUAUGUUCCUUUGACCCAACCUUCAAUAUAUAUAUUAAUGGGAACACUUAAAAUUUGCAUUUCUUUAUUACUGAGUCUAACCAUUUAAACCCCUUGCAAAUAGUGAAUUGAUGAGGGAGUGGCUUUUUCUCUCGAUUUUGAGAAUAAUCUAAAGGAAUUCACGGAAUUUAGGGGCUUUUCUUAGAAUUGAGAGAUAAAAAUCCGAACAUAAACACUUCAAGAACAAUACCUCUAUUGAGGGUCUGAAACUAACUUAGAGAGCGACCUCUCCAUGAAUAAACAAAAAUUUGUCUCAGCCAGCCUGCAAGCUCAUGCAAAUGAGUGCAAAGAAUUGUUUCCAUAUCAAAUAACAUCAAAACAGAAGCAUUUAGAAUUCGUUAUCAUAAUAAAUAAAAAAAUAAAAUGGGCAUAUUUGUUUCAUUAUUUUACUUCCCCCUGUUUCAUUGGUAAAUCCACCAAACAAAUAAACCAAAACAAAGGCAUUGGUCCAAAAUAUCCCAAAGGAACCUUAUGUUAUAUAACCUUCGGGACUAAGAACCCAAAUCAACAACAAAAUCAAUGGGAACCCACAAGCAAAACAGGAUCUCCAUGGAUGUUGCAGCUGAUAAUACUUCACUUGAUUCACUCUCAUUUGCUGGCCUCGUAUGCAUUCAAGAUCAACAAUCCAAGCCUCCUCCCCAUACAGCCUAUCACAGCAAUAAAGAUGACCAAGAGUUCGAGUUCAUUUCCGGUACGAAUCCUCUCGGCAGUAGCAAAGUGUCGAUUGAAAACCAUGCCACCGAUCACGAAAGAUCAGUUUCUCGUGAACCGAAUCAAGGUAAAAAGGAGCAGAGUGCGUCUAGGUCAUGGUUUGGGCAGAAAUUGCUUCUAUCAUUCGUUUCCCCAUGCAGGGAAUGUCAUGCUGUGAGGCCGACUACGAAACCACAUACAGGGCCACAAGAAAGUAGCAUCAAGUUACUUUAACUUCGAGCCUACUGUUUCUUUUCUGUUUGGUCCUUUCAGAAUUGAAUCAAUUUAGAGUUAGUGUAGUUGAAUAAAAGUUACAUAGAGAGACCUUAUAUACUACAUCACUGUUGAUUCACUGUUUGGGUUAAAUUCAGCAAUAUAACGGCAGUUGGUUUUUAGCACCAUUAUAUAAUUAUCACUGCUCAUUUAUAUAUGAUUCAUCAUCAGCCAUGAAUGGUGAUUAAACUUGUGCUAAUGGGGUGAAGCUUGACCAAUAGAUAUUAGAUAGUAGAUACUCUGAAUUUUUCAACUUCAACAAUAGUUAACCUCAAGAAUGACAACGGUUCAGUUGAAAUCAGUUUUGAAAUAAUUCAGUGAGAAAACCUAGAGGUGAUUAAAGUUUUGUCCAUGAAAAAGUCGACAGACUCAGGUGUUAUCUUGCUCAGAAGGAUUCAACGAAUUUUGAAUUUUGAAGGAUAGUGAGCGAUCAGAUACAUACCCAAAAAUUGCAAUUUAAUUGUGGAUCAACUGGUAAAGAUUAACCUUACAUGGCAGGCAAGCUUAUAGAUUUUUGAAUUGUCUCCUAAGACUGUGUCUAUGGCUCUUCAACAAGACAAAGCAUUUAGCAUUUUUUAGCAUUUGAUUUGAUGCAACUUUGUUUUAAUUUUCACCAAAAAAAAAACUCAAAAUAGCAAAUCAAAUAUAAAAGAUAUUGAUGAAAAAAAUAUGAGUCAAUAAUUAAUAACGAUUCACCUGAAGACUAAGAGAUAGAAAUAAUCUUUUAAGAGAUGAGAGAGAAGAGCUCUCAUGAUUUCUCUAAUAUCGAGAGAAAGAAUAAGGAAACUUUUAAGUCAUAACUCAUAAAGGGAAAAUUUAUAUAACCCACAAGUUUCAUGUGACAAAUAUGAGGUAUAUAAGGUUAUGUAUAGAUGGUGUAUAGUCCACGUGUUUGUAGUCAUUCAACACUUUGAUGAUCAUAUUUGAAGUUUAACAAAUAAAAUAACAACAAACAAAAAUGAAUUUAAUUUAUUCAAAUAAGUUGGAUUAAAUAAUUUUUAUAUAAUUUUUUUUCAAUAAUUCAAAUAUAAAAUUGACUAUAAAUUAAAUAAAAACAUAAUUGACUCCAUGUGAAUAAAAUUUUAACAUAAAUAAAAUCAAAAUCAAAUUGAUAUUUUGCCUCUCAACCCUAGCCAGCCUUGCUUUGCAGCAAUGGUCUUGGGCUAAUUUCUUUUAAGAAAAGCCGACUUUGUGAAUGUUAAAAAUAUGAUCCUUAUCUCUUGCGGUAUAAAGAAUCUAAUUCAUAUAAAGAAGGUUAAAAUAUGCUUUUGGUUCCUGUAUUUUUUUAUAUAUUUAUAAUUUAGUCCACUAUUUUUAUUUUAGAAGAUUUAAUUUUUUUUAAAAAUCUAAGUCCAAUUAUAAGUAUUAUUAAAAUUCUUUUAUUAGAAUCAAGUUUUUUACAACAUCAUUUUUUUAUUACACGAUUACCAAAAAUGAGUUAUUUUCUAAUUUUAAAAUGUCAUAAUAACAAAUUUAAUCGAAGAAUUUUAAUUAUAUUAACAAUUGAAUCCUAAAAUUCAAAUUAUUAUAAAAAAUAGUUGAUAAUACGAUUAUUAGUAAUAAUAAUAAUAAAAUAUACAUCAUAUACAAUUUUAUCUAAUUAGUCUAGUGCAUAUGUGUUAGAUUAUUCUCUCUUUAAUAUUUAACACUUGCUCUUUAUUAUCAUAUGUUGGUUAUUGACCGAGUUCAUCAUCUGAAUUUGAAUCUGCAUCAUCAAAAUUAUCAAUAUCUCAUUCUUCCAUGUACUUUUCGAAGUAUGAAUCAUCUCAAUUCCAUAUAUGAUUUAAGUUAUGAAAUAUGCAACAUGUCAGUACGAUCCAACGUUGUUCAUUUUUUUGUUAUACUGAGGUGAUGUUGUUAAUAUAAAAAAUAAUUUUUUUAGAAUAACAAAUCUCUUCUCAACCACAUUUUCGAAAUAUUAAAUGUUUCAAAUUAAAGAGUUAGCGAGUUGUCUAUGGUGAUUGUGUUUGACACCAUUCUCUCAAAUGGUAUCGUACCCCACGAUAUGGUGUAAGAAAACUUUUUGUAUUUAUAUCAUUAACAUCAACCUUAAAAUAUUUGGGUUUACGGUCCAAAGAGUCUUUAGCUUUAAUUAUAAAAACAUAUAUAAAUUUAAUUUGAAAAAAAGACUUAUGCUAGGUUAUAUUCCAUUUUUAUAAUACAUAAAUUAAAUAAAAAAUAAUAUCAAAAUUUUAAUAUAUAACAUUUAUAAAAAAAAUUAUAAAUUGUUCCAAUAACUUUCAUAAUACUUCUUAUUAAUAAUAUAAUUUUUUUUGCCAUAACUUUAUAAAACUAUUUUUUUAUAAAUAAGUUAUCAUAAAAAAAAACUAUAACAUUUUUAUAAUGUAUAGCAUGGACACAUAAAUAAAUUAUGUCCAUACUUCUUGUCCAUAAACUUUUAUAAAUAUAUUAUAACACUUUUAUAAUAUGUAAAUUAAUUUUUUAUAAUAAAUUUUUUAGUCAUAAAUUUAGAAUUUUUUAGAAUUUAAAUAAUAUAAAUUUUUUUGUUAUAUUUUUAUAAAAAAACAUAUUUUUUUAAUAAUAUAAUUUUUUAGGACUUGUAUAUAAGUAAUUAUUUGUCAUAAUCAUCCCAAACACUCAUUCAUAUUCAUGUUUAUAAUAUAAUUUUUAUAACAUGUGUAAAAAUAAUUUUUUGUAAUUGACUUUAAGUGUAAUUACCGAGAAAUUAUUUUAUAAACUAUUCCACCACAUCAUCUAUGGUCCCUUCCAAUAAUUCAAUGAUAUUUCAAUAAUUUUUUCCAUGUCAUUAGCACAUAAAUUUUGUAAUUUUUUACUCUGAACCCCGGACCAGAACCUUAAACCCCGAACCCAGAUUCUUAAACCCUAAAUAAUCAGCCUGAACCUUGAAUCCUAAACCUCAAACUCUUAACCUCGAACCCUAAACCAGAACUUGAACUCCAAACCCGAACUCGAGCCCGGAGUUUCAAGUUCGGGGUUCAGUGUAAAAAAUUACUAAAAUUAUGUGUCAAUAACAUGAAAAAAUUUGUUGAAAUGUCAUUAAAAAUUGGAAAUGAACUAUAUAGAUGAUGUGGUGGGAAGGGUCAUAUAAUAAUUUCUCGUAAUUACCUGUAUUAUUACUUCAAUUCUCACUCUUCCCUAAAAAUUAAAAAUAUAUAAUUACAGAUAAAUACACCGAAAUUUAAUUACCAAUUUACUUUUGAAACACGAUUUUAAUGUUAAAUCGUAAUUUAAUUACAACAUGCAGAUGCAACCCUGUCAUUGUUACGUCGACACAUGUGUUACAAAUUUACAAUACACCCCCCCCAACCUAUCUUUUCGAAAUACACAAAAUAAUUUAUUUUUAAAGUCAAUUAAAUAAAAAAUCCAUUAAAUUCCAUUCCAUCUAAAGAAAUAUCGGCCAUAGAUACGGAUCGUAUAUUUAUUUAUUUAUUUAUUUAUUAGAAAUUAUUUUAUCUUAGUAAUGUUUUGAGUUUUUCUUUUCUUUUCUUUCGGGAGGGAAUGUUUACUUCUUUUACUUAUAAUAAUAGUAUAAUACCUUAGACUAAAAAAAUAAGGAUUAAAUUGAUAAAAGAUAUAAAUAUUUAUAUUUAUCUAAAUUAGGGUUCAUGCUUAUUUAUUUACAUUUUAUUUUGUGAGAGUGUGACUCGCAUUUAUCGGAAAGUUUGCAUGCACUUAAGACAACAAUCAACGAACAGUCGAAGAAAGGCCAAAAUAAGCCCAACGUCGUAACGAGUAGGUAGGGCUUGUCGGGACAACACAAUGUAAACCCCAGGCAAAUGCGGCAUCGAUGUUGUGAUGAGGAGAGCUGGUAUGUCACGACGUCACAACGUAUUCUCCUAUUUGACAAUCGCGUUUUAGGCUUCAAGCAGGACUGCUUCUCCCAGUUUUAUUCUGAUUAUUCUAGAGAUAUUUUAGUAUAAUUAGAACUCUAAUGGCCAUUGUAUUAUUGUUUUCACAUGCCAAUUAGCAAAAGUUUUUCUUUUGGGAGCAACAAGAUGUAGUCGCAAAUAAGUUUUUGGUGAGAGAUUCGUGGUAACUAUGGAGAGAAUUUUGUUCCCGAGUUAGGGUUUUAUUUUCGGGGUUGGGUAAUCUACGUUUAGCACAUUUAGGUUUAUUUUCUCUAUAUUUUACUAUCGUUUGUUUACUCAUUUAAUAAAAAGUUGAAACCUCUUUUACCUGCAGUUUUUAUCCUCUUCAGAGGAGUCUUUCACGUAAAUAUCUAUGUGUUUGAUUUUUUUUUAUUUUACUCGUUUUUUUACUUAUACGAGUAGAUCCCAACAUAUUUCAAUCCAAUAAUUAUUAUAAUUAACUUUAACAAUUAAACAUCAUAAAUGCUAUGGUAGGUUAACUUUAACACACAUUGAAUUGCAUUAUUUCAACAUUAACUAAUUUCGUUGAAGAAGGGUCCUUUGGGUGAGAAAUUUAAAAGCUUGUCCAUUUUCCCAGCCAACAAAAUAUCGAUAAUAAUUGCUCUAUAUAUAUAAUUAAUCAAAAUAAUAUAUAAGGCUAGUCAAAAUAUUAGGUAGAGUUAGUAGUCAACGGCUACAUAAUUUUUAAGAAUUUAAUUUUGCUAUUAUAAACUUUUCAUACAUUGUUAAUAAGUAACAUCAUGCAAUUAUUUUAAUUUCAUUUUUAAAAUUGAAAAAAAAUAGGAGGGCCAAAGCUAAACAUUUUGUGUUAAAAUGACUUAAAUUGAUAGAUUAAUUUCUUCAAGGGGUCGAAAAAUAUAAAUUUCCCAAACAAUUAUACUAAUCAAUUAAGGGGCCAAGACCUUGGUCUAGAAGAUAGCGUUUGGCAUGGGAAUCAAAUUAAACAUUGAAAAAGGAGAUUAGAUACUAAAUUGAAAAAAACUUAAAAUACAAAAUUAAACAUUGAAAUUAAACCAGAUACAAAAUAGUAAAUUAACCAAAAGGAAAAAAGAAAUCAUAACUUGACCCCAUUUCUAAGUUGCUUUGUCGAUAAAGGCAUUACUGUGGCACAUAACACUCCGCGGAUUGCGCACCAAAUCGUGCCCAAUUGAAAGUCAAAAGUCAACAAAGCAACUCCUCUCUCUGACCAUCAUACCAUUACCCUCAACCGUCCGAUCAAAAAGUCAAACAAACAUCAUAAGGUCAUUUAAGUAAAUUCAACAAAAAUUUCGUUUCCUCCCUCCUUUUUCAGUUCUACUCGUCAGUAGUCACGUGCCUUUCAUCGACGAGUUUGUUUCACAUAUACAUAUAUCACGUGGCAUUAUAGUAAAUCAACUAAAAACUUCCCCUUUCUUUUUCUUUUUCACAUCACCAGUCCACCACCAGGCCCCGCCACUAAAUCUCCACCGCCCCACCAUUUCGUAACCCACUUCCAUCACCGUCUGAUUAGACGGGUCCAUUAACAUUGAUGAAACUCACCUGUCGCUGAUUAUCUCCAACUCUAUUUGGUCAACUUAAUGAAGAAAAUUUUUAAAUUCUCAACAGGUUUUGCUGCAAUCACGUCCCCAGCAUAAACACACACAUACGCUCUUUCUCUCUAAAAAAGCAAUAAAUAAUAAUAAUAAAAGAUAAAAAAGAGAAUGUGAGAAAAUGAUGAGACCAUUGCCAAAAAAGAGAGAGAGAGAGCAAAAGAAACCACAGAGGAAGUGAAUCGAAGGCUUAAACUUAAGCUUAAAAGAUGCUGAGAUUUACUCUAUUAUGGCUUCUCGUUUUCUUUUUAUCUCUCGUUUCAUCUUCAGCUCGGCCCGGUUAGCUUCUGUUACUGCAUUUUUUUUAAAAUAACAUGUUUAAUUUUGUUAUCUGUGUUAUUUUUAGUUCAUUAGAGGUUCGGUUGGAUAUGUUUGAUGUGUGAAUUACAUUUGUUUUUAUUAAGCUUCUUGUAAACGAGUCUUGAUUUUUUAUAAUUCAGUUUACGAUUCGUUUUUUCUCUUCGGUGAUUUGGUAGAUUGGCUGGUUUUUGGAAUGUGAAUUUAGAGUUUUGUGUUGAUUUUUAGUGAGUUGUGAGAAUUACAUUUAUUUUGAUUAAGCUUCUUAUAAACGAGGCUUGUUUUUUUAUAAUUCAGUUUACGAUUCGUUUUUUCGCUUUGGUGAUUUGGUAGAUUGGCUGGUUUUUGGAAUGUGAAUUUAGUGUUUUGUGUUGAUUUUCAGUGAGUUGUGAGAAUUAAAUUUAUUUUUUUUAAGCUUCUUAUAAACGAGUCUUGUUUUUUUAUAAUUCAGCUUAGGAUUCAAUUUUUUGCUUUGGUUUGUUUGGUCGAUUGGCUGUUUUUUUAAACGUGAAUUGAGUGUUUCGUGUUGUUGUUCAGUGAGUUGUGAGAUUGAGUCAAAAGGAACGGUAUCGGGGGAUAUGAAUGUGUUUUUUGUGGAAUUAACAGUGUCUGGAUCGAAAAUGUAGGAAAAAUAAUCGAAAGCAAAAUCAUUAAUGUACAUUAAAAAAAAAGAAGAAAAAAUUGCUGUGAAAAGAAAACAAUUCUGCCAUGGCCAGACAGAGGAACAACAUGAAUAUUUUAUGGUUUUCUUGUGGAUACAGUUGUCCGUACCAUGCCACAGGAAUUUCUUCACCGAUUACAUAUUACUAUGUUGGUGAAAUAGAAUUCUAUGUCAAAUCUUUCUAUGGACUUGUGAAAUAAGAAAUCAAAAGAAAAUUAUAAGCAUUACCAUUUCUUGCAACAGUGAGUUGUAGCUUAGAGUUUGUGGAUAAAAGUGUAUUCACUUUUCAUAUUUUAUCUAAUACAUUCUUCUUAUAUGGUUAGUUCUUGGCACUAAAUGGCCAUGUUUUCUUGCUGCAGCACCUUUUGCUAUGCGCAUAAGCUGUGGGGCUCGUCAAAAUGUCCGAACAGCACCAACAUAUGCACUUUGGUAUAAAGAUUUUGGGUAUACAGGUGGAAUUCCAGCUAAUGCAACAACUCCAAGUUUCAUUACUCCUCCGCUAAAAACACUCCGAUAUUUCCCUCUAUCUGAAGGUCCGGAAAAUUGCUACGGGAUUAAUAGAGUACCGAAGGGACACUAUACUCUGAGGAUCUUCUUUGGAUUAAUUAAACAGCCUGAUUUUGACAAUGAACCUCUAUUUGAGAUAUCUGUUGAAGGCACCUUGAUUCAUUCACUGAAGUCAGGCUGGACUAGCCAUGAUGACCAGGUGUUUGCUGAAGCCCUUGUGUUUCUUUUAGAUGGCACAGUAUCUAUUUGUUUCCAUAGCACUGGUCAUGGAGAUCCAGCAAUUAUUUCUAUUGAAAUUCUUCAAGUUGAUGAUAAAGCAUACUAUUCUGGUCCAGAGUGGGGGAAAGGUGUUAUCCUGAAAACAACUUCAAGACUGACUUGUGGCACAUCAAAACCAAGAUUUGAUGAGGAUUAUAGUGGGGAUCAUUGGGGUGGAGAUAGAUAUUGGGAACCCAUCAGAACUUUUGGCCAAAAUGCUGCCGAGCCGAGAUCUACUGAAAAUAGCAUUAAACAAGCUUCAGAUGCACCAAACUUCUAUCCAGAAGCCCUUUAUCAAAGUGCAGUUGUUAGUACUGAUAGCCAGCCAGAUCUAGCUUAUACAAUAGAUGUGGAUCCCAAUAAGAACUACUCCAUAUGGUUACACUUUGCAGAGAUUGAUGCUUUAGUCACAGAUGCUGGGCAAAGGGUGUUUGAUGUUCUGCUUAAUGGUGACACUAUAUUUAAAGAGAUAGAUAUUUUGAAGCUGAGUGGUGACCGGUAUACUGCACUAGUGCUUAAUACAACUGUUGCUGUUAGUGGUAGGACACUGACAAUAACCCUUCACCCUAAAGAAGGCCACCGUGCUAUCAUUAAUGCCAUUGAAAUCUUUCAAGUAAUAGCUGCUGAGUCCAAAACUUCAUCAGCAGAAGGUAAUGCUUUCUUCUAUUAUUUCUGCAGACUGUUUAUGCUGAUGUGUGUGAUUGGUCAUUGGAAAUUGUUUUUUACUGCAAAUGACCAAGGUUCUUCAUGAAAGGUGGUAGAUAUUUACUAACUUGUUGAUAAUUCCUGAUUCUAGUUAGGGCCUUACAGGCAUUGAAGAGAUCACUGGGGCUUCCAAAUCGUUUUGCGUGGAAUGGAGACCCAUGUGUUCCCAAGGAGCAUCCAUGGAGUGGAGCUGAUUGUCAAUUUGAUAAAUCUGGCAGCAAGUGGUUCAUUGAUGGCCUGUACGCUCUUGAGCAUUUUCCUAAUCAUUGAGCUUUAUUAUUUAUUUCUGCUGAGAAUAUCUCUUCUUUUCAGUAUGCUUCUGUUGAUGUCUAUGCUAUGGCCUAUCCAUUGUUCUUGAUAGCUAAAGCUAUUCUUGAACUGUUUUCAGCAUUUGAGUUUGUUUGUGUCAUGUUAAAAAAAUAUGAGAACAUGUGCAUAUGCGAGGAAAUUAUAUUAUCAUGUGAGAAGAAAUUAUAAGUCAAAGCUGCUUCCAUUGAUCUCUUCUCUUCUAUUUGGUUUUACCUAACCCAUUCGGCCCUAAUAUCUGCACUUCAUUCGUUCCUACAUCAUCUCUGCUCUCUGAUUUUCUGAAUGCAGAGGAAGCAUCAAUGAUCAUAUACGCAAAUUAGUUUUUGGAGGGGAAGCAUCAAUUACAUAUAGCAAGUGUUUCCUAGAAUAUAUAUGUAUCCAUUUUAUGAGCCUAAAAUAUAACUGUUUUAAACUUAUAUUUGCAACUUUAUCAUUUAAAGCUUAAUAUACGUUGCCUUCACCAGUUAUAUGGGUUUACCAUAAGUAAUUGUCUUUUAAUUUAUGCAUGACAGUGAUCUUGCCAACCAAGGUCUUAAGGGGUUCUUGCCUGAUGACAUAUCCAAACUAAUUCAUCUACAGAGCUUGUAAGUACAGAUAGUUCUUUUCUAAGUUUCACUGACAGAAAAAUUAUUUUCCCUUGCUUGCUUUCUCGAACUAUCUAAAUGUUUUCGCAUAUUCUUAAUUUUACAAUAAAUGAACCUCCUCUUCAAAUAUGCCUAAUAUCCAUUUCUCUUGUUUAUGUUGAGCUUGGCCUUGAUAGAAACUUGAGUGGAAACACAAUUCACGGGGUCAUUCCACCAUCACUUGGAACCAUAACCAGCUUAGAAUUGCUGUAAGUGUAUCAUGAUUUCUUUUCCUUAUUGAAUAUUCCUUUGAUUGUAAUGAUUUGUGUAUUUUCUGCAUGAACAUGCGAUGUUGGGUUUGAUAUAACCAUCAUAACUAAUGUUUUCUUGAUCAGUAGCACAUCCUUGGAGUUGUUUGUUGCAUUCUUCUUUCAAUAACAAUCACACUUGAAAGGACACUAAACUCUUGAUGCUAGAUAUUGGCAUUCUUUUCUUGAAGGAAACUUUGAGUUUAGAGUCUGAUGUCUAGCUAAGAGAAGCACAUGACUAUUUCACUUUAGAACACAUUUCGCUAGGCUCUAUCAAUGUUAUUCAUAUGAUGUCUGGAUACAAAUUGCAGGGACCUCUCCUACAAUUUCCUCAAUGGAUCAAUUCCUGAAAGCCUAGGGAACUUGACCGCAUUGCGCAGAUUGUAAGAAUUCAUUUGCUUGACCCGGAAUCUGAACAUACGACUGAAGAACCUGAUUGAAAUUGUGAUUGUGCAGGAAUCUUAAUGGCAACUCUUUGUCUGGAAGAGUCCCAGGUGCACUUGGAGGAAGGCUUUUGAAUGGAGCUAGCUUCAAGUAUGUUCUCCCAGAAUUUCGUUAGUAUUUGCCUGAAAUGUUCUUUAUGAGUAUCAAAACUGCCACAUAAUGAUCAUAAGUAAACAAAUUCUUAUACAAGACAAACAAGCACAUGCACUUGCACAUGCUUACUCUAGUUGCUUGCAGUUUUACUGACAAUGCUGGUCUCUGCGGCAUACCCGGAUUACCUACAUGUGGACCCCACCUCUCUGCCGGUGCAAAGGUUGGCAUUGCCUUCGGUGUAUCCCUAUCAUUUUUACUUCUUGUUAUCUGUUCAGUUUGUUAUUGGAAAAGACGGCAGAACAUUCUUCGAGCACAGCAGAUAGCAGGUUAGUACCUUCAUGAUUUAACAACUUAAAAAAUUUAUUUGGUGCUUUUUUCUCUCUUUUCUCUGCAUUGCAUAUUCAUAUUUCAUUGGCUUGUGCAGCAAGAGGUGCUCCAUAUGCAAAAGCAAGAACCCAAUUCUCGCACGAUAUCCAAAUGUCAAGGCACCAUAAUCAUGGCCAUACUCGGACAGCUGCUGAGAAUGGACCAAGCUUGCUAUCGUGAUUAAAAUCAUAGUAAUAAUCCCAACUCUUCUUGUUUGGUUCUGCUAGCACCACAAUCAUUUCUUUAGCUCAUGAUGCUUCUGCCUAAAUCUUCUUUAUUUUGUAAAACUCUCUCCUUAAAAGGCCCCUAUAGAAUCACUUCGAAAAGGUCAGAUACCCCAACAGUCACAAAAAAAAUGCAGCAAAACUGAAGUACAUUAUCUUCUGUGAUGUGUGAAUUUUGGAAGGAAAAUCAUUGUCUACUCGCUCGGGUCGUGGCAAAGUGGGAAAACGGCGAACACCUAAUUCUCAUGUAAGCUUUGUUUUAGUCAGUUUAAAUUCAUUCUAAUUGUUUCUUAGAUAUUUGUUUAGAUUUUCACUUUAGCAAAAUAGCAUAUGUUUAUGUCAAAUAGUCUUGUUUAUAGAUCAAUAUACAAAUAAUAAUAUACAAUUAUAAUUUAAGGUCUUAUUUAUCCUAUAUUUUUUAUGAAAUUUUUCUGCAUCCGAUAAAAGUUUUCAUUAAAUUUGAAUUCAAGUAAUAUUGAAUUCUUAAACGCGAGACAAGUUUUCUAGUGCUGUUUUUUCGUUCAUAUGAUUCGAAUUCAAAAUUUUUAUCAUUCGUCUUGAUAGUAAAGGGUUUAUCUUUAUAGUCGUCUAUUAUUAGGGUAAAGAAAAUUUGAUUUAAUGAUUCCUAAUUAAAUUUGUUCAUGGAUUGAACCAUUCGCUCAAGUUUGAAAGCCUGUUCGAUUGUCUCGUUUAAAAUAUGGUUCGAGUUUGAGCUUGAACAUUUAAAGCUCAGUCUCACCUUGGCUUAUUUUUAUUGUUUGUAAUGUUUUUAUAUUAUAUUAUAUUUAUAUAUUAUAUAAUUUGUAACCUAUGAAAAUUAAAUCUAUAGUUGUAUUAUGACUAAAAAAUGUUAAUAUGACUAAAAUUUUAAUAAAUGAAAAAUAUAUAAAUUUAUUAAAUUUUAAAUUAAUAAUAAUAUAAAUAUAUAGUUUUUAAUUUUUUUAAAAUGAGUUAACUUAAAAUAAGAUUAAGUUUGUUAAUUACAAAUAUGGAUGAGUUUAAGUAAAAUUUUAGUUUCAUAUUUGAAGUAAAGUUAAUGGCAAGCAUAAUGUCUAAUCCAUGGAAAUUUCUAGUUUUAACCCAGCCCAAUUGAUAGAGUCAAGGUUUUUUUUUUUAAUCAAUUUUUCAAUUAGUUGAAUUGGGAUCAGGUAUAGAAAAAAUCUACCCUACUCUAAUAUUAGUUUAAAAUAAUGGAUAUAAAAAAGUGAUGUUACCAUAAAUAUAGCUAAAAAUAACUAAUUGUCUAAUUAAGAAGUAUUAUUAUUAUAUUUUGAUAAAAAAUUAAAAGUAUAAAGGUUGAUCUGUUUCUAUAGUCAUUAUAUUUGUAUUUCUAAGAAUUUAGUGCAUUUGCUUUUUAAAUUUUUAAAUUUUGGUUUACCUUUUUUUUUGUUAAAUUAUUGUCGUGACAUUUUAAAAUAUAAAAAAAUUAAUGUGAUAUUUACGAUCAAUAACAUGAUGACACAUGUAGCGUGUCAAAAUGUAAGGCUACCACGUAUUACAAUGAUACGUUAGCGUAUUUGAACGGUGUUAGUUAAGUGUUUAAAAAAAUAUUAAGUUGACUUAAAGUUUUCAAGUUCAAAUAUAAGAUAGAUCCAAAAUAAAUUCAAGUACUAAAUAAAUAGAAUUUACAAAGUUGAGGUAGUUUUGUAUAUAUUAAUUUUGAGGCAAGUAAUAAUUACGUAUGAAUAGUAAAUUCUAAUUUGUUUUAAUUAUGACGCCAAAUUCUGCAUUGAUUGACAUCAUGCUUCGGUCUAUGUAGGUUAGAGGUCUGACAUUGUGAUUUCCACGCAGCGAAUCCAUAUCCCUAAGUCCAAACAAAUAAGGUAUAUGAAUGUUUUUGUUAAUAAAUACAAAAACCGAUAUUUAUUAAAAUUAAUUAAUAUAUGAUUUAUAAUAAAUUAUAAUUAAAAACCGAACAUGAAUCUGAAAAAUAAUAAAAAAAUUUAUUUACUUGAUAAAUUAUUUUAAAUUUUAGAUAAGCCAUUAGUAAAUUGAAAAAAAUACUCUCUUCUUGAGAGGUGUUGAGGUUCGGUUCUAAAAAAAAGAUAAUGCUCAACUUCAUUUUCGACCCAACUUGAUCGAUUCAAUAAGUUCAUUUCACUAUUAAAAAGAGAAUAAAAUAUUAAAAUAUAUAUUUAUUUAUAUUUUAUAUAUUUCUAAAAUUAAAUUCAUAUUAUGAAUUUGUGAUUAUAUUUUUCAAAAAUACUAAUUUUUUUUAAACUUUUUAAAAUAUUUACAUAUUCGGUAAAUUCAUUAACCAUAAAAUUUAAAACUACUACAUAUCUAAAAUAAGGAUAGAACCCUCAGUGACUUCAUUCUUAUUUAAUAUUGAUGUAGUGUAAUAGCAAGACAAGAAUCAACAGCCCUAAAAACAUACAACAUAAAUAAAUAAAAUAAAAUAAUAAUAAUAAUAACAUCACGUGAGAAGGUGUCAGUAACCUGCAGUGAUUUUCACCCCCCCUACCCCUUUCUUCCUUUCACAGUUUCUCUUCCCAACACUGGACUGCUGCUGCUACCCUUUUUUUCCUGACUCUCAAAACCGAGUCCAACACGCCACUCCACUUCACUCCAGACUCACUCCCUCCCCAACUCAAACUCGGUCCUGUCUCCUGCAACUCAGACACCUCCUUAUGUACCUUCCACGUGGGGUCUCUAUCUCUCUCCUCUGCUAUUCACCCUCCCACUCAACUACCCCACACGUCAUACCCUCUCCUCCUGCUCUCUGAUCCUCUCUCUGCCAUCUCCACCAGUCCCCACUCUUAUAUUAAUCAUCAUCUUUUCUAUUUCUUUUAGGCAUAAUACCUUUUCCCACCGUCCAACUUUAUGAAAAACUCAUUUCAGUCCCAUUUAUUUUUUUCACCUUUAAAUAUAUGUUUUUUAUCAAAUCACUUCAAAAUUUAUAGAAAAAUUAAAUUUCUUUUAAAAUUUUCUGUGGUAAUAUACAUGUAAAUUGCAACAUGGAUAACACGUCAAUAUUUAAUUAAUUUUUCAUUAAAUUUAUUAAAAAAGUAUAAAAAUUUAAAAAUUAAUUAAAUGCUGACAUGUCAAUUCACGUAUAUGCCAUGUCAAUACAGUUAACAAACGUAGAUUUUUUUAUCCAUUUUAAGGUGAUUUGACAAAAAAUAAAAGUUUAAAGACUAAAAAGAAACUAAAAAAUGAAUAGAGCCCUAAAAUGAUUUUUUUCGUAAAGUUAGAGGGUCAAACACGAUAUUAUGCCUUUCUUUUAUUUAUAGUUUUUAUACUGAAAGAAUAUUAAAUGCAGGCGCCGCUGAAUACCCGUACAGAGGAAAAAGAAUAGGGCAUACGUAAGCACCGGCGCUGAGUUCACUCAGUUGACAGACACACCUCCCCCCUCUGCUCCACACGUCUAAUCAGGCGGCGGCUCUCUCUUUUCUUUAUUUAAAUAUAUUCUUAUUUUAUAAUGGGUUAAUGUCUUGGUUAGUCCUUGAGCUUUCAUCUAAUGGGCAAUGUGAUAUUUAUAUAAAGAAAAGGUCUAAUUUGAUACAAAACUUUAAUUUAAUGAUUGGUGGUGGGAUUUGAUUAAAUUAUUAUUUCUUAUUUUAAGCAAUAAAUAAAAUUUUAAAAAUUAUAUUCAAAAUAUUAUAUCAAUCAUAUAAUGACAUUCAUUUAUACGUCCUUGUGAAGUCAUCAUGAAAUUAGAUGAUAUUAAAGCUUUGGGGUAGGUUGGUACAUAAUAGAAUAGUAAGAUUUCUAAAAUCAGAUUGAUGAUCGAAUCAGUUAGAUUAUCGACUAAUUCAUAAGUCAACCGAUCUAAUUUUUUAAUCACACCGAUGCUCAAAACCAAUUUAAUCCAAUUCAAACAACAUUCCGGAAUAGUAUAGAUACCAAAUUGAAUAUUUUGGUUAUACAAAUACUGGAUUAGAUAUUAAAUUAAAGUUGAGGGGCUAACUAUGGAAUUAGCAUUUAACAUUUAAAUUUGCAGUAAUGGGUACGGGAGAGACCGUAGUGGGUCACUUCUUUUUAACUACAUACAAACGCACACAAAGUCCCCUCCGGUCUCCCUUUUCAUAUCAUAUUUACUUUUUCUUUUUUUUCUUUAUAUUUUCUCUUCCACUAAUACUAAUAACCCCCAAAGCUAAAACCUUUGAGCUUCUCUUUCAUGGCGUCCUCAAGGGAAGGUCACUACAGAGGUGUAAGGAAGAGACCGUGGGGAAGAUACGCAGCUGAAAUACGUGAUCCAUGGAAGAAAACAAGGGUUUGGUUAGGUACAUUCGACACACCCGAAGAAGCUGCACUCGCUUACGACGGAGCAGCUAGGUCCCUCCGUGGUGCCAAAGCUAAAACCAACUUCCCCACACCGUCUUCCUCUUCUUCUCCGCCGCCGGCUCUUUCUCUUGAUCUUAAUCUCGCUUCUCAUAAUCCCCAUCGUUGGGCUUUAGCUUCACCUCAUCACCAUCACCGUUUUGCCGCCGUCGGUGAUUUCCUUCAAGCUGGUGGUAUUAAAGAUAUGAACUUUGGUCCCGACCCAUCGUCUUCGACGAGACCCAAUGUCCUCUCCGUUUCAACUUCCCCUCCGGUGACCGCAAAUGGUAACACGGCGUCGUUUCUUGGGAUUGUUCGACGUGGUUUGCCUAUAGAUUUGAAUGAGCCACCUCCACUGUGGCUGUGAAUGUGGUUUUUCUUCUCUAGGCAUUUUGCAGGCUCCCUUUUUAACCUUUAACCCUUCCUUAGGCAUCUUUGCUACUUCUGUUUAGUAAUUAUUCUGUAUUUUGAGAACUAAGAAUCAUAAUAAAAAAAAACAUAUUAAAAACUGAGGACCCUUUGUGUAAAUAUAUGUUUUUUUCCUUAACUUAUGUAUGAUUUAAAACACUUUAUCAGAUGUUUUUAUCUUCAUUUUUUUAUUUUACUGCAUGAAUAUGAUUUAAUCGUCGAUUUUAAUCUGCUACCCGGGAACCAAACAGAUACAGAUACAGAAUCUCUGUUUCUAAAGCCAUAAAGGAUGCAUCUUUGUUGAGGAAAAAAAGAAAAAGCACAUGCACGCGCAGGUUAGGUGCGAGUGGGGCUUGGACAGUUGGCGAUGGCAGCUAACACUGUGUAAAGUUGGGGGGUGUAUUUAGACGUGGUACAAAAUGCGAACCAAAGCGUGUGGAUUUUGCAUUCCUAUUAUAGCUCGCGUGUUCAGAGAUCUGGUUUACAUUAAAGCAGCAGCUUAUUGUUUAGACCAACUCGCUUCGUCGCGCGUUCUUUCUACUCUCCAGUUCCUAUUAUAUUGCCCCCGGAAAUAUUAGUUUAGUUGAUUUAUUAUUCAUUUGCCAAGUUAUUUUAUAAAACUUUAAAUACAAUUUUAUCAUUGUUCUAGCAAAGGUUAAUUUAUUUUUAGUAUGAUGUCUUUUAACUUUCCUUUUUUCAGUCUUACAUUAUCGUAUCUUACUGCUAUUAUUAUUUUUACACUAAUUUUUACGUUAACUGCAAAUAAAUAUACCUUCUAUUUAGAAUCUUAUACAUGGAUCUGACAACAUUUUCUACCCCUAGAAUAUUGGGUCGUGCUUUAACUUUAGAGUGAGGUACUUCUUACUUAAACCCUAAUUUGCUUUUUCAAAUAAAAAUGGGAUUUAAGAAAAUGAAGGGAAAUUUUGUAGAAAAGGCAAAUGGUGGGGGAUUUUAUGGGAAAAUGUGGUCCAUUUUGUAUCUUGUCCUUGCUUACCUACCUCUUGCAUGCCUCAAAACCUAUGAAAGUUAUCCAUUACGAAUAUAAUAUUUGCUUCUUUUCAUAUGAAUCAAUAAAAGAAAAUAUAAUAACACUGUUGUGUAUGAUAUUAAAGUUUCCUGGUUUAAGUAUUAAUUCUAAUUAAUAGUUUAAGUAUCACAUUGAACAUUUUCAAAAUACGUGUAUUACAUUAUAUAUUUUAUGAAAACAUAGAUUUCAAAUAAUGCACAAAUUGAUCGCAUUAGAUAUUUUCAAAGUAUAUGUAUCAUAUUGGGCAUUUCAUAAAAGUACGAGUACAAAAUGAUUACCUUACAGUACACCCACUAUGUCGGUGACAAAAAAUUAUUGUUUGUGCUCGUAAAGAACCUCAAAAUCAUAUCCAUAUUCGUUUGUUUAAAAUUAUAUAUGCUUGUAUAAUCUCUUGUUUGUAUUAAAUGUACUUGUUUUUAAACAUCAAACAAAUAUGUUCGUGAACAUGACACAAAUAUUGUCACGAACAUAUAAUUGAACAUGACCAUAUUUGUGAACAAAUAUACAUUUAAUCGUGAAUAAUAAGAGAAACAUAAAUAAACAGACAAACAAUAGUAAUAUUAUCAAUACUAUAAUAACCGAACAAUAAACAAGCUUCAAUGAUUUAUUAAAUGAGGUUAUUCAUGAACAUUGGUGAAUUAAAAUGUCAUGUUCUUGUUCAGUUUGGUUAAUAAACAAGUCUCGGAAUCCUGUUCAUGUUCGUUCACUUAAUUUUACAAACGAAUGCAAAUGAACAAAAAUCAUCCAACACCGUAUUCGCUUACAACCUUAAUAUAUUCUAGUAUUACUAACAAUGAUACAAGUCUGAUAUAAAAAGCACAAAUUUGAAGUAGAUUGAUAAGCCAAAAUCAAAAGCCAAAUAGGGUUAAAACAUAGUGGCAAAAAUGUUAAAAGCAAUGUACCAUACUAUUAUUGCACUAUGCUUUUUAAAGGAUCAUGCGGAAUGGAAAGACUUUUGAGUCAAAAUAAAAAAGGCAAAUUGGCAUAUUGAUAGCCUUCCAUUGAAUAGUUUCCACCCAAAAAAAUUCCCAUUGCCAUAUUGGUUGUGUACCCCCCAUGGAUAAAUAAAGGCCAAAAGCAUAAUAAUGUGGUUGAGGCGGCCUAGCUAGCUAGGGAAUACCAACAUUGGAUCGUUUUAACCCCUAAAAUGAUGGCUUAGGGUUUGGCAGAUCAUGGUAGAAACAUUGAAUGGUAUUCAAACCACAUCAUGGGAAGGUUGUCUUGUUGCAACAAAAGAUAAAUUAAUGAGAUGUAUACAUUAAAGAUUGUUUAGGUAAAUCAGUGAAUACAUUUAUAUUUGUAGGGUUUCUUUCAGAGUUGAAAUUUGUUACAAAAGUUGAGUAAUGUUGAUACAUGGUAUCAACAGAAGACGAGAUGGAGGGGGAUGGAGUCCCGGUUCAGAAGAAUCCAAACUCCGAAAUGGAGUAUCUGAGAUUACUUAAAUUAUAGCUAUUUUGGAUCGGUAAUCAAAUUAAAUUCCGAGUCGGAUUAUUAUAUAUUUUAUUGUAAUUAUAUAACAAGUACAAGCAUCAAUUUAAACCCAAUCAAUCUAAAGAUCAUAUUGUAGUUUUAGUCUCGAGUACUUCUAAUGAACUCACUCAGCAGCAUACCUAACAUUUCCUACUUGAUGUCUAUACCUUCAAUAGCAAAUACCUCAUACAAAAAGGAAUAAAUAACAAAAAUUGCAUCAAGCAAAAUAACUCCAAUAGAUUUGCUUUAAUACUCUUAUGUUCAUGGUUUUCAUGGAAAAUUGUAGUCCCUAGUUAAACUGAGUGACAAUUAGUUUUUUGGUACUUUUCAUUUCGGUUUUAAAAAUUCAUAUUUGAGGUUUGUAAUUAUCUUCCUCAUCAAUUUUAUCUUUAAGAUUUGAGCAUACGUCUCCCCUUAAAAUACGUGUCUAACCAAUACAUCGAUCACUUAUUGCUAAAUUUAUGACAAUGAAAUAAUCCCCUUUAUAUAACAAUAUCACCCAUAAAUCAGCUCUAUCUUUAUCCCUAAAAAAAAGAAAAAUCCUACUAAUUAACAAAUCUUCACAUUUCAAAUCAAAUCUAAUCAAAUCUCUAUUGAGUUAAAAAUAUUGACUAGUAAGAUAUGUUCAUAUUAUUGCAAUAUUUGUAACAUUCAUUUAAACAACAAUUUACCCAAGUUCAAUUAUCGUUUUUUUAAAAAAUCACUUUUUUUUAAUUUCUCAAGAUAUCUUCUGUAAACCCAUUAAGGGAUAGGUGCUGAUCACGAGUUUUAAAAUUACUCCAUACCCUCAUUUAAUUAUCAACUCGCACGAGUAAUAUAUUUAUCAUUAUUUUAUUACCUCGAUGGGUUAUAUUUAAAUAAAUUUAACCUAUGAUUCAUAGCAUGUAAUGAAAGCUAAUAGUUUUCUCAUUGACAACUUUUUCUCCUACAUUUUUCAUUAUAUAUAUAUAUUCAUCAACUACAAAUUUAAUGUUAACAAUGUCGUAUUGAUCUCGACCUACCAAUCUUAAAUUAUUUUAUGUUCCAUGCAUAUGAUUACAUUAUUAUCUAACCCAACAAACUUUCUUCAAUCAAUAAUUUUCAAUAUCUCUGAUUUUUUUAGAAAGAUAAAAUUUUCGCCAUUCAAUCAUUGGUUAUCCAUCUUUAGUUAGAUAGGUUAUAAACUAUUGGUUAAAAUAUGUUGUUAGUGCUUAUACUUAUAUAGAAUUUGAGUUUAGUCCCUAUACUUUAAAUGCUAAAAAUCCAAUCUUCCUAUUUAUUUUGAUUUAUAAAUCCUAAUCUAAUCAUUAUCUUCGUUGGCAGUUUUUGUUACAAUUUAUCAACCCAACAUGUUUAUUUCCUGUCAAUCAUAUGUCGUACAUCAUACAAGGUCGACAAAUUAUGACAAAAAAUACUUACAAUUUUAAUGACAGGUUGAGAUUUUUAGAUCAAUAAAGUAGGAGGACUUAAUUUUUGGCUUUUAAAAUGUAGUGACUAAAUCCCAAAUACUAUAAAAUUAGAGCGACUCACAUCAUAUUUUAACCUAAACUAUUCAAUGCAUCUUUAAAAAUAAUAAUUUUAUCAAGGUACAUUUCUUUUUUCAGUAUCACUACAAUAUGAAUUAUAUAUGAUUGUUGACCCUCUAACACGAAAUUAAAAAAUAUUAAUAUAAUAUUCACAAAGAGCACACUAAAAACAUUCUUUAACAAAUAAAUAAUAUAAUCAGUAAAAAUGUAGAGCAUCACUUCAAUACAAAACCAAGUAAAUAAUAAAGAAUUAUUGUCGUCACUAAAGCAAAUUCAAGAAUAAAAAUGCAAAAUUCUUAAUAAAUUAAACUAGAGAGAUUAAAUUCUUAAUUUUGAAAAAGUAGAGGGAUGAAAAUAAAAUUAGACCUAAAACACUAUUGAAACAUGUUUCGUGGUUCUAGUUGUAAAACAACUAAAGGCAAGAGGCUUUGUAGUUUAAGUUUAGGCGGUGGUGACCAUAAAUCAAUUUGAAGAACACAAAAGAUUACAACUUUGAUUGAUAACAUAAUGUAUAAUGUAUGUAGGAGUAGAGGAGGUUCCUUCUCUAAGGUCAACAUAUGCCAAAUUUACAUCUCUUAAUCAAUGUUACUAUCUAUAAAAUUCGAAUCUAAUUUAUAUGCACAAAGCAGAUAAAAGUAUCGUGAAAAUUCGUAUAUUACAGGUUUACGUUUUGCACCCUUUACUUUAAAGCAGACAAAUUAUUCAUUGUAUGUUAAAUCAAAAGGUAAAUUAAAAAUUACAUCUAUUUAUACUGUUAAAAACUAAUAUAACUAACAUAAUAACUAGACAGUGACAUGUACACUUCAUCCUAAUGUAUAUAGACUAAUUUUUAAUGGUAGAAAUGGAUAAAAUUUUUAACACAAGGACUAAUUUACUGUUUAAUCUAACAUACAUGGACUAAUUUAUUCAUUUUUUAAUAGAAGGGACAACAUAUAAUUCGACGCUCUUAAAAUAGUGACCUCUAUAGUGUUAGGAUCGUCCCGAUUAAGCAACGAACAAGUAAAAAUAGUAGAAGAAAUUGAGAAGAUGAACACACAAAUUUAACGUGGAAAAACCCCUCAAAAGAGGAUAAAAAACCACGGGCAAAGAUAAUUUUACUAUAAUGGCAAAAGAAUGAAGAGUACAAAAGAUGGAGAUAAAAACUAAACCUCAAAAACCCGAAAAACAAAGAACCCUCAAACGUAAACACAAAAUUCUCUGAAUGUGUUAUGAGUUCUAAUCUAAUGGGUGUCUCUUUAAUUCUAAGAUUGUAAAGGAGCCUAUUUAUAGGCUAAAUUAGUAAGUCAAAUAAACUAUACUAAUAAAUGCUAAAUAUAUUAUACUAAUAAAUACUAAAUCUUCUAGAAAGAAAAUAUAUUUUUGUUUAACUUGACUUGCAAGCAAUCUCUUAGAAUUUGGGUCACACAAUUCUAACAAUCUCCACCUUAACACAAAUUCUUUCAAUGCCAUCUUUGCCAAAACCCGCCACGGGCCUAUCUUGAACUAUGCAGGGAAUUAACUGAGUCGAAUCUAUGCUUAGAAGCUGGAAGACUUCUAGCCUUCGACUUGUGCACUGCCAAAUCAAAACUAACCCGGGUCUGAUUUUCACGAAUACAGUGCCCUAACUUUUCAAAACCUGCAUCCAAAAGAGAACCUCUCUUCAACGAAACAGUCAUACCUUUUUUCCUCCUAUGACCAAGUUGCCUCCGCUUCAAAUGAGUUGACUUUGACUCCGUAACGGACGAGAGACGUCCGAUUUCACCGGUUACUGUAGAACCUUCCAGAAUAUAAAGACUGCCGGUUCUUUUACCUUUUAACAAAACGAGAGCUCCACGAGAUACUUUAAUGUCGCUCGACUCGAUGUUGAUUCUGCAUCCUUUCAAGUCUAAAAUACUCAAGGAGAUGAGAUUCUUUCGUAAAUCAGGUACAUACCUGACAUCUGAGAGUGUCCUAAUCGUCCCAUCGUGUAUCAUAAUUUUAACAGUACCAAUACUGAUUAUUUUACUAUAUGAAUCGUUUCCCAUGUGCACAACUCCACCUUCAACUGAACUGUAUGUGGAGAACCAUUCUCUAUUAGGACACAUGUGGAAAGAGCAUCCUGAAUCUAGGAUCCACUCAGACGUAAGCUUGGAAUUAUCGCUCGUUGACACUAACAAGAAAUCAUCAUCGCCUUCAUCGACCAAAUUAGCACCAGCUACAUCUUCCUCGUUACUCUCAGCAGCUUUUUUAUUUCGCAGUUUAUAACAAUCUGCUUUGACGUGACCUAACUUUUUACAAUAGCGACACCUUUUGUCUCGUUUCUUUGAUGCUACCAAAACGGAAGCUUGCCUAUCUGCUUUGCUAUUCAAACCAAACUCAUUGUCGAGUUUGUCUCUACUCAACAAAUGACCCUUCACAUCUUCGAACAAGAGUUUGUCUCUGCCAUAAAUCAGGGUUUCCCUGAAAGACUUGUAUGAAUAGGGUAAAGAGCAUAAUAACAGCAUAGCUUGAUCUUCAUCGUCAAUAUGAACCUCAACGUUCUUUAAAUCAUUUAAAAAAGUGAUGAAUUGACUGAUGUGAUCUUUAAGAAGCUCACCUUCGUUCAUGCGAAACGUAAAUAGACGUUGUUUCAACACUAAACGGUUAGCCAGAGACUUAGUCGCAUAAAGAGUUUCUAACCUUUUCCACAAGGUGAAUGAGGUCUUCUCCAUCAAUACCUCCUGCAAUACUGUAUUCGCGAGGCACAACUGGAUUGCAGACAAUGCCUUUUCAUCGAGCUCUUCCCAUUCUGUUUGAUUUAGAUUCUUAGGCUUUUUCCCUGUAACAACCUUUUUCAAGCCAUUUUGAACUAGAAUUGCCAUCAUCCGAACUUGCCACAGGUUGAAAUUUGUCUCACCAUCGAACUUCUCAAUUUCAAACCUUGUUGCUGCCAUCUCUGAAUGGGCUGAUCUAUGAAAGUUAAACUAGCUCUGAUACCACUUGUUAGGAUCGUCCCGAUUAAGCAACGAACAAGUAAAAAUAGUAGAAGAAAUUGAGAAGAUGAACACACAAAUUUAACGUGGAAAAACCCCUCAAAAGAGGAUAAAAAACCACGGGCAAAGAUAAUUUUACUAUAAUGGCAAAAGAAUGAAGAGUACAAAAGAUGGAGAUAAAAACUAAACCCCGAAAACCCGAAAAACAAAGAACCCUCAAACGUAAACACAAAAUUCUCUGAAUGUGUUAUGAGUUCUAAUCUAAUGGGUGUCUCUUUAAUUCUAAGAUUGUAAAGGAGCCUAUUUAUAGGCUAAAUUAGUAAGUCAAAUAAACUAUACUAAUAAAUGCUAAAUAUAUUAUACUAAUAAAUACUAAAUCUUCUAGAAAAAAAAUAUAUUUUUGUUUAACUUGACUUGCAAGAAAUCUCUUAGAAUUUGGGUCACACAAUUCUAACAUAUAGCACUUUUACCACACAAAGCAUUGGAACCUUAAUCACUUAUGCCAAUCCCAUUAGCUUAUUGCUUAUGCAGAAAGACGUGCUACAACAUAUUUUAUUUUCUAUUUAAAGAUUGAAAAGAGAUAGUAAUUUUUUUAGGGAUAUCAAAUUCGAACCCUAAAUCCAUAGCUUAGAAAAAGAAACGAGUAUUGAAAAGGAAAGGGGGAGCUUAGUGAAGGUUUAGAGUUUUAUGGGUUGGUCAGCAUUUUGGGGUUUGGGGCCAUUUUUGUUGGACGGUGGCUUCGCUUUGCUUAUUAAUUUCAUCAUCCAAAAGAAUUAAAAGGAAAAAGAAAAUACAUGAAGUAAUUGUCAAAAACAGAAAUCCCAAUGAACCCACGUCAUACCCAUUUGUUCAAGCAUUGAUAAUGAUUUUGCAACAACUAGGCUUCAUUUCUUCAAAGUUAUCCCCAAACUAUUGCAUGGCUUCUAAAUUAGACCUUCAACUUCAAAACCUUUUAAUUGAAUCAUUGAAGUAUCAGUUCAUACUAAUCAAAUCCUUUUAUCGAUAUGACAAUUAAUUUAGGUGUUAAAUGCCUAUUCAGAUAUGAUAUGGAAUUUUUUAAAGGUAGUGGAUUAAAAGGUAAACACAUGGGUACUUACAAUAUCGAUAACUAUAUCCAAACUAAUCAUUCGAUAAGUAUCCAGUUUCCUAAUAAGUCGUUUUUUUUAAGUAUACAGGCACAAUAACAAUUACGUACAUAUCCAAAUCAAUAAGUGAACUAAUACUAAAAGUCGAACAAUAAUAAUUUUAAAGAGAAGUCACAUGUUAUAGGAAUUAAGUCGUAAUAAAUUAAAAAGCAAUUCACACAUGAUUCACAACAUGGGAGUUGAACUUGACUGCUUGAGGUAUUAAGGUCCUAAAGCCUAAACCUUUGGUAAUAAUGUCAAUACCUUAUUGUCAAACAUCAAAUAUGAGCUACUAUUAAUGUACAAACUAAUGGUUAGGUUGGCGAAAGGACAUGCAUAAUACUUCCAAGGAUUCAUUUAAAUGUAUAAGCUAAUGGUUAGAGCAAAAGUACAUGUUUGAAACUUUUGUUAUCAAUUUAAAAUCUAAGGUCAUAGUUUGGAGAGUAUGAUGCAAUUAACCCAAUUAAAGAAUCAGGUUGAAAGUAAUAGUACUAGUAGUUAAAGUAUGAUUGUAUUUUGCCUGUAAAUUAGUCCAUGUACAUUAGAUCAAAUAAUAAAUUGACCCUUUUAUUAAAAUUUUCAUUAUACUAUUAAAAACUGGUCCUCGUAUGUUAGCAUGAGGUGCACAUGGCAUAUUACAUGUCACUAUUUGGUUAUUCUACUAGCUAUUUCGAUUUUUAACAUUAGAAAUAGAUGAAAUUUUAAUAAAAAUGACUAAUUUGCUCAUUAAUCUAAUGUACAACGACUAGUUUACCAUAUAUUGAGUAAAGAGUCAAAAUGUAAUCCGACACCUACUACAGGGACGUUCAUGGUACGUUUACCUAGUACUAAUAAUCUUUUUUUUUUAAAUUGUAUUUUUCCUUCAAAUUUUCAAAAAAAUCUAAAAAUAUUAUAAAAUAAAAUAAAAAGCAAAUUAUCAAAAGUCACUUUUUUGUCUCAGAUUACAUUUUAAUCACUUCUUUUUAAGAUGUUACGUUUUAGUCACUUAUGUUAUCGCGUUGUAACAUUUUAGUUACUAACUGUUAUUUGUUGUUAACGGUGUAACGGUAAGCUGACAUGGCACAUUAAAUCAUCAUUUCAAAAAAAAAAUUCGGUUAAUUUAUACAAUUGGUCCCUAUAUUUUUUCUUUUGAAGCAAUUUAAUUUUUUUCUUUUAUACUAUUUUAACUUUCAUUUUUUUCUUUUUUUUUCAUUCUCUUCUACGUCUUCCUCUGUUUUCCUCCCUUAUUCAUUUCUUUUAAUGUAGUUUUUCUAUGUUUUUCAUUUGUUAAAACUAGUCUCUACACUUUUAUUUUCUAUUGACAAUAUAUUUUCAUAUGUCUAAUGUCGUGUCAAUUUGCUAGUACUCACGAAAAAUUAUAUUAUUUUAAUUAAUGAAUUUAAUAACUACUGCUUGAGUUAAGAAUAGAAUUUCAAAAUUUUAAGUAAUAAUAAGAAUUGUACACCAUCAAAUUAAAGAAUAAAAACUGAAUCAAUAACAAAACAUAGUGUGGGACUAAUAACAUAAUCUGACCUAAAUGAAUUAAUUGUAUCGUUAUAGGUUAUCGAAGGCAAUCGACUCAUUCGAGAGAAGUCUUUGAAGUAUCGUCUAUUGGGCAAUUGAUCGAACUCCCAACAAUGGUUGUUACUGGGCUUGGGACAACUAUGCUUAGUUUUAGUUACGAGCUUUGUCUCCCAAUUCCAUUAAGUGCCUCGAGUGAGAGCACAAAGCGCAUACAUCAACUAUGGAAAUGUUAGCAUUUGCUAUUGGUGGGGUUUGAACCUAGGUAUUAAUCUUACUGACAAAUACCAUAUAAGGGCAUGAAUUCAAACCCUAUCAAGAGCAAAAUGCUUACAUUUCCUUGGUGGGUGAAGGCACUCCCAACGUAAACCCUUCUAAGCUCUAGACGAAAGCAAGAGACUAUUUGGGGCGAAAACUAAGCACAGAAACUUUGGAUCCAAUACCAAUCAUUGUUUGGGAUUCAACUUGCUACUUGAUAGACAAUAUUUCAAGGACUUCUUCUAAAAAUGUCGAACCCUUCAACUUGCGUAAUUGAAAUUUCAAAACUCAGAAAGUAGAAACAAAAUGUACAAAAAUUAAGUUUACAACUCAAGGACUAAUAACAAAAUUGAACCAUUUUAAAUUCUAGGUAUUUAGACAAAGAGAGGUCAUUUUGGUAUAAAUAUAAUCUUUCGUGGAAUCAUAGUGGCAACCAAUGAAAUCCCAGCACGAUGAAUGAUGGCAAAUGGACAAGAAGUAGUCGGUUUGGAUAGUGGUUUUGGACCAAGAGUACUAUAAUGUUGUUGAGCAUAGUGGGGAACAUGGAACGUGACCGCCGAACAACCUUGGCGGCUUACGUCUAUGAACUUUAAUGUUUGUUUUGUAUUCUUCUCACCUUUGAAAGCAAUCGCCCAUGGCUACGGGUAUCGCAAUACUAUUAAAUAUUUGCACUGAGCAGGAUUGGAUUGGAUACGAUCGAAUUUUUAUAAAUUUUUUUAAUUCGAAUUAAUUUUUAAUUUUUAUAUUUUUAUACUAUAAGAUAGUGGUAUUUUUUUUUUGAAAAUUGAUUUUUUUUAUAUUAUAGUCCUCUUAAUAACGUAGUCUUUAGUAUUAGGAUGUAAUUUCUCUCAUUAAGACUAUAAAGUGUUAUGAUUUUCUUAAUAAAAAAUUGGAGUUCAUUGAAAAGAGGAAAAAUCGCCUAAUAACUACAAUCCACAGUGAAUAAUCAAAACACUCUCUCCUCAAGAAUACAGUUCGCUAAAUGAGUGACCUUCCUUUAAUAAACUAAAUAAAACCAGAGGACAUCAUAAACACAGCUUUCAAGAAAGUAAAUAAAGCUUUGAAAAAAUCUUGAGCGUCCCAACUUCAGUCAGAUGGAUUUACCCACCAGCGAUCUUUUCUUGCCGCAACCUCGGCAAAAUCAAGCAGCUCCUCCACCCAGUAUUUGUUCUUGUUAAAAUCGAAGCCUUUGGUGGUCGGUUGAAGUGCCAUAAGGUUCUUGUUCCUACUGGAAAAUCUGAACCAACAAGCACUAAAACGAGUCGCAACUUGCUUUCCAUCAACAAUAUAGGUGUUGAUAACUAAUCGGCCCGUUUAGGGUAUCUAUGAGUCUCUUAAUAAUUGUGUGUGCGUUUUCUUCACUCUUCCCCGAUUAGACCUAAUUUUUAGUAGUGUCGAAAAAUAUAGUUUCGAAAUCUCAUUUUUAUAAAUCGAGUCAAUAAAUAUUAAAUAUGAAUAUUUACAAAGUUAUUAUAUUAAUGAAUUAAAUUUCAGUUAAAUAAUUUAAUCGAAACUGUGAUAAAUUAUGGCCUAGUGACUAAACUGUAAAACUUUAAUCGUUAUACAUUUUUAAUUAGGAAAAAGCUUGGGGGCUUAGAUAACAAUUAUCCAAAGAAUUAAGAUAGUAAAUAAACCAAAUUAAAAAAUAUAAUAUUAAAAUUUGAUGUGGAUAUCAUUAACUUAAGUUAAUUAAGGAUUUAUGUUAAUUAAUUAAUAUUAAAACAUGUUAAUUAAAGUAUAAAUAAUAAACAAAAUGAAAAGAAAGAGAAAAUGUUAUCAUCUUCAACCGGUGGAAACUGAAGAAAAGAAAGAAUAUUAAUAUGGUGUGAAUUGAUAAAUAUUAACCUUGUGAAAAUUAUGUCAUGUUCAUUGUAUGUAAAUUAAUGAUAAUUAUGUCGUGGUAAUGUUAAUUUUUAUAGAUUCGCGGUGGAGUUUUUUUUUUUGAGAUUUACUUUUAACUUUGAAUGUGAAAGUGAAAACAAGAGAACGGAAGCUACUAAUAUCUUGGCAGUCCUUUAUUAGAUUUGAAAACAUGUGGUAAAGGGAGUAAUUUUUUAGUAAGUAUGAUCAGAUAUGUAAUUGUACAUAUCUCAUUCCCAAUCAAUUUUGAAAAAAGUUGUCCAUUCUGGCAUUUUUUUGUUUCUGAGGUUUUAACUCAACAAACUCUUACAAACCUCUAUUCACCAAACAUUACAAUAGAGUGUUUAACUACCUAAUCGUUUAUUUGUGCUCAAAUCAACUGAAAAUGACUAAAAACUCUAUUUACCAAUCACCUCUAUUAAGUGAUAAGUAGCUUCUAUAUAUUUUAGAUGCUUCAAUGAGACACUAAGUGUCAAAUUGAUAAGUCCCAGGCACAACCUUUACUUCGGUUUUACUGUCGAGCUCUAGGUGCAAUCUAUAAAUUUCGGAUUCUUUGAUGAGACAUAAAGUAUCAAAUUAGUAUGUUGGUUGAGACCUAUGUAUCUAUUUAAGUUCGAGUCAAAUAAAGAGGAGAUAUAAAUUAAGAAUUAUUCAAAUGAUGCUUUAAAUAAAUUAGUGUUACGAAAUUGUACUACAAAUACAGAUAUGUGAUAUAUGAUUAUUGAUAGCAUGUGGGGCCGGUAUGGAAAGAUAAUUACAAAGUUUGAAGUUUGAAGUUUAAAGAUUAAGUUGAAAAAAUAAUUAAGGGGGCGAGGAAAGUGUGUGGAAUUACAAUUUACAAUUACACCUCUUGUUAGUUAGGUAAAGUUGUAACCACGUGUGAGGCUGUCAGGUUCUCCCGACACCGUACGUGUCUCUGACGGCUUUAACAUUUUUCUUUGUUUCCUCAUGAUAUGGGGCAAUCCAAUAAUAGCAAAGCUGUCUUGCCUUUGAAAUUGAAAUUUCAUAAUUUCCUUUUUUUUUAAUAAAAAAUAUUUAUCUAUAGCUAAUAAUAAAGUAGGCCAAAUAAAUAGCCUGAAUAAAUUUGAUUAGACAUUAAAUAAUAUUUUCUGAGCCCAUGAAUGGCAAAAUCUGUACGACGGUCGAAAACGACGUAGCAUAAAUCCCCAAAGCAAGAAUAAAGAUGCGGGACAGCCUUCUAGAAAACUAAAUAAAAUAAAUAAAUAAUAAUAAAAACAGAAAAUCAGCAGCCAUGGAAAUGAAAAGAAAAUAUUUUUUUUUAAAGAGAGACAAGUGUCACCUCAUAGGAAACGAAUUAAGGCAAUAUAUGUAUAUAAUGGUAAGCCGGCAGCCGCCCCACAAUUCUUCAACCUAACCUAACAUCUCCUUUAUUACGAUUCUUUAUUUUUUUUAUUUUUUUUUUGCCUCUUUCCACUUUAUUGUAUUAUUAUUUUGACGGUCGAUUUUAGUACAUACUUGUCCUUUUUUUUUAAAAUAUAUAUAUAAUUUCUUUUUAAAAAUGAAUAUUUUAGGGUUUCAAGAUUCAAAUAUAAUAUUUAGAUGUUAACGUUCGGUGUUUUAAAAUUUAAGUUUUAAAGUUUAAGGUUUAGAGCUUCAAGAUUUAAAGUUUAGAGUUCGGAUUAAAAAAAUGAAUGUAACUUGAUUCAAGGUUUCAAAGUCUAGGGUUUUAAGAUUCAAGAUACAAUGUUUUAUUGUUUAGGAUUUCAAGGUUCAAAAUAUAAAAUUUAGAGUUUAAGAUUUAGUAGUUUAAAAUUCAAGCUUCAAAAUUUAGGAUUCAGAGUUUCAAGAUUUAAAAUCUAGAGUUCAGAUUAAAAAAUAAAUGUAGCUUAAUCCAUGGUUUUAGGAUUCAAGAUAUAAUAUUUAAGGCUUAAAGUUUAGAAUGUAGGGUUAGUUUAAGAUUUAAUAUUAAGGGUUUAUCAGUUCAAGAUCCAAAAUUUAAGUUUUGGGAUCAUUCAAAGUUUUAGUUAAAAGAAUAUGUGAAUGAUAUAAAAAAAUUAAAAUAUUAUUAAAUAAUUGAUAAAAAAAACAAAAAGAAAACGCGAGGUUUGUAUCUCAUACAGUAUAAUGAAAAUGAGAAAUUAUAUUAAUUACAAAACCAGCAACAAUAACGAGGGGGAAAGCGAAAUCUUUGACUUUCAGCAUAUGUAUUGGCGACCAAAGACCGGGGCCCAUAAACACAAUAAAAAGCGGCAGCCGCGCAUCCACACUUACCACUUCCAGCGCUUGCGUUCCACGUGGGACCCGGUCUUGUCCCCUUCCCCCUCCACCUUUUAUUUAUUUAUUAUUAUUUAGUUUUGACGGUAAAUGAUUAGAUUUUGGAAGUGGUAGAGACAUAAAAAACAGAUUCAAUAGAUCGGACGGCCGUAUAACACGUGUAGUUCACACGCGAAUCUCGAGAAGUUAAAAACAUGGGAAAAAGUUUUUAAUAAUUAUUGCCGGUCUCCUACUUAGAAACCCGCUCUUUCCGCUUACGCGCGCCGCUUGUUUUCCUCUUAUAAUAUCACUCCCAUCUUUUUACCCCCCCUUUUUUUACUGUUUAUUUUGUUACUGUAUAAGACAUAGUAAUUAUGCUAAUCUUAUUAAAUUUCGCAAUUGUUUUUAUUUUUCUAAAAUUUUAAAAUAUAGGGUAAAUAAUUAAAAUAGUCACGUUUAUUUACCUCAAGCUAUAUUUUAGUCACUUAUAUUUGAAAUGUUACGUUUUAGUCACUGAGCCAUUAAUUUCUGUUUAACGGUGUAACGAUAAGCUAACGUGCCAUGUUAAAUCAUCAUUUUAAACAAAAAUUUUGGGUUAAUUUGUACAAUCAGUCCCCAUUUUUUUUUUCGUUUUGGGUAAUUUAUUUUUUUCUUUAAUGUUAAUUUAACUUUUCUUUUUCUUUUCCCAUUUUCUUCUACUUCUUUCUUUUUUUUCCUCCAUUUUUUAUUUUUUAACAUAAAUUUUCUAUGUUUUCAAUUUGUAAAAAUUAGUUCUAUACUUUUAUUUUUUUGAACAAUUUAAUUUAAUUAACGGUUUAGUAACUAAAACGUGACAAUACGAUAACGUAAGCGACUAAAACGUAACAUUUUAAAUAUAAGUAACUAAAAUGUAACCUAAGACAAAUAAAAAUAACUAUUAUAAUUUACCCAAAAAUAUAUUAAUAAAAAUAAUUGUGGAGUAGUCACCCAUACCUAAGGUGUCCAUGGGCUGGGCCUGAACUCAUACCGAAAUUUUUUUGGGCCUAGCCCGAACCCGGCCCGGCCCAUGGACACCUCUACCCAUACCGACUGAAUCAUUAUCAUCUUUACCCAUUAAAAAAAUAUAUAUAUUGCUAGUUCCUAAGAAUUUUAGUGAAUCUUGUACUUUAAAAAUUAAAUUAAAUUAUUUACUGUUCAAUUAUUAUAGUUGUUAAUGGUUUUUAGAAAAGAUUAUGUGUUUAUUUUUUUGUUAAUAAUAUAUCGAAGACAGUUUAAUUAAAAUUUAAAACUAGAAAAAUAUUGACAGAAAAUACUUAUUAUUUUAAUGAUUCAAAUUUUGUUCUAAUUUAAUUUUUUACUAAAGUUCAAAUUAAGAUUGUUUUUUGAGCUUGGGCCAAAUUAAAAGUUUGUAAUAUUUUAUUACAAAAUUGAAUUAAUUUGGAUUUCAAGUUUUGCUAAAAAGGUUGAAAUUUUAGAGUUGCAAUAAUGUGUGAAAUCAAUUUCAAAUAAACCCUAAAUCAGAGGAUUUAGUUAAUCCAUUACUUUCAAUUGUGUUAAAGAAAAGAAAAUACCAAAAAAAAAAACAAUCCUAAUAAUUGAAAUUAUAGUAACUUGCAAAUUAAGAAAGUUGUUACCAUAUCACUUCAAAAAAAAAUAUAUAUAUAUAUAUAUAUAAUUUCAGGUUUUUUCUAUGGCGUUUAUUUUACUGCUUAAUUUUAUUAUCAUCGCUAGUAAAUGUAUGGUCUAUCUCGUGUAUAUAACUGGUAAUUAGUAUUUAGUAUUAUCCAUUUUUUAAAUAAUUAACAAAGGUUAAUUAAGAAAAUUGCUCUUCGUAAUUACUAAUUAAUUCAUUGAAAAUAAAAAAGAAUUACAGAAAUUAAUAUGAAACAACAGACUACAAACUAACGUUUCUCUGCUGCAAAAAAGGGAGGUUUUUCAUCUACGUAUUCACAAUUUACGCCGCUCUCGCGUAAUUUUUUUUUUGGGUAUAAUUUUCUUGUCUAAUUUUCAAAUUUGGGACUAAAAAGAAGAUUAACGAUUUUAAAGAUAGAAAAUUAAAAUUUUGUAGGUUUUUUUUUCCGGUUCUUGAUAUCGGCAAUUUUAAAAAAUAAUAAUCACGCGACUUCCGGAGCAGGUUGGUUGAGAUCGAUAUUGAGAAGCGGUCGCCGUUUGAUCUCGUGGUGGUUUAAAUCAACGACGGAGGACGAAUCUGAGUCGCUUUGUACACCAGCGUUGAAAGUUUCGUGAUAAUCACGGUGAUCGAAUCUCAACCGUUGUUGAUACUGCUGUCCUUUCAUAACACCGGGUCGGACCAACGCGUCGAAGUAAAAAACUUGGGGGGCUGCAACUGCCGGGACGCCGUUGGCGAAAAAACCGGUGGCCGACGAAAUUUGAGGGAAAGGAAGCCUGACGGCUGGAGAUCCGUACCCGAUGACUGCACCGUGUCCGAGAUUGAGAUCCAACGGUGAACAGUUGACGACUGUCGGCGGCUCGUGGCUUGAUGACUCCACGGUGCUACUCCGGCUAGGGCUGUGAUUGUUAUUGUUGUUGCUGCAGUUGGUAUCGCCAUUGUUGUGACAGUUACUACCAUUGUUGAGGAUUUCACCAGGGAGGGGGAAAUUAGUCUUCGCCUUGGCGCCGCGGAAUUCUCUGGCGGCGGCGUCGUAGGCCUUGGCCGCUUCCUCAGCUGUAUCAAAAGUUCCAAGCCAAACACGGCUUUUCUUCCCUGGAUCUCUGAUCUCAGCGGCGUAACGACCCCAUGGACGCUUCCUUACUCCUCUAAAAUGAACCUCUUUAGUACACCCAUUCCCGUUUCCCUUGACGUCCGCCGUUUUCUCCCUCGGCGCCAUUUAGGAAGCUCCGUUUUAAGAGUGAUGAAAUUUUGUUGAGAGAGGAAAAAAUGGUGGGGGAAUUGUCGUUUGGAUUUGUUGAAAUUGGUGCAAGGGCACGACGAUGUUUUUAUAGAGGGGAAAGGACGAAUCGGCGAGGAAUUGAAUGAAGAGGGGUGGCCACAGUCAACAACAGAUUUGACUGAGAGAAAAAGAUUGGUGCGUCAUGGCAGUUUCGUAAGUUUCAUAAAAAACCAGAUUACGUGGCUUGUGGGGUUGUCUUGAAGACAGCAUACUCUAUCAUCAUUAUCAUCAUCCAACGGCAGUUGUACUGUUCUUGUUUGUGUGCGGUGCUUUGGGCUACAUAUCACUCUCUCUUCCUUCACGUCAUUUUCACUCACCUUGAAAAUAAAACAGCAAACUCUAGCACUUACCCUUUGUACUAAAAGUUUGGUAUACAAUUACAGCCUAAAUUUUAAAUUGAGGAUUGAAUUUUAAAAAGUUUUAAUCAGGUUUUUGAAGUAUUACAAACUAAAGCGUAAUUUUAUCAUUAUACUAACAUAUAAUUUCAUAAAAUCCAAAUAGAUUAAAAGAUAUUUUACCAUUUUUGGGGCGUCUGACUACAUCUCUGGUUAAAUUCUCAUAUGAAUGUGUAGCAUAUCGAAAACAAAUGUAUCAAAUUGUAAAAAAGUAAUUACCUAUUGCAUAAACAAUAUGGAUCUGAUACAUUUAAAAAUUUUAUAUAAAGUUUAGUAUCAUGUUCAAGUUGCUUAUAUAGCUUGUACACGUGUUUACUGUCUUAUUUAUGAACUUCAAAUAUACACUAUAUCAAAAUUCAACCAUCAUUGAACACUUAAGUCAAAAGAAAAUACUUGAUUGAUGCCAUACAAAUAGAAUACAGAUUAAAUUAGGAUAUUUUAAAUUUCAUGGACCAAUUAGUAAAUUUGGGAAUAAUUUGAGGAUGAUUGAUUAAAUUUAACCUUCCUAAAAAAGUUUAGGCUGUAAUUAAAAAAAACGAGGCGCGUGAAGAAAAGAGGCGAAAGUGAGAAAAAAGGGAAGGUUGAACAAGUUGUCGGCAUAUUCUGCUAACUCGCCGUGUGACUUGGCUGUUUUUUCUAUUCUAAUUUCAAAAACUUCCUUUUUACUUAAAUUCCCCUAUUGAACCGCUCGCAUGGGGCCCAACUGGUGUUCGUCCCAUUUCCCAAUAACAUCUCGCCACGUUUCUUUUGUGCCCUUUAUGCGCGUUGAUAGGCACUCCAACGCAUGGCUGGCUAUCCACAUGAGUAGCUUCUGACAUCUAGUGUCAAUCUCACCCGACAACUCUCUUCCCUUACUCCCUUCAUUCCCCGCGUCAAUCGCACACUCUCGUUAUAAAAUUACCCCACUACCCUUCCAAUUCCCCCCCUCUUAUUUGGCCAUUAUAAAUUAAAUACUGUUGCUGCUAAUGGAUUUUUUUAAUUAACUGUUUAAGCAUCACGUUGCGUAUGUUUGAAUUAAUGUAUUGUAAAAUUGUGGUUAAAUUCUACUCUUAGUCUCUGUAUUUUGUGAAAGUUAUAGAUUUAGUCAUUAUACUUUUAUUUGAUGGAUUUUAGUUUCUCGAUUUUUUAAAAUUUUAGUCUAGACCUAAACAGUAGAAAUUAAAUCCAUUUAGUUAAAUUCAAUUACUAGUCUUUCACCAUGCGUACAAUUGUAGAUUUAGUACAUUUUCUCUAAUUAGAUCAAUCUAAGUCUCUAUACUUUUUAAAUUUUAAAAUUGUAGUCUUAACGUAAAUAACAGUCGAUAAGUCAUUAACUGAAAUUUUUUAGUAAUAUGUGGAAAUAAUAAACUGACAUAAUAUUACACAUAUGAUAAUAUGUUUUUAAUGUUUGAAAAACACAUAGAUUAAAAAUGACCAAAUAAAAAGUAUAGAGAUUAAAUCCAUGACUUUUUCUAAGUACAGGGACUAAUAGCAAAAGUUCACCUAAAGUUGUUACUUUGGGUUUUUAUCUACCUAAUCUUCACGUGUUUAGCUUUGAUGGUUUUUUUUUAUUAUUUAAGGAUAAUAUUGGAUCAAAUUUGCAUAAAUAAAUCAGAUAGAUUUAAGUAUCAAAUUUAGAUUAAAAAAAUUAAAAAUGGCAACGUGGCGGCUACCAAGUGUAUGGAUGGAAUAAUAUAUAUUAUAGAAUUUUGGCCUAAUGGCGGCUGUGGGAUAGGUACCUAUAGUUCACAUGAUAAAAUCCAUUUUAUCGAAUCGAAUUUAUAAUUAUUUUUUAUAAUAUAAAUAAAUCUUUUUACACUAUAGUAAUUAAAACAAUUUUAAAAUGUUAAAAUAUAUAUUUUAACAAACUCGAUUGGUAUGAGUAUUGUUGCUAAUGUAGGAGGAUGUGUGUUUGAGUGCGCUGAAGCACAAUAUCCUCUUAUUUAUGGGUUGAGAGGGGCUAUUGUUGGUUCUAAGCAUUAUGUCAAUAAGAACAGAUAUAAAAUAAUUUUCUUGUCAAACCUCAAAAAUAGGGUUUUUAUCAAUUGUUUUAAUUUCGAAAUAUUAAUGGCUUGUGGUAUGCGUGCAAGGGCAAAAUUAGAAUUUUUUUUAAGGCGGCCGAAAUUAAAUUAUAAUUUUUAUCAUAGCAAAAAUGAAAUAUUAUCAUCUUAAUAGCUUAUAUCUUUAUAAUUUUUAAAUGAUUAAAUCAAAUUUUUAUAUUUUUAAGGGGGUCAAAGUGUAAUUUUACCUUUACUAAUUUAAAAUUUUAAAAGACCUAAAUGAAAAAUUUCCAUUUUAACCUAGCUUAUAUCCUUUUCAAUACAUAGAACAUUUCAAAUAUGUAGGGAAAAAGAAAAAAAAAAAAGAAUAUCAAUGUUUUUUUUUAAUUUUCUUAAAGAAAAUCAAAUCUAAAAUUUGCAGACAUCGUCGAUUGAGUUUAACUUAAUUGCAUGAGUAUUGUCGCCAAUAUAGGAAGACGUGAGUUCUAGUGCGCUGAAGCGCAUUAUACUCCUAUUUAUGGGUUGAAGAAGGGUUAUACAUAGUUCUAAGUAUUGUGUAAAAAAAACAUGCAUCUGGGUUCACCAUAAUUCAAUUAUGCUUGUUGACCAUACAUCGAACCAUGUUUUUAGCAUUAUUCCCUCCUUCUUCCCCAUCAAAUGGACAAUGGAAUUCUCAUGUUUUUGCAGUUCUGUAAUAAGUCAACAAAAGAAUGUGAUUCCAUACCACGUGCUUUUGUUUAGUCACAAUAAGAUUGUUUUAUCUCUUCAUCAAACAACUCGCUAAGCUGAUCUCCAACAGUCCUACGACAAUAUUUGAUAGAAUCUCUAUUCAGAUAAAAUGGACACAUACAUGAAUAACCUUAUUGAGUCCGAGUAGUCACGUACACACCGUUGCAUCAAACUACAUAGAUCAUACCAUAACUCGUAACUCCAUCGAAUUAAAAGAACCCACAUAUAUAAAUCAAGGCCUUGACCGGAGAGACCAAGCAGCUUCACUACACCUGUUCCUGCUAAAAUUAAUGGUAGGUUUGGAUGGGCGGUGCGUUUACCUGCUGUUAAUGUAAAAACAGCAGUGACGGUGAGAUUAGAUACUGUAGCGUGAGACAAAAAGUAAGUUAAAUGUACAGCACCGCAUCCAAUCGUCUAUCCAAACCCACCUUAAGUGGCCUUUAUUACCAUUCCAUUAGUACUUAAUUUCUUAAAUAUUAUACGACUCUAAGCUUAACCGGGUGAACCGUUCCCAAACUUCAUAUCUAAAGCAUAUAUCAAUAAUGAUCAAUCAUUACACUGAAAUUACAAUCAAUAAUUACGAGCAUUGAAUUAAAUAACCUAAACCCAACUAGCUAAUUAAUCUAAAUAUGAAAGGUUUGUAGAGGGACUAUUGACAAGUCCAAAAGAAUGUGGCUAAAAGUCUAAAGAAAACCAGCUUCAACAGUUUGAUAGUCAAGCUUAGUUCCAAUGUUCAAAGCUGAUGGGCUAUGUUUUACUUGCACUUUCAGUUGGAAGGACCAAAAAGUUUCAGUUGGAACGAGGCCAGAUUUUUAAUUAAAUUCGGAGUUAAGUCGAGUUAAAUAUACAAAUAGAAAAAAAUUGAACCCAAUAUCUUACUCAAGAGAUAUUGACCUAUUUACUAUUUCACUUCAGCAUUUAGUGAUAUUUAACUUAAUAAAACCUACCCCAACCUCCACCCGAUAUACCCCAAACAUAACUCAACCUUGACCCUAACGAAUCAGGUUGAAUCAAAACCUAUUGAAUUUUAGGGUAUUUUUCAUCCCUAAUCAAGUUUAGUUGAGAAUUAUAGUAAAACCUUAUCAUCACAUCAUCAUAUCAUCAUGGUGAGAAUCUGACAAGAUCAUCAAUCAAAACUAAUUAUGCUUUAGACUUAUUGAACAUGGCGUGAAAGUGAAACCUAAGCCCAUUGAGUCAGAAAAGACUGAUUGCUGAAAAACGAUAAACCCUAAUAGCAUUGCUUAAGUGUGAUGGUGAUUACACACGUUGAUUCGAUGCACUAACUCCCACUGAUUUUAGUGGUGCCACUCUGUUUCAACUAUCAGGCUCCCCCCACUAACCAUUAGCCAGCCGCCAUUGCCCCUCUCUCUCUUUCUCCUGUUUCACUCUAUGUAAUGAAAAAAACACAGUUCCACCAAACAAUAUUAGAAUAAUGUUUCAGUUUUGACGUUACGCUAAAUCAUUUGCUUGCAAGUUCUGCAACAUUUUAUAUUUGGUCCUUUGGGUUGUGCUUCGAUCAUUAUCACAAUAUCACCUUCUACUGUAUCAUAAAACAUCCAACUAACACCCACAUCAAACACAUAAAAUUGUAUACAUGUUUCAGAUACCAAAUUUCAAUUGUAUUAAAGGUAAAACAAGCUCAUUAUAUCUUAAUAUCUUCAAUAAACAAAUGUCAGUUUUUUUAGGUAGAAAUGGGUAAUGGUUAAGCCAAAAAUUUUAUGUUGAGAUCAAAAUUAAGUUACAAAAAAUUUGAGGGUUUAAAAUUCAACUUUAUGAUUUUUAAGGUUAGGGUUUCUUCGUAAACUGAAAAUUAGGCUUCAUUUUCAACAUGAAGAAUAAUUAAGACAUCAAUGCUCCAAUACAGGUGUAAAAAUGGAUGGAUAUAUUACUGUUGCUGAUAUAAGAAUGUGGUGCAAAGGCUGAACACAGUUCAGUCAAUGAAGAUUGGUAAGAGAGAUCGGCUCUUUCAAGAGAAGUCUUUCAAGUAUUAUUUGUUAUGCAAUCGAUUGAGUCCCCAACAAUUGAAGGUAUUGUUAUGGUUUUGUUUCUUGUGCUCUACUGAGAGUCAAUAUGCCGUGACCAAUUGCUUUAAGAGGGUUCACAGAAGCGAGAGUACCUCAUACAUACGUGGGCGCAUGACCAUCUACCAAGGGAAGAACCCCUAACCUAUCUCAUAUAAAUUACGUUUUAGGAAAGUUGGUAGCACUAGCCCAAAUGGUACCACAGUUACAGGUUAAGUAAGCUUUAAGCCUAUGUAAGCUCUAUAUUUAUUCAUGUGACCUAUGCUAACACUUCCCCUUAAACUUUGCGGGUCUACUAAUUGAGGUGCUAUGAGUUGACCCCUUAUACCACAUGGUGCUCCUUGAUAGGUUCACCUAUCACUCAUUGAUUUCUAGUUAGAUCGACUAUGUGUGUGAAGUGACCAUGUCUUAUAGGAGUUGUUGAGUUGUUAGAGGUAAUGGAUUUAGGUACUACUAAACGGAACAAAUCUUGUGCCAAAAGAAGAGAUGACGGCGAAGGUGAUGGAUCCAGUGGAGUCAAAUGAAGUCUCCGGCGGAGUGUCUGUAACAAGUAUACAAUCAUCCAUUUCGCUCCAAAGUGGGAUCAAAGCUUUUCCCUUUUAGUUUUAAGGAUACAUAAAUUUCAUUAUAUUUGAUACCCUCAAAAUCUAAGAUUUAAUCAAAGAUGGGGUACAUAAAUGGAUAAAAUACAGUAUACAAAGAUGAUAUUGCUCUAUACUGAGGGCAAACAGCCUUUCCAUUUUUGCUCUAACAAUACAUAAUUAUCAUAUUACAUUUGAUAUUUGCCCAGAAUCUAAGUUGUAAUCAAAUAUAUACAAAAGCAUCAUGAUCCACAUCUCAAUUUGCAAAAAGAUAAAUGAAUCAUCUCCGUUUUCUCCCCUUUUUGGUAUUACCACCCAACAAAUCCCAAGAAACUGAAAAACCAAACAAAGAAUCACAUGUCCAAACAUUAGAAUUUAUAAACACAUGACAAAAUUAUUACAAAAUACUCAGUACCCAAUUUAUAGUUUUAGCAGGUGAUGCUUGUGAAGCCAAAAAAUUUCAUCCAAAAAACAGAAAGUUGGGAAUUUUCUUUUUUUACUCAAAGAUCAUUCCUUUUGUAAAAUAAAGCUUACCCAGAUUUAUUGCAAAUUGGGACAUGGUAUAAUUGCGAGAAAAUUAUAGAAAUUGUUGAAAAAAAUGAAACGAACCUGAGAGAUCGAACAGCGAGAUGUUGAGAAAGAACAUGGAAGAAGAAAUUGGCACCGUGGAGGAACACCACAACUCCCGUACACCCCAAUACAAAAAGCUCCAUCAUCAUUGAAAAAUAAUCAAAGCAAAGCAAGGAUCCCUUCUUUCUCAACAAAGAAUAAAAAAACAGAGCACGAGAAAUCCCGAAAUACAGUGAAGGAGAAGAGGCUGAAAUGCUUAUAAAUUGGACUUUGUUUCGAUGAUGAUUAUAUAAUUAAAAAUUACUAAUAAUAGGAGUGUUAUUAAAUUAUUAUUAAUAAUAAUUAAAAAAAAAGUGUUUUUUGGGUGUCAGAGUAUGAUCAUAUCCAAUUCCUAUAAUAAUGACUUUCUCCACUUUCUUACAACACGAAAAGGAGACGUGAUUGGGUGAUUGAAACUGUUUGGACGGCGGAUAUUUUUUACAAUGUUUUUACGAGCGUGUUUGGCCGUGUGAUUUUUCGUGGCGUACUUGACAAUGGUGUAGCUUAUGGGGGAAAAGGACAGAGAUAAAAGAAUGGGUGAAUUUUUUGAUAGGUCCCUCUAUUAUAGGGAUCUGAUCAAAUUAGUCCCUGUACUGUUAAAAAGACUAAUUGAAAUUGUUUGUUCUUUUAUCAUUUGUUAGUAAAAAUAGCUAACUGUUAACUACUCUUAUUAAAAUAGUAGAGGGAUUAAAUUGAUUCAUUUAAUAAUAAAGGGACUAAUUUGAUACUGUUCCUAUAACAUAGGGACCCCCCAAACAGUUUAACCAUAAAGAAAAGAGAGAGAGUGAGUGGAAUUGAUUGGGGAAAAUGGGGAGUACUAUAAUAUGGUCUGCCUAACUAUCGUUGUGGGUAAUCGUUCAUAGCCACAACCUAGCGACCGACCCGCCGCCACCAACCGCUGGGGUUGCACUCCUAGCUGGGUUUGGUUGCACUUUUUUUACUUGGGGCUGUUGGCAUUUGCAAGUGGCCCCCCCUGCUUUAAUAUAUAAUUGGUUGUUUAAAUUUUUUUUUAUCAUUGUUAACCGUUAAUUAUUCCUACGAGACAUCUCUUCUAAUUAAUAUUUUUUAUAAUCGGAUUGGUGAUUAAAUUGAUUAGAUCAUCGGUUCUAGAUCCGUUUAGUUGAUUUAGUUUAAUUGAAUAAAUAAUUAAAAAUCAUCAAAAAUAUUAAAAAUAAAAAACAUUAUUCAAUCGACCCGCAUCGAUUCACCUCAUUUUUCGAAUUGAUGCGCCAAUUGAUUUUCAAUCUGACCGACCAUUUCGGUCUAAUUCCAAAAACAUUGCUUCUAACUCAUUAUGGCGACAUAGAUUGUGUGUGAGUGCGUGUCGUAUGGGAUAUUUUUAAGAAAAAUCUAAAAUAUCAUUUCAACUAGAAGCAUAAGGUUAAAAUAUUUUGUUAGUCUCUAUAUUUUGAUAGAAUUUGAGAUUUAAUCCUUAUACUUUUUAUAGAAUAUGAAAUUUAGUCCUUGUACUUGAAAGGUUGAAAUUUAAUUCCUCUUUCUUUCUAAUCUAAAUAUCCCAAUCCAAUUAUUAAUAUUGUCAGAAUUUUCUAUAAAAAAAAAUUCUCAACUUGGCACAUUGAUUAAGUUGUUUUCAUGCAAAGCGAUAUAUGAUUGACAAAAGAUAAAUAUGUUAAGUUAAUAAAUUUUGACAUAAACUAUCAACGACAAUAAUAAUGUGACUGGGAUCUUUAAAUUGAAAAAGUAGAAGGAUUUAAUUUUUAACUUCAAAAUACAGAAGCUAAAUCUUAAAUUCUAUAGAAUUACAAGGACUAAAACCAUAUUUUAACCAAAACAUAUGACUAAAUUAUACCAAAUUACAAAGAUCAAAUUAUAUGAAAAUGAAGUAUAAUAAAGGACCAAACCCCUUUGAUCUAUAAAUUAUAUCGAAAAAGUAUUUUGUUUAAUAUGGUUUGUCUUUUUCUUUUUGCCAAGAGACCCCUUCCAAUAAGAACAUUAUCCCCUUAGUCUUGUGGGUUAAUAUGAUCUCUGUGAGUCUUAAUUCAUUCUUGUAAUUAAUUAAUAUACAAAAUGAAGUCGGUGGCUUAUUAUAAUAUACACCCCCCUCUUCUUGGGUUUUUUUUUCUUUUUUUAUCAAUGAUGAGAUGAGAUUCCAUUAUUUUAAAAAAUGGUGAGAUAAGAUGAGAUUUAAUUCAUUAUCAUCCUCAACAUUCUAAUAUAGAUUGCUGUAUGAGAUGGGUGGGAUAUAUAUAUAUAUUUAACAAUAAUCUCAUUGUAGAUUUUUAUUUUAUAUGUUAUUUUUUAUUAUAUAUUCUAAUAUAUAAUGCGCUUAAGUGCACUCGAACCUGCGUCUUCCUGCACUAGCAACAAUGCCAAUGUCAACCGAGCUAAGACUCAAUCGACCUAUUUUUUAAAAAAAAUUAACAUUAAUCUCAUUAUAAGUUCUUAUUAUAUUUGCUCCUUUUUAUAGAAUACAAUGCCUAGAACUACACAUAAUCCCUCCUCAAUAUUUAAAUAGAAAGAUAAUUCAGCGCACUUGAACCUAUGUUCUCUUGCAUUGACAAUAACACCAAUAUCAAUCAAACUAAAACUCAAUUGACAUGGGUGGAAUAUAUUUAAUUGCAGUAAGACCAUUAAAGUAAUACAUCAUUCCCUAAUUGAACCUCACGUUUUUUCUGUUCCACUUUGUAUAAGAAUGUGUAUUUUAGCCACACCAAUAUAACGUGACAACCCAACAAACUAAUCCAUGUUAGAUGUGAGAUUGCCAUUGCCAGUAGGUGGCACGUGAGGGUUUUGGUGUAGUAGUUGUUUGCCUAUAAGAAACUCGAUGUCUCUUAAAUAAGAUCUCGAGUUUAAAUUUGGUGGGUGAAAAAAUAAGUUCGAGGAUACUUGUUCCUUUUUAAAUAGAUCUAAUCUCUCUUACAAAUUUCUCUUAGUGUCAAAUCUCACAUUCAAGAAUUUAAUAUGAAUUUUAGUCCUUGAGCUAUUAUUAGAUUCAUUUUGGUAUUUAUACAUUUUGUUGAUCUACCUUAAUACUUAAACAUGACACAAUGUCAAAAUAUCACAUCUUCGAACCUUUUACUUUUGCCAAGCCCAAAAACCAAAAUGGGCCUAAUUACAAAGUUCAAGGACUAAAAAGUUAUAUUAACUCUUUACAUAUCGGAAUCCAUUGAUUAAACCCAAGGUUGUUUUUUUUUCAAUAAGCAUGAUUAAUGUUGCAUGGUUUUAUGAUAAAAAUAGACUAUUUCUUAUAAUUUUUAAAGUUAAAAAAUCUUAAUCUUAGUAAGCUUCAAAACAUGACUUGAGACAGAGCGAGAGAGAAAUGAGAUGACGUUGAGAAAACGACAGGUUAUUUCCUCACAUUUUUAGGUCAAAUUCAUUUAUCAGUCCCUAUACUAUGCAUAGAUUAUAAAUUUAAUGCAUGUAUUUUUCAAAUUAGUCAGUUUUAGUCCUUUUAUAUUUAAAAUCUUAAAAUUUCAAUCCUAAACCAAAUCGCCGUAGCAGUUAAAUCUGUUAUAACAAAUUUUACCAUGGGUCUUGUAAGUUCAAAAUGUAUUUUAUUAGUUCUACUCUAACAUGCAUCAUUAACUCACUCUGAAGCAUCCAGAUAUCAAUGCUACUUAAAACUAAAGACACCUGGUUUUGUUCUCUAAAGCAUACUAUCCAUGGGGAACUACUUUGAUCAUAUUAACCCACAAAUGAUAUUAAAGAGCUUUAAUUAUUCAAGGAAGAAGAGACAUUAAACCUGGUGAUGAUAUAUUUUUUGAACUUAUAAGAACAGGAAAAUUGAAUGUAUGUUUUUAUCUGAUACCUACUUCCAGAUGCUCACAGAACAAAUGUUGGGUAAUAACAUCAGAUAUUUCAGAUUCGUCCAAGAAGAAUACAAUGCAUCAAGUCCUACUAGGUUGAUCGGAAUUUUUCACGGAGAUGAAUAGCUCCGCAUCCCAACCACAAUCAUCCAUCUACAGUACAAAAAAAAGAGGAAAAAAAAGGUGUAUGGUAUUAGAAAUGUAUUUACCAGUUUAUCCACACAAAAGAAGAUAUUCAACAGUAUGGUUCUCAUUUUGGCUGCAUUUUAUGAAGGACUCAGGUCAAAUAUCUCUUAAUUGACACACGAAGAAAACAACUAGAAGAUAUCACUCUAGGAUGGUUAAAGGUUCAAAAUCUAGGGCUUGGGAAAGGCCAAGUGUGGAAGCAUAUGCCCAAUUCAUCAAUUUCCAAGAACUAGAAUAUCCUGAGAUUAUAAAUGUCUCUUGAAAUCACAAGUUAGUCAAGAUGUGAAUGAAAUUCAAUAUCUCUGGUUUAUCUAACUGUAACAAACAUUGAUGAAAAUAACCAAAUAUCAUAUUCAUCAGCUGAUCCUUCCUUUGAAUCACAACACCUUCAAACGCACCUAUUUAUGGUUUUAAUUCCUUACAAAUUGUAGACUGAUAAGAAUGUCACUCAUCAACUUGUUAAAGUUAUGAACAGGGGAAAGCAUCUAAAGACCCUACUAAAAGCUUUAUUCCACCACCUUGUCUUAAGAGUGCAUUUAUCAAAACCUCUGCCCGAACUCUCCGAUAUUCAUCAUACAUCAUCAUUGCAAUCUGAGUGAAACAACAAAUCAUUAUUGGUCUUAUAUCCACCUUAUACUGGCAUGAAUAAGAACGUAAAUAAGGUUUAGUUCACGUUAAGUUAUAACACUUACUAACAGCUGAAUAACAGUCUCAGCUCAAAUAUGCAUAAGCAAAGCCUAUAUCAUCUGAAAGUAAGCAUCAGAUUUCAUGUAUUUUUCUUUGAAAAGUUAUAACUAAGUUGCAUCACUGAGAGUCUUUUAACCCUUUCCCAUCCAUACCAUAGGUAAACAAGUAAGCAAUUCUAAACAUUCAGAUAACCAAACAAAAUGACAAACUACAACACACAAUUCACUUUUCAGAAGCUUAACAGUAAAUUCAAAAUCAAUCAGUUAACUGAAUUAAAAAUAUAUUUAGCAAGAUUUCAUCUGAUGUUUCUAAAGCCAUGAAAUUGCAGGGCAUAGCAUUCAAUCUCUUGCCAUUUCACAAUUAUGAUCUCCUCAAGCACUGAAGAGAAAUUACAGUAGAAGUUCCAAAAAGUUUAACAAUGAAAAACUAAUGCAAGUCACUCCCUCUCUGUGCUUGCCCUUCAUCUAGUCUGGUUUUGCCCUACAAAAGGAGAAAAUAAUUUACAUUCUUCCAUUAGGCAGAGAGCAAUUACUACCUAUCCAAAAAGGGGAGAGAAAGAAAAGAUGAAAGAGGGAGUACAAUUUGCUACAUUUGGCUAUUGUUUUUGAGUGGUUGAUGCUAGUCUUAAAGUCGGCCGAUUUUGCUUAGCAGAUACACCCUACUUUCCCUCAUAAUUCUAGUUCUAAUGAAAUUUACAACAAUAUAUCUCUUUCCUUCUUGGUAUUUAAUUGCCAAUACUGAAGCUUAUCACUGGGAAACCACAAAGUUUAGGAAUAGCAAUCAUAAAAAAAAAAAAAGGUUUGAAUAUUGUCAUACGAGUGCACACACUUUUAACUCAAAGGAUCAAACAUGAUUUUCUUUAAUUUUGCUUCUAUGAGUAGGAUCAAAUACUUCUACUAGGAACUUUAACUUUGACUCGAUGAGGCAUUAUAUCUUAAUUCAAUUUCCAUUGAUUCAUUAAAAAUAAGCUAGAAACUUUGAAUCCUUUAAAAUAAUUCAACAGAUCAAAAUGAGAAGGAAAAAAGAAAGUGGAUAGGAAUACCUUCAGCGGUCCAAUUGGAUCUCCGGCGAGAAACAGAAAGCAUGGAAGUCAACAAAGCCGAAGCAGUGGCUGUGUGAUAAGGUAGCAGCGUUUCCACACAGCAGCUCAUCUCCACCGGUGACCUUUUCAAAUUCAUUUUAGAACUAUACUGCUAAUUUAUUUCAUAAACGAGUACAAGAGAAGAAUUAAUAAUAUCCAUUACCUGAAAAUGCGAGCAGGAAACGAGUUUUGCUUAGAGAUCCGAAAGGGCGAGCAAGCGGGUCGUGGCAUGGACUUGGUUGCACCGGCGAGUCUCGCGGCCGCGGUCGCUCGGGUGGCAGCGGAACGGAGGACGGACCUGGCGGCGGACAUUUUUGGUGGAAGAUUUUGGAGGGUUUUUGUGUUUUGGGGCUGAAGGGUUUUAGGCUUUCGAGGGGUUUUUGCAAAUCGGACUGUUUUUCUGUGUAUGUGAUCGUAUGGUAAAGCUGUUGGUUCUUGCAAAUCUAACUCGACACGUGGAUAGCUCUUUUUUUCUAAAAAAAAAAAAAAAGCCCAAAGGGCAAAACUAUAUACAACUAAGAAAUAUCAUUCAACGCAUCUACUGAUGGAUGAAAUCCAGAUAAUUCAAACCAAAUUCAAAAGUAACAUUUUUAUCCAUCAAUCAAUGUGCAAAAGCAAAGCUAACAACAUCAAAUGAACCACAAACACUCAAGUCCUCACUAACAACACAGACUCUAGGAUAAUUCUGCAGAAACCCUUCUCAAUGGCCUUCUGAACAGCACAAGCUAAAGCGACAGCCUCAGCUAAAGGAGUGCCAAAAGCUUCAGCAAUCGAAUAGGUGAAACCAGCUAGCACCAGUCCUUCAUGGUCAUGAACAAUGCCUCCGCAAGUAGCACAUCUUGUCUUCGCAUUCCAUGCUGCGUCAACAUUAACGGACGUCGAGGUAACAAUGGAGCAUAAAGAAGGUUAUGCACCAAGAACUCGUGAUGGAAGGAUCAAGUUCUUAACAUUACAUCUUGAGGGGAAGAAACUCGCCCCUGAUGCAUGACCUAAUUCCUUGCCUCCCAUAGUUGCCAGAGAAGCACAAGAAAACUAGUGAAGGCUUUUUUAUCCAAUAUCUUCCCCAUAGUCGUCUCGAGCCAUUCGAUCACAUUGUAGAAAUACAAACAAAGCAAAUCAUUAUAAAUACUACAUAAUGUUAAUGCCUCCCUCGAGUUCGCCUCUUGGGAAAACAUGUCAUAUCUCUCAAUCAUAGGAAGGAUGUCAUGGCCAAGCGUCCACCCAAAAAGUUGAACUUUUGAAAAGGUUUUUACCCUCUCAAGUUCCUUCUAUAAGAUUCAACGAGGUCCUCAAACUAUUGCACAAAUUCUAACAAAUGUCCCCAACUUUUGAAUAUCUGGUAUGUUUUUUAGGUGAUUCUAACAAAUGUCCUCAAACUAUUGCAUAGUUUCUAAUUGGUCCCUUAAUUUCAAAAUGAAAUGAUUAAAUCUUCAAAAGUAUUUGUAAUUGAAUUAAUAAUGUUCUUCCAUCAUUCUAACCUUCAAUAUAGGCAUUAAAUGUCUGUUUGUAUUUAAUGUGAAGCAUAUUUAAAACAUUUAAAGUAAAUUAUAAACAUAAAUAUACGUAUAGCAUGAACUAUUUGAAUCUAACAUGAUAAAAAAAAUGUAAUGCCAAUAACAUUUAUGAUAUAUAUAUUUUGAUAAUAGAUUAGAUUCAAGCAAAGUUGGUCAAUAAGUACAAAUAUAUUCAACAAAAGAACAAGGGAUUCUUCUUGUAAGGAUAGUUUGCACUUUGGUAGAAGGAAAAACAUUGGAUGAUAAUUUGUGAAAUGUUAUAGUUCAUGGAGAUUAAUCUAUUCAAAGUUUCGUGGUUUUCACUUUUAAUAAUGUCGUUUUUAAGAUUUAAAUUUGAGUUUUUCCUUUGAGAAUGCAAUGUCUCUUGUCAUUACACUCUGCCACUUAUUGGUUGAUGGUGGAUUAUGAAAUGAUCUAAGCUUACUUUCAUUUACUUUGUUAUCUCGAAAUCUUUGAUACAUCAAAAUAACAAUUUCUUCAAUGACAUCUAUUUAAAAGAUCUCAUUAUAGUGAAAUUCGGUAGGAUUCUUUUAAAUCAAUGGUUGAAAUGAAAAGUGAGAAAAAAAAUCAAUCCACCGUUUUGCAUUAGAAGCAUGAGUUUAUCUUUUAACCAAUUUAAUCAAUUUCAACACAAAAAGGAGAGAAACUGGUUUUCAAAGAAAAUCAAUGUAUUUGAUAACUGAUUUAACAAGUUUCCAAUCAUCAGCACAAUUUUACCCGUUUUUGACAUUACUUGAUCAAACGACUACAGUCUACUUAUUAUUGUCUUUUGACAACAACCAAUAAUUUUAAGAAAAUACCGUAAGAUUUCACUAUAAUAAAAUCUCACAUUAGACAUUACCCAAUUUAUUGAAUGAAAAUCCAAUUUUUUUUUUUAAAUGAAUCUCUAAGCCCAAUUCAGUUUGCUUUUUAGUUUCUGCCUCUCUGAUGUUAUGAGGUAGCUUGAAGGCCCCAAAAUGGAUGGGUAAUGAUCAACUGGACUCUGAAUGCUGAGCCAACAGCCCUUUGGGCAUUUCACUGUGUUUAUCCACUUUGUUUGGAUUUAUUCGCAAUAGUAUUGUCGUUUUGAAAUAAGAAAAGCAAAGCGAUUCCAAAAAGAGUCAAGGGCCUGGCCCCGGAUAAAAUGGUUUUAUUCCAAUUUUAGACCCUCUUAAAAAUUAUCAAUUCAAUUUAACUUUUUAUCAUGAAAUUCAUUUUUUCAUCUUGUUCCCUCUAAUAAAAAAUUCCCGGCGUUGCCCUUGAAGAAAAAGGCUGGCAGAACACCGCGAACUCAGCCGGUUAGGGUUUAGAGUAAAAUUGAGAUAAGAAAUAUAAAAAUUGAAUCAAAUUUUACCCCGCCCCGUCUACGCGUCAAAGUCCCUACAACUUGACCUAAAAAUGGAAGAUUGAGGAACAUGCAAUUACAGGUUAACAAAUAUCUAAAACUGAGGGACAUUAAAUAAUUACCAUGUGACUUUCUCCCCUUCCGAAAUGGAGCAAAUUGCAAACAAUAUAGCCAUCAUUAUAUGGCCAAUAUACCAUCAGGAAAUGCCCUUAUUUUAUGCCAACAUCAUAGGGCAAUGAAUCUCGUUUUCUCACCAGCCUGGCAACAAGUUGCUGUCCCUUACUUCCCAAUUCAUCAAAUUAUGAUUUUGAUCCUCAAUCUUCCUCAAAAUAUUUAAGGUUUACUUCCAAUAAGAUAUAAUUUGAUCUUUACUUUUAUAUGGUCAUUAAUUUAAUUCAAUCAUUUUUAACUUGUAUUUUGCUCCAUUUAUUUAAAAAAAACAGACAAAUUAGCCCAUGUAUAAUGUAUGUUAGAUCAAAUAAUAAACUGGUCAUUUCUGUUAAAAAUUGCAUUCAUGUCUAUUGUUAAAAACUGACGUGACUGACUAAAUAGCCAGACAAUUUCAUGUUGCGCGCCAUAUGUGCCUUAUAUUGAUAUACAAUGAUCGAUUUUUAACAAUAAAACUGGAGAUAAUUUUUUUAAUGGAAGAACUAGUUUGUUCUCUAAUCUAACGUAUAGAAAUUAAUUUACCCAUUUUUUGAGUAAUUGAGGUCAAAUACAAUUUGGCUUAUAAAAGAACCUCCAUAAUACUUUUAUCGACCAAAGCAUGUCAAAUUAAAGUAAAUAAAUUAAAUUUCAAAUUUAGAUAUAGUAAGAUGAUCAAGAUCAUAAUUUGGUUCUUCUCAAUUAGAUUUUUCUUUUUUUAUCAACUACAAUAUAAAUAAAAAUGUCUGGAUUCUAUCAUCUAAAUACGUUUCUCUAAACAAAUUUCUUCCAAUCAGAUGGACUUAUUAUUAUUUAAAAUGAAUUUCAUUAUAGGUUUUUAGUAUAUCUGUUCCUUUUGAUGCCAUGCUUAGAACUAUUUAUAGGCAAUCUCUAAUCCUUAAAUAAGAGAACAAUGCGCUUCAACGCACUCGAACCCACAUCUUCCAGCACUGCUAACAAUAUUAAACUAAAACUCAAUCUGCAAUAAAAUGGAAUUACUAAAUCAGAUAAAGUAGGUGAUGAAACCCUAGCUCAUGGUCAGCUAUUGUCCCCUUUUUAACUUCCAUUUCAAGCAAAGUAGACCAGCAGAUGGGAAAAUUAAUUUCAUUUCAUAACAUUAUGAAACCAUAUCAAACCCACCACCUUUCUUUCCAAGGCUAAUCUGACCUAGCCUCCUUGUAUUUAUUAUGACUUGUUGGUAUUAUGCCCUCAUGUAUUUUCUUUUUUAACCAGAAUUUUGUUAAUAUUUGCAUUAAAAUGUUGGGAAAAUAAAAAGAUCUGGGUACAGCUAGAAUCAAUGGUGAGAGGUAGAGGGAACUGAAAUAAUGUGUGGGUGGGUGUAAUCAUUUGUUUCUUUACAGUACAGCACCAGUAUUUUACAUCUCUCUUCAAAUUGGUCCAUUUCUUUUUAAAAUUAACCAUUCAAUUCCCAGCAUCAUGAGUGCUCCCACGAUCAUAUGCUCCUAUUUUCUCACAUUGGGUUCCAUAUUAAGACACUGUACUGCUAGUUAGGGCACCCUGGUCCCAAAAAUAAUUACUAGGCUUAGCCUCACACUUUUGAAGUUUAUCAAUAUAUUAUAUUAAGGUCAGAACCUAACCCUUUAUAAAAACUAUAGUAUUAAACAUUAAUUCCAUGGUGACCAUAUAUAAAAUAUAGACCUACACAACAUUAGUCUUUGUAUGGCUAUAUAAGUUCAUAUAUGUAAGUCAAAAAGAAAUUGGACCCAAAGCUUUAGAACACGAAUAAAGUCAUCAUUUAUCCGUCAUUCACGGAGAAGAUAAUCCAAUUCAAAUGGAUGAUUUUUCACUUUCCUUUCCUUUUUAUUAUUUAGAGUUUUUUAAUUAUAUGUUUCUUUCUAAAUUCUUUAAUUUUGAAUUGAUUGAGUAUUAGUUCGAUUGACAUUGACAUUGUUGUCAGUAUAGGAGUACGUGGGUUCGAGUGCAUUGAAGCACAUUAUUCUCUUAUUUAAAAGUUAAGGAGGGACUGUGGGUAGUUCAUAAUAUUGGAUUCAAAAGAUUAGAUAUAAUAAUACUAAUCAAUAGUGCAAGGGGUAAAUUGCUAAUCGUAAAAUUGCUUAUUUUUCUUAUAAUGAAAAGGGAUUAAAACCUAAUUUGCAUAAAACGAGCAAGUAGAGCAAACGAUCCAAAGGAAAUCUCAAUAAAUGGGAUUCUUAAUUGCAUUAUUUCAUUGCUUAAUUCUGGGCAAUUUGUGACUUGCCUAAGAAUGAUGAUAAAGGAUAAGAGCUUGAGAAAGGAAAGUCAUGAUAUUUACUUUUUCAUUGUCAUGGAUUUCAAAGUCCUACAAAAUGUACACUAUUAUACAAUUAGUCCUUUUAAGUAUCAAUUUCACAUCUUUUGACUGCUAAAUCACAUUUAUUUCAUUCGGUGGAAAUAAUAGGAAACCAAAUCAAAAAGUGCCUUACUGUCAAAGGCAUGCACAUGUAUUUAUAUUUAUUUUCAGCUAUUGAAUGGACCGCCGUAUAAAAAGCACCAUCAAUGUACAUCAACAGUCCCUAUUCAUAUCUCUUUACCACAUGCCAAAUGGGUGUGUAUUUAUACCAUUUAUGACCCAUGUUAUUGACAAUUGUUAUCACCAUCCAAAGAUAAGAUAUCAUCAACUAUGGUAGCUAGCUAGUAAUUUGUGUUGCUUGAUUUGAGAAUGGAUUGUAUCAAAUUGAGAUUUCAUUUUAUCUGUGUAUCCCUUUUUAAUAGGAGAAUGAUAAAAAAUUAUAUUUUUUUUCUAAAAAAUUCAAAUCUAAUUAAAAAUACUAAAAAUCAGGAAAAAAUAUUAAUUUGUUAUUCUCUUAUUGAAAAAUGAUAGAGAUGAGAGAGAAUUACAGUUUUAUACCAUCCUUGAAAUUGAAGAGAAUCAUUUAUAUAUAUAUAUGAAAUCGAAUAGACAAAGUACACAAUCUCAAAGAUCUUUACGAAGAUGUAUAUAUAUAUGAAAACUACUAGAUAGAAUUCAACUUUUUAAUAGGCUUUGUCAUGGGUUCAUAAAACAAGAAGAAAAGAUCAAAAACAUGAUUUAAGAUUUUGUCAAGAUUAUCAAUGAUGAGAAUCAUAUGAAACAUCAAUGUCAUCAUGAAAAAACUAAUUAAAACUUGGAUUUUUUUUGUUGUCAUUUUGUUCUUUAAUUAAGCUCUAGUAAUUUUUUUUGGACAAUCACUUUAUACUAUUUAUAAUUUUUCUUUAGGACACUUCAGCUCACUCGAACUCACGCCCUUUCGCAUAAACAACAAUAUUUGUACCAAUCGAGUUAGACUCAAUUAUUAUUUUUGUUUAUUUUAAUUUCACAAAAUUAAAAUAGGAAGAAGAUAUAUAUAAUAUUGGAACAUAUAAUUACAUUUUUAUUGCAUAACAUUGUUUAAGAAAAGUAAAAAGCAUAAGGCUCCCAUAUCAUAUCUUUUAGCAUUUCAAUAUCAAAAGCAAAGGAUGCUAUCAAACCCUGCAAAUAAAAUAAAAAAAGAUCACAAAGUAAAACACAAAACCCAAUAAAUAAAGCCUUUAAUUCUUUACUCUCAUUUUGCUAAUUAAUUAGCAUAUACGUAUGGUUUCAUGGCUCGAACUCUUCUUCGAACUCCUCUUGAUUCUGAUUGUACUUUCCCAUGUUAUUGUAACGGUUCUCGUUGAACUCGUUCCUCGAACCGACUCCCCUCGAGUUCUCGAACCGGUUCGGGUAGUAGUUGUUCUCAGAACCCACACGAUAGUAGUACUUCCCAUUCUCCAAGUACCUAGUAUCACUCAUACCUUGCUUCUCAACAUUGUUGUACUCAUUGUUACCAUUGUAAUAGUUGUUGUUGUUCUGGUUUUCCUUAGUACUCCAUCCUUUCUCAGUGAACAUGGCCUCAUUGUUACCAUUGUAAUAGUUGUUGCUAUUCUGGUUUUCCUUAGUACUCCACCCUUUCUCAGUGAACAAGGCCUCAUUGUUACCAUUGUAAUAGUUGCCAUUGUAGUUGUUGGUUUCCUUGGUGGUCCAUCCUUUCUCAUUGAACCUGGCUUCACUUUGCUGCUCAGUGUUCCCGUAGGCAUUUGUCUUGCUAUAAAAGUAAGAGUCUUUGUUGUUGGUUUUGGACGCUGGGAUGCUAUUGUAGGGUUCAUCAGGGUGGUAUUUAACAGGUGUGACAUAGGGUUCAUAGGUUUCUUUGGUACUGGUGGUGCUAGGAGGGAGCUGACCAGACUCGUGACCGUAAAGCCCAUAGCCAUUUUGGGUCUCGGGGACAAACCUUGGCUCUUGCUCCUUCUUCCCCAAAGUGGUUUGUUCUUCUUUGUUGGUCACCUCUUUCUCAUUUGUGUUAACACUUGGGAUUUUGCUAAAAAAAUCCCUACCAUGUAUUUCAACGGAGAAGAGGGCUAAAAGGAAGAAGUAAGAGAUGAAUUUUGGUGAAGAAGCCAUUGGCAAAAAAAAAAAAAAAAAAGGGAAAGCAAAGAUUUUGUAGGUAAUGUAAGAGACUACACACUAACGAGGAAUACGUGAUGAUGCAAAGUGCUUAUAUAGAAAGAGUGGAAGAGCAAUGAUUUUGUUUUCACUCUAAAUUGUUAAAAUUUUCUACUCAAUUAACGGAGGGGGUGAAGAUGGUUAUGAUUGUAGGGACUUGGAUGAGAGAGAAAUAUCAAAAGAGGCCCUUUUACUUUGUGGUUUGUUGUUAAUCAACCAUGUUUCAUUUAUUUCAUUCUCAAUAUCAUGAACCCAAUGUUUUUAAAAUCAGAAAGAAUCAAAAGUAAUUAAUAUAAUUUUAUUAAAAUCUCAACUCUUCCUAGAUUCAAGUCACAAAUAAAUUCUGUUUGCAAUGUGUAAAUUAAUUACAAAUAUACCCAAAAAUAUAUAUAAUUUUAUUGUAUAUUGACAUACAUUAUUAUGCAUAAAAAUAUAAAAUCCUUUUUAUGCAUAUAAAAAACAAUCAUGGCAUACAAAAGUUUAUGUUAAUUAUUAUAUUUUAAAAGUGGUUUUUGUAAAAUAAAUCUACUAGGAUUGUUUAUAAUUUCUAUUUCCCCACAGUGGGAAACAAGUGAAAUGUGUAAGCUUUAUUUGUUUUUUGGUCACAUAAGAUUCCCUCCUCACACUCCACUUAAUUCUUUACCAAACCUAUUAAUUAAGAUCACUAUUAUUUGUGUAUCAAACUAUUGAGUGUUUCGUAUCUUCUAAGCAAAACCCAAUUUCAUUUUAUUUUAAUAUUUUAAUAAAACUCAUCAAUUGUGUCUUAGCGUGUUGUCAAACUAGUGGAAGGACGUGGACGGAUUAUGAGUAAUUUUAAACAUCAUAUAUAAAAAAAACAUAUAUGAUCAGAACUUAUAAAUUUAUUAUUUCAUUUUUCUAUCUCUUAAAAAAAUAAUAAAAGGGCAAAAAAAAAAAUUAAAGUUUAAGAGAUUUGAAGGAAAAAUGUGUUGGGUGGCUGGUUGGAUUUAAUUCAAAUUAAGUUUUCGAUUGGUUGAACUUAAAUUUAAAUUAAAUAACUUAAAAAUAUUUAUUUAAAUUUAAUUAUAAAAAAAUAAUAUUGAUAUAAAAUUAUAGAUUUUUAAAUUUUUUCAACAUUAAAAUUGACUACUUAAGUCGGUCGGAUCGAACUCAAAAAAAGAAAGAAUCAAGUCAUUACUCGAUCAAAAUCGAUCCAUUAAUUUUGGGAUAUUAUUUUUAACCUAAACCCUCUUAUAUCUGGUAACUAUAUCAAAUCUUAAAAAGCUUAGAACACAUUAUAAUGGUGGGAUAGGGAGGGGGGGGGAAUAGAGGGCAUCGUGGGCUGUGGAAAUUUAGAGAUGAAAGGGAGCGGCGGAUGAUACUGCGAGGAUUAAGGGGGAAUUGGUGGGACAUUAAACUAUGUCGUUUAGCGGCUGUCUCCAUGUUCUAUUUUUCUACACCGUAGGUUGAUUUUUUUUUUAUAAAAAUUAAUAAUUGAAUUUAGGUAUAAUUAUAUGUGCCUUAUUAUUAUUUAUAGGUUUUGAUUAUAUCUGUUCUUUUUGACACAAUGUCUAGAAUAGGUAUAGCCCCUUCUCAACCAAUAAAUAGGAGGAUAAUAGGCUUCAACGUACUCGAACUCACGUCCUCUUACAUUGGUAACAAUAUCCAUACUAAUCAAAUUAAGAUUCAAUCGACUAUUGUUUUUCAAUUUUUAAAGAGUAGUUAAGAAUUGUAAUUAAUAAUAACUUUUAAUGAUUAAAAAAUAUAUUUUUAUUAAAUAAGAAAAAAUAUAAUAUAAUAUAAAGAAUUAAAACAAAAUUUCACUUUAUUAAUUAAACACGUCUAAUAAUGUAUUUACCCUAAUAAGUUGCUUCAAAUGCAAAUUACUUCCAUAGCUAGCAAGGAAAAAACAAACAAACAUUCUUUAAUUGUAAUUGAAUAUUGGAUACCAAAUCUUUUUAAAUAAUCUUUAGUCAAAUAUAUAAAAUUUUACGAAAAUUAAUAGGAUUUAAAAAAUAAUUGAUUGAGUCUUAGUUUGAUUGGUAUGUACAUUGUUAUCAAUCCAGGAAGAUGUAGACUUAAAUACGCUGAAGUGCAUUGAAGAAUAUAGAGAGAGGCCAUAAGUAAUUCUAGAUAUUGCAUAAAAAAAACAGAUAUAAUCUAAACUUAUUUCUUUUUAUAAUUAUUCUGACUCACGUUUGAGACUCAUGCAACGAAAAUUCAAGCACCAAUGUCUAAAGCAACAUAAAUAUAUAUGAAAAAAAAGAAUGUUGUCAUUUUGUUUUGAUAGCCAAAUAACAUGAAAGUGCGACUUAAAGUCUAAUCUAAGGUUAAUCUUGAUUAACACAAAAUGAAUAUUUUUCACAUUAACAUUUUUUGAUUUAUGGGUUUUUGAUUAUUCUUAGCUGAAAAUAUUGCAUUCCCAUGUAAAAAGUUUUGGACAUAUAAAAAAAGUAUAAAGACUUAAAAUAUAAAUUAACCGACAUAUUAAACGCAAAAUAAUCUUUAAAAUUAUCUAUUUUUGAGAAGAGAUAUAACGUGGUCUUUAAUGUUUAAACUCACGAGUUAGGAAAAAAAUUGUAAAUUCUUACUCUUACUUUUGGUUUCUUGUUGCAUCCCAUUGAUUCAGUGAAGUUUUAGUUGCGUGAUCAGCGGCAGAGGUGCUUUCAGCCAAUGCAAAGCAUGUAUCCAUCAGAGCUGGCAAUCAAACUCCUCCCACCUAUUAACCUAAUUUUGAAAAUCAAUGUUUGCCAAAAAACAGACUAGUAAGACAUGUAUUUUAACAUAAAAGAAAAAGCAAAUUGAGUUUUAACUCGAUUGGUAUUGUUGUCAAUGCAAUAAGGCGUGGGUUUAAUUGCACUGAAGCGUAUUAUCCUCCUAUUUAUGGGUUAAGAGAGGCUAUGGGUAGUUCUAGGCAUUAUGUCAAAAAAAAAAAAAACAGAUAUAAUCAAAACUCAUAAUUAGAUUGUUCAGAAGAGAAGAAGAAAGGCACUAUCGCUAACUUCAAUUUACGUGAAUCAGAUUGAUUUUGGAUUUACUUAAAUUUGAUUUUAAAUCUUUUUGAAUUAUUUUAAGUUUGGAUUAGUUUAGGUAUGAAUUGUUUCGAGUUCAAGUUAUGUUUUUCCAGUUCUGGUCAUCUCAUUUUACUCCUUAAUAUCAUUUUAAAUUUGAUAUUUCGGUUUUAGAUGGAGCAAAUUCAAGUUUUUAACAUUUUAUAAUCAAAUUAUAUGAGAUCGAAUUUGAAUUCAAAUUAGUUGAAAAUACCCCAAAGUGUAGUAAAACACAAGCUACAUGAAACAGGAUGAAUAAAGUCAAAGCAAUUGGUCCCUAAAAAUGAGGUAAAAGUCUAAGGUAGCUGCCUGCAAAAUUCAACUAAACUGAAUUCACAAAAGUAGAGUUUCUGUUAAUGUGGUUGGGGUUUGGUAGGUUUACAUUUCAAGGAAAUUUGAUGGGUAAAGUAGUUGUACAUCAAAUAAAUUCAAAGUUAUUAGUUGGGUUCAGUAAUUCCCUACCAACAUUUAAAAUAAGAGUUGGUUUUGUAGUAAUAAAUAAGUGGGUGAUGGACAUAUCAAUUGAUUGGUUAUAUCAUUUUUAGUAGGAUCAAUUUCGGUUAGUUAGAUUAUUUUAAAUUCAAGUUGUUUCGGGCUUUCAUCAUUCAGAUUGAGAUUUGUUUUUUUAGUAUUAUUCAUGUUCGUUUUAGGGUCCAUGUUCGGGAUUUGUGGCUGUUCCUCUCAAUAAUAUUGUUUUCAAGCUUCAAAUUUAGGUUCUCCGUUUGAGAGUGCAAUGCACCUUACCAUUACAUCCAAUCACUUGUUGAUUGUUUUGUCAUUUUAAAUGGAUCGUUUUAAAUUAUUUAUUUAAAUUAUUUUAAGCUCAAAUUAUUUUAGAUAUAAUUCAUUUCGAUUUUAAAUUUUUUGAAUUAAUUUAAUUUUGAAUUAUUUUAAAUUUAAAUUAAUUUUAUUUUUAAAAUAAAUUAAUUCGAAUUCAAAUAGAUGCAUUGGACCUGCUCAUGGCAUUGAUAAGGUGUGGGCUAGGCGAAGGUCAAAAUGCUACAAUGAAAUCCAUGUGGUAAAUAAUGGUCCCAAUGAAAGCACAUCAAGAAUCACAAGGGACCAAAUAAUCAAGAGAAUUUAAGCACUUAUGAUUUUAGUAGUAUUAUGGAUGGUCUUAUAUUAAGAGUUAAAAAUGAAUAAAUUAAUCUUUAUACUUAAAUUAAAGAGUAAGUAGAUACUUCCAACAACUUUCGUCCAUUUUUAUUGUUGAAAACCAGCAUGAUUGAUAGAAUAAUCGAACAGUUACACUUGAUAUGUCAUGUGUAUCUCAUUUUAACAUAUAGGGACUAGUUUUUAAUAGUAGAAAUGAAUAAAAUUUUUAACAAAAUGAUCAAUUUACCCUUUAAUCUAAUGUAUAAGAAAUAAUUUACCUAUUUUUUAAUAGAACGAGCAAAAUACAUUUCGACUCUCAAUGACUAAUUCAAUUAAUAAACAUCCCUUUACCCCACCAUUUCCCUUGCCAUCAAUCCAAUUUUAUAUCUUUCAAAUUUCAAAUUUGAUUUUAUUUAAAAUUUUAAUAUUCAAACUCGAUAAAGAAAAUCUCCAACUCGUAUCUAAUCCGCCCUGCUCCACCCUGAUAUAAUAAACAAAUUCUUUUAUAAAAACUUAUAGAAGUUUUUAAAAAUCUAAUUAAAAAAUAAAAACAGUUAUAAAAUUAAAAAAAAUAUUUGGAUAAAUUAUUUGAGAAAAGACAUCUUAUUAUAGGUUCUGAUUAUAUCUAUUAUUUUUGGCACAAUACCUCGAACUAUUCAUAACCCUAACCCAUAAAAUCUGCUUUUACAAGGUAUGAUUUGAAUUUUUUGGGUGAUUGAUAGUUGGGGGCAGUUGGACCUCCUGGAAAUCUCUGAGACCCUUUUUUGAGUAAAAAGAGAGACUUCCCACUUGGACUAAAGAAGGGGGACUUCUGCCGAGUGUCUCAAAAUUUUUAAUUUUUACAAACUUAUAUCAAUACCAACAUUUCUACCAAAAAUCAUUAAAAAAAUUGGUAAAAGUUAGAUAUAUGUGUAUGCUUCGAGCACAUGGGAGAAUUUACCUGAAGAAGGGAGAAGGCAAGUUGUCCAAAAUAAAGGUUAAAAGAACAAAAAGGAUAACGGUAACAAUCAUGAGAAUAUGCAUGCUGAAAUGAUUUCAUCUUCUUUAUCCUACCUAAAUAUUUGUGCAUAAUUCCGUAUGAAUCAUUAUUACUUUGCAGUAAAGCUCUAAUUGUGGUGCUAAAAGCAUAAAAAGUAAAAUCAAAAUGUAGCAGCUAGCAAGCCUGAUGGUAACUAUUUCAAUUUCCGAGCGUGAAAAACUCAGGCUGCAAAUUUCAAAAGUACAUAUCAUAUUGUAUUAAUCUGGACACUGGAAUAAACUCGUGUUGCUGGUUACCGCUGAUGUGAUGAUUAUACGCCGAUUGACCCGGUGCUGUGGUGUGUGCGUGUCCCAACUCAUCUUUCACCUUUUAGCUGUGCGGAAUCAGAUUCUAUAUUCUAGAUGACAGAAGAGAAUAUAAACUGCAAUGGAAGAGAUUUCUUGACCUAGCUGAACUGUGAUGACAGCACCAUCCAAGCACCCAGUACAGGGAAGGUAAUCAAUGCGGAAGCCUGAAAUACAACCAAAAUGAAUUAUACCAGUAAUUCAAGUAAAAUUUCAGGAACAGAAGAAGGCAGUAGAUACACGAGAACAUACCAGAAAGAAUACCAAUUCAUCAUUGACAAAAGCUGCAGUAAAUUCAUUUCUUCGCAUUUCUUGUUUGAUGAAACCUUGCAACUGUCAACAAACGGGUAAGAAACAAGAUAUUUGUUUAUUUCAUAGGCAAAGGUUUCCAGUGAAGGGAUACAUAUGUAUCUUUGUUCUUAGGCACUAUUGAUGCACAUUAACUAGUAAACUGGAACUUGUUUAUAUUAUUUCCCCUUAAACCAUUAACAUUAUUGCAACAAGCACAAGGUAGACAAUGAUGAAAUACAAAUUCCUGGUAAAUCUAAAUCCUUAAUUCGUAUAUCAAAUCAAAUUCUGCACUUCGGAGGAAAAAUGAAUUGUUAUCACCUAAGGACCAAAAAGUAUUAGAAUGCAGAAUUCAUGUUUGCAAAUGUUGCACAGAGAUGAUUGACAGAGGAUUCAAGUUGGAAGUGCAAGAUAAUUCUUGACUCUGUCUAACAAAUUAAUCUCACUGUGUUGAAAAAUAAUGCCCGCAUAAAGCUGAAACCAUUCCAGGCGACAUUCGCAUGGGACUCUAAGAUAGAGCCAAAGAAGGUUCACAAUCUAAGUCAUCAAGACACUAAUCGUACUCUCUAUAAUUCAGGGGAAAAGAAUCUUUUUAGCUGAUAGAACUAUGAUUCUAUGAUUACUGACAAUCUUGUUUACAAAACUGAGCAACCUAGUUGGAAGAGGCCAAAGGUUUCCAGAUUCAUGGUGAUUAAGCAUAAAACUGAUUUAGUAGAAAGAGAUCAUGCCUAGGAGUUUACACAGAGCCAAAGGAAACGGUCAACUUAUCCAUUGAGCAUUUUCUAUUGUUGGAAACUUUCACAAAGUAUACUUUUAUGUAGUUUUGACAUUGAAGAUCUCCAAGAGUAACCUGAUUCGUUUUGAGGUACAUUAAUCCUAGAAAAUCACAUUGCAAUGCUAAACAUACCUGAUGGUGAUACUUUUUAAUUGCUGAGUAAAAUCUUCUCAAUUGUUGCAGAGCUUGAGACAUGUAGUACUUAAUGGUAGAUCCUUUUCCGAAUGAAUAAUAUUCCAAUGCACCGAGCAUCUUUGGAAGAUGUCUUUCAGAAAGGUCAUUAAAGAACUAUAUUUGCAGAAAAGAUUUGAUUUGAUUUGAUUUGAUUAAGACUUGAAUGAAAGAUAAGCAUUUGGCAAAAUAUCAUUACUUUUACAAAAAAUUCAAAUGGACUGAGACAGAUGUAAAAAUAAUAAUAAUAAAAGGUCUGAAAGACUAUGUCAGCUUAUUAUAUUACCUUCAAGAAUGAGCAUCUCAUGUACCUUUGCCUUUGAUCUUGCAAUGCUCUCCUCUGUAUGACAAAAAGCAAUUAUGCUAAUUAACAGAUUGAUUAUAAUGGCAGAAUGUUUACUUUUUUCUUUUAAACUUCCUUAUGAAUUGACGAAUAACUGAUAUUAAUAAGGUCCAUCGAAGGCAAUACUUGUGCAAGUUGAAGCGCCUGCUCAAGAUGUUGAAUUUGAAUCCAUUGUUCUGUAACAACUUCUGCCAUCUGAAAACAAGGGAAUGAAACUUUAAGAGAGAAAAGUACAACUAUUUCAACAUCAGCAAUAGAGAAAACAAAAUCAAAACGGAAUAAUUUUUAUCAAGUUUUCGACACAACACAAUCAAGGAAAGGCCAAAUUAACCAAGAUUGAGUUCUGAGAACAAUGGUCAUUUCGAUUAACAAAAAAAAAAAAAGAAUAUCCGGGUGAAAAAACUUCCUUUAUUCUUUUUCUUUUCAUGGUUUAACAUCUUAGCAGCAACCAGAAACUGAAGUCUGAAUGAACCCCCUUCCCCAAAAACGAUACAUAAAUCUAGAAAUUAGAACAACAAUAAGAUGGUCUUUAAAGCAUUUUUGCUGUUCUUGAUGAAAAUUCUUUUAAGUUGAUAAAGGUCAUAAUAAUACACAGAAAUGCUUAGUCAUUCAACAUUCACUAGCAGAGUCUCUACACAGAAAUGAAAUUAAUGCAUGCACAAUGCUGACCUUUUCAACUUUUAAAUUAACAGCUUCCACCCUAUCCUCAGUGUCCUGUGCUUCCGAUUCCAUAACAUGAAGUUCAAAGUUGUUCUUUCUCGAAGCAUCCCAAAGCAAACGUACCUAGGAGAACGAGGCCUACUACUCAAGUCAGAUGAAUAUUGCAAAUAAAGCAAGCAUUACAGGCAAGGAAUCCAAUAGUAGAAAAAAAUGGAAUUAGGGAUUAUAUUUAUAUUAAACCAUUUAAACGAACCUCCUCUUCUAGAGCCUUAAGCUUUUCAUCAGCAAGUAAUGAAUCAUCCUGCAAUUAACAUAAUAUAGAAAUUACAAUUCAUAGCCGAAUAAACCCUAAUUUAGUACACUGAACUCUUCAAACUACGCUUCUUUAGGGAAAGACAUUCAAUAACUGAAAAUAAUUGAAAACAUAAUAAUAAAAAAGCAAAGCUUCUUGGCUAAGAAUUGAACCUUAAGAGUGGAUAUAACAGACUGCAGAUAAGUGAUCUUGUUUUCCAUGCCUUCGAGAAGCUUCUCGCGUUCCUUGAGAAGAAGGGUUUUAGCAUCAAUGCUUUGAAUUGUUUCUUCGAGAACAGAUUCUACAAUCAUAUUUACAAAGCAUCAAAGAAUUGAAGAUUACGAUUAGUAAUUUGUUUCUAAUGAAGCGUUUAUCGUUAAAAAGAAUUUGAGAGGGAAAAUUACCCAAACGAGAGAGCUUUAGCUUGGCGUCAUCCAAUUCACGGAUCAAGAGGUUGUGGUCGUUGUUAUUUAGUUGAUCUUGCGAUGUGAGAGAGAUGAAGAAGACGAAGAAGAAGAAACCAGUGAAAAUGGCGGGAAAGAGAGGAGCCGCCAUUGCUGCUUCUUGAAGUUGCUAAUACGAUCUUUUCUUAAAGAAGCUUUUUGUUGCUAAGAGAAAGAUGGAGUAAUGGUGGACUUUGGAAGGACAGAUCUGCUUUCCCAUAACUAACCAUUGUUUUUAAAGAAAUUGUUUAUUUGAUAUUGUACUUUUCAAAGGAUAAAAUAUUUAUUUUAGACAUUAUUUACUAAAUUUUAUAAAACUAAAGAAAAAAAAAAGUUAUAAGAGUCAAAAUUCAACUUUCAAAGCUCAAGUUACUAUUAAUAUCACGGGACUAAAACUUCUGACAAGUCGAAUCGAUUUAGUCAUUUUUAACGAAAAUAAAUCGACGAUCAAGAUUAGAGCUUCUCUACCAUUGAAAGUUCUAUAGGAUUUAAUCUGUAUAUAAUUUUAUCACUUUAAGAUUUACGCUAUUUAACCUAGUAACUCUAAUUUUAUAGAAAUGUUUCACUGAGCCAUAAAGGCUUCAAGUAUACGAGUUCCUUCAUGGGUUCCACGAAUCGGGACAGUUCAUAUGGGUCAAAUGUGAGUUGACUUCUAUGCGGCAUUUUGUGCACAAUAAUCACAUGCUUUAGUCUGUGACCCGUGACACUAGUCUAGAGAAUAAAAUAAAAAAUUAGAUUUAGACUAAUUUACCUGUGUACCUAUUGAAUCUCAUGCCUAGGCUUUUGCUCUACUCGAAUCUAACGUUUUGUUGCUUGGCUUUUCCUUUCUUUAAAGUGAUCAAAUUGUUUACACAUUUUGUGCUUCUUUGGUGGAACUACGAGGAGAGAUUAUAAAAGUUCCCUUUCUUCAGAAAGCAUCGAUGCUCUUGCAAGGUACAGAGCAUAAGCAUUCUUCUGGAGUCCCUUUGAAGCUUGGAUGGGGUGCUCGUUGCGCAUUUGAGCUAUCUUCCAUUAAUGGGAUAAGUUUGUUUGGUGAGCUUUUAUGCUUAAGCUUGUGUUUUGUUAGGCUGAAUUUGAGCCCAGAUUAUUGGAUAUCAACAAUAGUUCUCAGGUUUCAAAAUACCUUCCGAAAGAUCAGCAGUAACUGCUGCAAUAGGACUUGGCUCCACGGUGUGCUUCCUCUAGACUUUGACUAUCACUUCAGGACUGCACCCUAGGUCCGCCAGCAAAAUAAGCACAUACUUUUAUUUCAGCUGUUGUUGUUGCUAAUGAUGCGUGUUACAAGGUUUUUUGUUAUCAAAUUAUUGAUUAAUUAAUAAAAAAUGUUGUUAAUAUCACAGCUUGGACAGUUCUAAAUCAAGAAUAUGUAGCCUUAGAAGCAAGUUCUCUGCAUGAUGAAAUCACAAAUACUAUUCACAUGAUGUCUUUUUUUUUGGGCACGUAUUCUGUUUCCGGGCCUAAACAGAAACCAAAAAUGAAAAAAUAAAAAAACAAUAACAACAAGACUCAUUAACAACAGCCCAAGAUCCAAUUACAAAAUUACUGGCCCAAUACACAAACCCUAAAGCCCACAAUAUUAAUUUUUUUCAGAAAACUAAAACAAAACCCCAGCCCCUUCAUGCCGCGCCCCAUGUCGGCAUGCCCACCCCCGAGGUUUGCUCCCCUAACGCACCUCUUGCACCAAAAUGGCAAGACUUGAGUCUCGUUAUCGCUGUUGACUUCGCCACCUGCAAAAAAAGAUAAAGAAAAAAGACAGAGACCAAACAGUGCAAGAACAAACGCAUAACAGUAAAAUAUAAUAUGUAAAUCGACUUUAAAAGCCCCAACAAUCAAUGUAAUUUUUUUACGGAGAAAGCAAUAAAAAAAAGCAAAGAAAAAUCAAAUACAAAAAAAGCAAAGAGUUAACAAAAGUAGUUUUUUUUUAAAUCUCGUCUAAUAAAAAAGUAGUUUUUUUUUAAAUCUCGUCUAAUAAAAAAUAUAAAAGAGUAAAAAGGCUCGAUUUUUACCUUCGGUGCUUUGUCUUCGACCGUUGUAGGAAUCCAUCGUCGUAGGGGCUAUCUCUUUUUUUCUUUUUUCUUUUUUUAAAAAAAAACCCCAAGAAACUGAAAGGUUUCAUCUUUUAUUUUUAUUUUUGAAUUUUGGAUCAUUUUUUGGGAAUUUUGACUCCGGAUCCAUGCUCUACAAAAAAAAAGGACUCGAAAGGGAGUCUUUGUAACAGCCCAAUUUUCAAUAGUGUCAGAAUAGUGAUUUGAGAUCACUAAAUCUAAUGAAAACUUUAGAAAAAUUUAUUAAUUAAUAAUUAUAAGUUCAGCGUGAUUUUAGAAAUAUUUUUGAAUUAGCAAAUUUUGUGAUUUAAAAGAAAUUAUUAGGAAAAUUGGGUCGAAAACGAGGUAUUGAGACCUCGAUAUUAUAAACUGAGCUGUAAAUAUUUUUAUAAAUAUUUACGGAGUGUCAUUAGGGUAGUAUUAAAGUUUCGUUAAGAAAUUUUAAUGUUCCGAUGGUUAAUUGAUUAAAAAGGACUAAAUUGCAACAAAGGUAAAAGUUUAAUUAUAGAUUAAAGAAAAGUUAAAAGGACUAAAUAAGUAAAUAUGCCAACUCAAUAAAUGAGGCGGCAUAUGCAUGAUAAAAUCUGAGAUUUUUUUAAGUAUAUUAUUAUUUUAUUAUAUUGUAAAUUAUAUUAUAUUAUUAUAUUAUUAUAUUUUAAAUAAACAAAAUUGUUGACAAAUGAUGACAUGUGGAAAAAUAAAAUACAUAUAUUAGUAAUUAUUACACAUUUACUUAUUAUUUAAGUAAAUAAUUUUAUAUUAUUAUUUUAUUGUUAUUAUAUUAAACUAAUGAAAUAAAAGAUAGAAAAGAGAAUAGAAACAGAAUAGCAUGGACGAAACAGAGAAGGAAAGAAGGAAAGAAAGAAAAGAGAAAAUUGAGGUUUUGAGGUUCUAAGCUCAUUUGGUAAGUCAAUUUAAUCCAUUUUCUCUUAUUUUUGAUGUUUUUGGAAUCCUAGAGAUAAAUACUACUUGAUUUAUGUUGAUAUUUUGAAAGUUAGUAGAUUAUUAGAUGAUGUUCAUGUUGAAUAAAUUGAAGUGUUAGGGGGGUUAAAUUGAUUGAAUUUCAAGUUAGAAGUUAGUAAAGGAUUUAAUUGUAAAAUAAAGUGUAAGUUUUGAAAAGUAGGGACUAAAUUGAAAGAAUCCCGAAAUUAGGAAUAUAUGGUGAAAUUGAAGAGCUAAAUUGAGUUUGUAGUAAGAAUUAAGAGAGAAUAUGGAGUUAGAAUGGGAAAAUAAAAUUAAUAUUGAUAAGGGAUUAAAUUAGAAUUUGGGUAAAGUUUAGGUACAAAAGGAAAUAUUUUAAUGAAAUUGUGUAUUAAUGAUUUUUAAUUGUUUAAUUACGUAGCUAAUGUCGUGCAAGAGUUAUUGUCCGAGAAAGAAAAGGAGAAGGUGAACAAGGAGUGACUCGAGAGAAAUUUCGGUUAGUAUUACCAUAAUUCGAAUUUAAUUAUUAAUUGUUAUAUUUUAAUUAAAAUGCAUGCAGAUAAGUAAAAUUAGGUAAGCAAUAGAAAUGAUAAUAGUGAUUUGGAUUGAAUGAAAUUGAAUUGAAUGAAGAAAAUACGUGAGUAUUUGAAAUGCAUAUUGAUUGAAAAAUAAUUAGUGAUUUGAGUUUGAUUGGAAAAUGAAUUAAAAUAUAAAAUGAAUAAAAGUGAAUUAAAUUAUGAUUAUGUGUGAAUAUGUGAAUUGUGAAUUGAUAUGUGAAUUGGAAAUCGAGAUAUGACAUUUGAAGAUAUGUGAAUAUGUGAAUUGUGUAUUGAUCGAAAAGUGGUUUGAAUUGAAUCGAAGUAUGAUUGUAUGCGAAUAUUUGAAAUAUGUAUUGGUAUUGAAUUGUAUAUUGAUUUGAAAGUGGGAAGUGAAUCUGAGUUGAAUUGUGAUUGAAUCGAAAGUGAAUUUGAAAUAGAAAAAUGAUUUGAAUACCCUAUUAACUAGUCGGGCUGAGUCGGAUAUAGUUGGCAUGCCAUAGAAUUGGAAGUGUUCAGGGAUACUUCGACCUUGAGUCAAUGAGACACUGGGUGUCAUACUGUUACUUCGGAUAGAUUCGAUGAGGUACUGGGUACUAACUUACUUCGGCUUGGCCGAUGAGACACUGGGUGUUACUUUAUUACUUCGAACUAUCCGAUGAGGCACUGGGUGCCAUUCUGGUGUGUUUGGUUGGAUCCGUGUAUCCGCCAAAGUCCGAGUCAAGUUAAUAGGGAUAAAUGAAUAAUUUUGAUAAUAUAAAUUUUAUUGAAUGGUCUUGAAUAUGAAUCGAAAUGAGAUAUUAAAUUGAGAUAUAGAAAUGAAAUGUAUGAACCAAGGGUUCAAGAAAUAGUUAACGAUAUAGUUCAUGAAAUGAUUUUGGUAGUAUGAGAUGAUGUAAAAAUAAAAGUAGAUAAGCAAAUUGAAAUAGCUAUUGCUGAGAAAUGAUAAGUGAAAAUAAAAUGAUUCGAAAUAGUGGAAUUAUAUGUGAAUUUAAUUGAAUACAAGUUAUUGAAAUUUAUUUAUGGAUUUAAUAUAUUAAAUGUUUAUUAAAUGAUUAAAAGUAUAAAUUGAAUAUAAAUAGAAAUGAUAAUGAAUGAGUUGAUAAAUUGAUUGAAUUUGUAUGAAUUGAAAUGAGUUAUUAGAAUGAGAUGUUGAAAAAUCCAAUAGAAUUGAGAUAGUGAAAUAAGGCAUGAAUACAAUUAAAUACAAAAUUGAAAUAUUGCUUAUUGUUAUUAAUUAUCAAGUUGUUUUAAAGUACGAGACAAUUAACGAAUAAUUAUAGACAUAAAUUAAAUGUAUAUAAUUUAUCGAUUAAUGUUAUUAAAUUGAAUUAUGGUAAUGCCACUGAGUAUUCCCAUGCUCAGCGUACGGUUGUUUCCGUGCGCAGGUUAGUAGAAAACCAGUGUUCGGUCCAGCAUCCAGAGUAAUCUCGACCUCAGAGAAAUUUUAGUGAUGUACCUUUCUUUUGAUAACGCGGCAUGUACCUAAGUAAUAUAUAUACAUAAGUGAUGUAUAGGAAUUAAUCAUUUUGAAUGUUUUUAUCUAUGAUAUUGCUAAAGGAAGAUGUGUGAGUAUGUGAUUAAAAUGGUUUAAGUAUGAAUGUGUUUGGUACUAUGUAUGUUUAGGUGAUAAAUCAUGCAUGGAAAUCAUGAAAGAGUAAAAGUUUGCAAAGAAACAGAUUUCAAGCAGCUACAGUGAUGUGACUUUGAAAAAUCACCUAGGAUAGUAUAUAAUGAGUUAGAAGGUGAAUGAUAUAUGGAAUUAAAGCUUGUUGUGUCUAUUUUCAUGGAAAAAUAACGGUUUAACAAAAGGAGUUUUAUAUUUUAAGAUAUGUAAAUUUUCGUGACACAGGGUCAGAACAGUUUUUGGUGUCCCCUGUUUUGAGUUUAGAAAAUCAUUAAAAAUUGUAAAAAAAUAUUUAUGAGUUGUAUUUUACAUGCUUAGAUUCCUUAUUGAGUCUAUUUUCUGUAGAAACAAGUAAUAACUUCAUAUGAAAAUCCUACAAUGAGAAAAUUUAUUUUUAAUGACAAGAGAUCAAGACAGUUAAGUGGUGAAACAUGGGAAACUUUAUCUAAUAAACUGUACUAAUUGGCUGAACUAAAAAUUUUAAAAAUUUUAUGGUAGGAAGAUAUAUGAGUCUAGUUUCAAGAAAAAUUUACGGAAUUAAAUUUCGAGUCUCGUAGAUCGAGUUAUAAUUAAUUUAGUAACUGCUGCACAAUUGGACAGAUUCGCUAUAAAUAGUGAAAUAAAUUUUCAAACAAGUUUUUAUACUCUGAAUUAGUAAGAUAAGUUAAGUAACGCCUCGUGCUCGACUCCGGAAACGGUCUCGGGUAAGGGGUGUUACAGUCUUUUUCGAUUUUCGGCCACUAGAGGCGGCGGUUUCCGUCAUCGAUGACAGGCGAUCAUGGCGGAGACUCGCCGGCCCCAUGAUUGGAGAGAAAGGCAGCUUCAAAAUAAAAUAAAAUGAAAAUAACUGUUUUUUUUAAAAAAAAACUAAAUUAAAAUGAUUUUUUAAAAGAUAUUUUACUUAUAUAAGCCCCCAAAACGGCGUCUUGCUUAAGCUUUAGAUGCCAACACCGUGUCGUUUUGACGCAACCUAACUACUGACUCGACCCCCCACAGGAUUCACGUGUUUUUUAUGUGAGGGGUCUAUUUGCACCUUUAGUCCUUCUGAUUUUUAAUUAUUUUUCAAUCCAAUCCAAUCCUUAUUUUUUUUAAUUUUUACCACGGAAUUUUGGUCCUGUUUCAUUUUAGCCCCUCUCGGAACGGUGCAUUUAGGUUGAUUGGGAUAAUUUCCCAUUUGGCCCCUAUUUCUUUUCACGCAUUUCAUUUAGAUCCUUUAUUCUGUUUUAUUAAUUAUUUUUUUAUUAUUUACAAUUCAUACCCCUUAAUUUCAAUCUGAUUUCAAUUUAAUCCUUAGUUUACUUAACUUCAAUCAUUUUUACAAGCUGUUUUAUUUUAUUGUUAUUUACUUAUUUAUUUAUUUAUUUUCAACCUUUCAUAAUUUAUUUUAUUUUAUUAUUAUUUACUUAUUUAUUUAUUAUUCCAAUUUCAGCCUUUCAUGAUUUUUUUUAUUUACUCAUUUAUUUAUUUAUUAUUUCAAUUUUAGCCUUUCAUGAAUCUUUUUAUUUUUACUCAUUUACUUAUUUAUUUAUUUAUUAUUGCCCUACCUUUUAUUUUGAAAAUUUAUAUUUUUCAUAUUUGUACAUUUUUGCCAUGUUCAUUAUUAGUUCAUUUUUUGUUUUAGUUAUUUUAUUAUUUCUUUUUUUAUUUUUGGCAUUUUCAUGUCAUGUCUUUUAAUCAUACAUCUUCUAAUUUUUAUUUUUAUUUUAAGUUAACUUAUUUAUUUUAUUAUUUUUAUUUUUAUUUUAAGUUAACUUAUCUAUUUUAUUAUUAUGAUUACAUUCUUGCAGCUAUAGUAUCCCUUUAUUUAUUAUUUAUCAUUUUGAUAUCUUAUCCAUAUAGUUAUUUUAUAUUAUUUCAUUAUCGCUAUAUCAUAUAUUAUGUUUAAACAUUUAUCCAUUUUUAUAUUAUAUCUAAAUAAGAUAAAUACGCAUUGUUUUAAAUGUUACAUUUGUUAUUACUUAAUGAAGGAAAUUUUAAAAUUAAGACAAUGUCCAGUAUUUGGAGAUUCGAGAAAUCGUGCCCUAAUUUACAGGGUUCGACUUUUUCCUUGAACCUAGAUAACCGAACAUCCCUUUUAAAAUUAAAACACAUGAGAUUUAAUUGAAUAAUGAGCAAACUUAUUUUUGAGGAUUCGAGAUGUCGUGUCCUAACUUAUGGGAUAUGAUCUUUUCGUUUACCUCUAGAUAAGAAAGCCUUUUACAUAUGUUUUAAUUUAGUUUAGGGAUUUUAAGUUAAAAUAUCAUCAUGCAAGAUGGGAUCAUGUUUUAAAUUCUCUUCAAUUUUUUAAUUUUCAACACUAAGACAUCGAGUAAUCAAUUAGGUACCAAUUUUGAACGUCACGAGGGUGCUAAUCCUUUCUCGUGCAUAACUGACUCCCGAACUCAUUUCUUGAAUUUUUGUAGACUGAAAAUCAUUUUAAUAAAUCAAACAUUUUAUUAAAAUUACGAGGUGAUCCAAUCACACCUCGUAAAAAUGAUUGAUGACGACUCCCAUUUUCGUUUUUAAAAUAAAGUCGAUUUCAAAAAGUUUAGACAGUCCAAAUUUAUAAAAGCUUCUAAUGAAAUAAAGCUUAAUUUGAGAGACAGAAUAAGUAAUAGCAGUACACAUUAUUUCAGAGUCAACACUGGCUGAUCCACAGUUAUAAAUAGGUUGUUCUCUGAAUUUUAAAAGAAAAAAUAAAAUGAAAUGAUAAGAGAAGAAAGAGGGAAAAAUAAAAACUUCACAAUAACAGCAAGGUAAAAUCAAAUUUGGUCUUCAUCAGGACUUCCUCCAAUUUCCUUGCCUCCUUUUUUAUUCUCAUGCUGCUUUCAUUUGCUGCCAAGAAAAACAGAUUGGGUCGGUAUUUGAUACACUACAGUAGAGUUUAAAACUAUACACACCAGUUUUUAUAUAUUCAUUUUGUAUUACAUGCUAGUAUCACACAAUUCUUAUAAUUUUAAUUGUGGAAUUUAAAAUUUUUAAAUAACCAUUGUAAUAAUUAAAAACUUAAGGGACGGAUAAAGCAGUUAUAUAUAUGUCUUGAAUGUAUUUAACUCACUCGUUUCUCUUCUUCCAUCUUGGCCUUGAUGAAAGAGUAGGCGGCCACUCCAGCAAUUGCUACGGCUGUUCCUAUACCAGUCUGAGUUGAAAUCUUGUUUCCUGCACCAAGUAUAGUUCGUUAGAUAUGGUUGCCAGUAUCCUAAAAUGAAGAACAAAAUCAUGGACUCUGCAAAAUUUAUUAACUUACCAAAGACAAUGAUUGAGAAGCCAAUGACAAAUACACGUUUCAGCACGUUGCCCACUGCAUGGGUCAGUGGUGCCACCCGCUCCAGAGUAUUGGUAGCCAACUGAAAAAGAAAAUAAAAACCUUCUUUAGCUUCGGUUGCAUAUUUGAAUAAAAAUAUUAAAUUUGAAAAUAUCACUAAACAUCAAUCAACAAGCUAGUACCACUUUCCUUAGACCUCAUCAUGAGUAUAAUACGGUAUUGUUAUCUUUGAGUGUUAAUUGAUCUCUCAAAGAUUUAUCACUUGAAGGUACGCUUCCUAAAUUCAAACCUAGACGGAUAUUGCUAGUUGAUAGAUCAUGAUAGGAACAUUAACUUGGAUAAAAAUGGUUAGAGCUGUUUAAAAUAUAACUUAAGCUUAAGUUUUAAUAUUCAAAACUUGAACAUAGUUGAACUUAUUUUUUUUAAUUUUGUAAUAUGUUAUUUUUAUUUUAUUUAUAUAUUAUGUAAUUCAUUUCAUAUGAAAUUUAUGUUAAAAAAUACAUUAAGGUGUUAAUGUUUACAAAGUUGAUAAAAGUAAAGAUUUAUAAUUUUAACAUAUAUUUAAAAAUAUUUUUAUUUAAAAAAUUAAAAAUAACAUAUACAAGUUUAAAGGUUGGAUUCAAUCAUUCAUAAAUAUAAACAGAUUUAAAUAAACUAUUAACAGCUCUAACCGGUAAAGAGAGGUCAUGCUUUAGACAGAUGAAGCAUAUCAAAAACAGAAAAUAAACUUAAAACACUAAAUAUGGAGAAAAUAAUUUACCUGAUUAUAGAGAUGGUAGAACAUUCCCACCCAGAAAAGAUCUGAGAUGAACUUAGUCAUACCCACUUUAGCAAUAGCAUCAUUGAAACCAUGCUUCAACAAUUGAGGACCCUCAAACUGCAACAAUCAGAUGGGGAAACACGGAAGGGUUUUAAACAGACUGUGUGCUUAAGCUUUUAACUAUCUAAAAAGCUGCAGCUGCAUGCAUUGAAACCUCUUUUCUUUUACUUACAAUGAGGGCUGGGGGAAUACAGACGAAGAGAGCAAUGAUGGAAAUAUAAGCAUAGACAUUUGUACUGUCCAUAUCCGUCUGCAUAUAUAUGAAAAAACCAACAAUUAUUAUAAUUCAAAGUUAUGAACAAACUGAAAAGUAAGAAGAAGAGGAGAAAGGUCACCAUAGCUUUCUUGGAAUAGAUACUCCUGUAAGUGAAGGAGAUGUUGGAAAUCAUUGCGCUAAUGAAACCCGUCCAAUUGAAUGACAGCUCAGUCAGUGAUGCCAUGGAUACACCUGCAUUCAGUUUGCAAUUAAUUAAUGGCAUUCAAACAUGGUAAAAUUCACACUUUGAACUGGUUUUCAUGAGGUGAUAGAACAGAGAAACAGAGAGAUUACCAAUAACAACAGGAGCAAGAGACAACCAUAGAGUGAUUGGUAUUGAUUGUCCAAGUAUGAACUGGGAAGCAGCAGCGUUGAAGAAAGGCUCAAGAGCUGCAAAAGCAAACAACUUGUUCCUUAUCAGCCUCAUAAGCAAUAGUGCACUAUACAUAUAUGCACAAGAGAAUAAAUGCAUGAUGUAUUACCUUUGAUAGUGUGGGUGAAAGAAACAGCAACAGCUGCAAAGGAGACAUUGCUAGUUACAUGACCAAGUCCAUGGCAUACAGCAACAGGAAUCAACAACUUCAGUAGGUUUGAAUCAAUAGGCUACACACAUGAAAAAAAGAUAACAAUUACAUGGUAUUAAUCAGUUGAAAUUUGGUAUAAAAUUCUCAUAUUUUCUUCAAAAGGUAGCAAUGUUCCAAUCUCAAGACAUAAUGCUACGAAAAAACAUAACCACGGCAGUAAAGUUCGCACAUGCAGCGGUUUGUAAUCACUCAAAUUCCAAUGUAAGGAAUCAAAUGCAAACGCAUAUACAUUAUAAUGGAAAGGAGGAGAAAAUAGGUCUGAUUCUGAUAUUUGUCCUCUACCACGCUAAAAUUUGAUAUAAUUAUAUCUCUCUGCUUUUGUAAUGUUAUUAGUAAGUCCAAAAUAUUAAAAGCAUUAAUUACUACCGCUAAUAAUGUAAAAAUUUUAUAUUGUUAUUUGGUCAUAUAGUUAGGGCCCGUGGAAUUCUAAAAGAAAUUCUAAAUCAUCACUUUUAAUGGGAUCAACUUCAACCUACUAAUAAUAUUAAAAAUAGAAAGAUCACAUUGUGUGAAAUUAAAGUAAAAAAUUUAAAUCUCAAAUUUUAAUAUAAUGCACCGACUAAAACCAGAAUUAGCCCAAUAGUAUCUGUCAGAAAAAAAAAAAAGAAAUAGUAAGUUGAGAUAAUAGACUUGAAGGUUCACUUACAGCCCGCUUAGGGAGGCCUACAGCCCAGCUCACCAAACAGUAAACUACCCCAACGAACAAGUGAAUGACCGAUACAAAACUGCGCCGAAAAUGCCAUGAAAAAAAAUCCUUCAUAACAAAGCCAUGCUAUGAACAAGCAUUGAGAACCCAAAAAAAAUGUAAAAUGGAAAUUCAUGUACUCACUAGGGAUAAGGGAAGUAAUUGUAGAUCUUCUUGUUGAGAAUGUUGAAUAUUACAUUCAAGAAGUACCUGGAAAAAAAUUAAAUUAAAUUAAAUGGAUGAUCGUGUAAUUCAAAAAAAUUGAAGUAAACUUGACGGAAUCUUAACUGCCGUUUUGACUCAUUUGAAAGUGUAUUGUUGAACGGUUUUUUUUUUUUUGUGCUUACGUAACUUACCACAUGAAGAAGAAAAAUCCGGUAACAAGAGCAGGAUACUUCUCGAAGAAUCCAACCGGAGCGAUCUUCCCCUCCCUGCAAUAACACACGAGUCAGUGAGUCAGUGACUGAAGCGUGGACUAGUUGACCGAGUCAGAACGGAGGAAACGGACCUCACCCGGCGGAAUCGCUUCCUCCCUCGGCCGGUGACGACGCGGCAGCCGAAACCGGUUUCAGAACCUCUCGCUUGCUAACCGACGAGCAUUCGAGUAGCAAGGAGGGCCUUAGUUGCCUCCGCCAUAUGACGUUCCCGCCUUCACCGACGGCUCCGAUCGGCUUAGCCGAAGCAUACGAAACGUUGACAAUCCCCGGCGAAAGCUUCGGCCUGAGCUGAGGUAAGCCGGUGAUAACAGAAGCGCGUGAUAACAAUCGCGACUCCAUUGCUAGAGAGAGAGAAAAGGAAAGGAACGAACGAAAAUGUGUGUAUGCUAGCAAGAGUGAGCUCUUAAUGCAGAGACGCAAAUUAACUGUCUCUAUUUUUUUUUUUUAAUUUUUCUCAACUACUAACAUUUUCUAUUUUUGUGGUUCUCAAAUUUCAAAACCAAUUACAUCAUUUUUGUUCCUCUGCAUCCAAACACAGGACAAUAUAAUGAAGCCUCUUACUUCAUCACGUAGAGUCAACGGUGCAGUACCGCAAAAGAACAUAGAAAGAGGGAAUAUGGUUCGGCAAAUAGAGUACUGGGGCUUUUUUUUUUUAUUUGGGCUGAAACGAAGAUUCGAUAGUUAAACCCUCUAAUUAUAGUAUUUAGUGUAUGUAGAUAUGUUCUUUAUAUUUUUAGGGCCCUGAGUAAAAUGAUAAAAUAAGGUCUUAGGUUUCUUAAAAGUUAGAGAAAAAUUUUUUUAGGUCCCUCAAAAGUUGUUAAAAAAAUUUUUGACUUUUAAAAGUUAAAAAAUAAUAAUAAUAAUUUUGGGGCGCUUAAAAAUUGAAAAACAAUAUUUUAAACCCCUUUCAGCCUUGGGCCCUGGGCGGCUGCACCUCUAGACGACCUCCAGAGUCAAGUUUGGGUGUAUGGAGGUUUGCAAGAGCUUGUUGAACAAAAAUCUCCAAAAAAAAAAAGCUAAGAUAUAUAGACAACUUUUUUCACACAUGAUUGAGAAUGAUAUAUGUGGAAUGUCAUAUCUAACCAUACUUGCUCAAAAAUUAAUCUCUUUGUCACAUGCGCUCAAACCUAACGAGAUAUGUGGAAUGAGAUAUAUAUAUAUAAAUAUAUAUAUCUAUUUCGUGAAUAUUUAUGCACUUCUAAUUUAUUUUCAAUUUAUUUGCUUAAAAUGAUUUCUUAUACAACUUUAUAAUAAUUGAAAUAUGCUACUUGACAAAUUUAUUCAGAGUGUGACAUAAUUACCACUAAUUUAUUUACUAAGAACAUGACAUAAUUAUCAUUAAGAAUAUAGUUUACAAUUAUAUUGAUACACUAUUAAUAUUUAUCAAUUUCCACCAAAUAAGGACCUUACAAAAAUUAUUUAUUUGAAUUUUUAAAGAUAUUCACUAAUUAAUGUUCAUGAUGAAUAUUUUAAUUUCUUAAUAAUAGUAUUUUAUUUCAAUAAUUUUAUCCGAUAAAAAAUAAAUUAUUAUAAAUAAAUAAAUACUUAACAAUAAAAUAUAUCGCGUCUUUCAAACCAACUAUAAACAAUUAGCCAAUUGUGGUAGAGUCGUACUUAUUAGAUUCAAGACUAAUCCGAGGGAAUGAAAAGUAAAAGGGUGGAGACAAAAAUUGUGGCUGAAGAUUUAGGGAUGACAAGAUUUUUGGCGGAUGAAGAGAAAAGUAGGGCCGGUUCUUAUCCCCAGUGAAAGGCUCGUGAAGGGAAGAGGAUAUAGUGAUUCUUGUCCAAUCCUUACUGGUCUAUUCCUUGAUUUUCCAUAACAUCCUUAUCUUCUUCAAUCUUUUCCUUUUCUCUUGUGUGGUGAAAACUGAAAAAAAUAAAUAAAAUAUUUUAUUUUUUGUCAGAUAAUACCCAUUUUAGGAUCAUUUUAAAAAGGAUUGGUAAGAAGAAAGAGAUUGGUAGCGAGUGGUACGUAUGAGAAAGGCUGUUGUUGCAUGUAAUUUUCAUUGGGUUGUGGUUAUAGUUCUGACACAUGUACUUUUAUUUAAUAAACAGGACACCUGUUUCUACGAUAUUAAAAUUCGAAAUUAUUUUAUAGAUCAUUUCUAUCAUAUUAUUUAUGGUUUCGUCUAAUUAGAAAAAAGAUAUAUAUAAUCUUUUUUUCUACAUCGUAUAUACACUUAGACUAAACUUCUAAAUCAAAGAUGUUGUAUCUUAUUUUAAUUGAGCGGAACUAUGAAUGAUAUGAUGGAAAGAGUUCGUAAAAUAAUUUAUUGUCUUCAAAUUCAUUUUCAUGUGCCUUAUCAUUUGAGCUUUUCUUUGUUCUUUUUAAUUUAUCAUAAUUUUAAACACCAAACUCAAUAUUUGGUACGAGUAAAGACAAAUUUGUAAAAGAAUUUAUCUAUUCACGUAAAAUAACUUGUAUGCAUUAAUAUCCCAUGUAUGCAUUAAUAUUUCAAUAAAGGUAUCGUGGAGGCGCUUUGUUAGGAUCGUCCCGAAUAAGCAACGAACAAGUAAAAAUAGUAGAAGAAAUUGAUAAGAUGAACACACAAAUUUAACAUGGAAAAACCCCUCAAAAGAGGAUAAAAAACCACGAGCAAAGAUAAUUUUACUAUAAUGGCAAAAGAAUGAAGAGUACAAAAGAUGGAGAUAAAAACUAAACCCCGAAAACUCGAAAAACAAAGAACCCUCAAACGUAAACACAAAAUUCUCUGAAUGUGUUAUGAGUUCUAAUCUAAUGGGUGUCUCUUAAUUCUAAGAUUGCAAAGGAGCCUAUUUAUAGGCUAAAUUAGUAAGUCAAAUAAACUAUACUAAUAAACGCUAAAUAUAUUAUACUAAUAAAUACUAAAUCUUCUAGAAAGAAAAUAUAUUUUUGUUUAACUUGACUUGCAAGCAAUCUCUUAGAAUUUGGGUCACACAAUUCUAACAAUCUCCACCUUGACACGAAUUCUUUCAAUGCCAUCUUUGCCAAAAACCCGCCACGGGCCUAUCUUGAACUAUGCAGGGAAUUAACUGAGUCGAAUCUAUGCUUAGAAGCUGGAAGACUUCUAGCCUUCGACUUGUGCACUGCCAAAUCAAAACUAACCCGGGUCUGAUUUUCACGAAUACAGUGCCCUAACUUUUCAAAACCUGCAUCCAAAAGAGAACCUCUCUUCAACGAAACGGUCAUACCUUUUUCCCUCCUAUGACCAAGUUGCCUCCGCUUCAAAUGAGUUGACUUUGACUCCGUAACGGACGAGGGACGUCCGAUUUCACCUGUAACACCCCUUACCCGUAUCCAACACCGGAAUAGGGUACGAGGCAUUACCAAAACACAUACACUUGUAAACGUAUUUAACCGAGUUAUAAAAUUUCAUCAAAAUUAAAACUAAUACGUAUUUACCAUUUAACUCAAUGUUUAUUGAUUAUACCAUUCAAUAACACAUUUAUGAAAUUCUCAAUUUAGCAAUGAAAAUAUCACUUUAGUUUGAAUAACAACAUCGUCCUGAUAUAAAUACACUACCACUUAUCCAUUUACUUUAAUUCUUUUGGGCCCAUUUGUCACUUACCAUCUUUAAUCAAAUUAGGGAACAGUCACGGAAAAAAAUUGAGUACUUCACUUUCACUUUGCCAUAGUAUAACUAUGGUCUUACGUAUGAUCACUUAUCACUUGUCCCUGAUCAGAUAAGUGUAGCCACCUAUCACUUUGUUUCUUGAUCACAUAAGUGAAGCCACUUAUCACUUUGUUUCUUGAUCAGAUAAGUGUAGCCACUUAUCACUUUGUCUCUUGAUCAGAUAAGUGUAGCUAAAGCUAUCACUUAUCACUUUGUCUCUUGAUCAGAUAAGUAUAGCCGAAGCUAUCACUUAUCACUUUUCACUUGUCACUUGAUCAGAUAAGUGUAGCCGAAGCUAUCACUUAUCACUUUCCACUUGUCACUUGAUCAGAUAAGUGUAGCUGAAGCUAUUACUUAUCACUUUCCACUUGUCACUUGAUCAGAUAAGUGUAGCUAAAGCUACCACUUAUCACUUUAUCACUUGAUCAGAAGUACUCAAAUCCGGCGUUCCGCUCAAUUUGAUCAUUUAUUCAUAUAUCAGGCUUACCAACAUGUGUUAAUUCAUAAACCAUUCAUGGUAUUAUUUCAUGCCAAAUCAUAUACUGAAUAUACCAUACACACAUACUAUGAAACUUUAUUUUCACACAUGAGCUUAAACCAUGACCAAUAAUGCACAAAAAUAAGCAUCAUUCAUAUUUCAUCGUUUAUGAGUUAUAAUCAAACAUAUGACCAUUUAUACACGAAUCAUUCAUAUAUUUCCCAAUUUUCCUCCUCCUCCUCUCCAUUCCACAUCCUUAAUGUGUAUAACACACUUAAACAACAUUAACCAUAAUUUCAAUAUUCACUAACAUGUAUAUUCAAAGCUGUUUAUCCGAGUCAGAGUCACUAAAUUGUUUUUAUCCGGAGCUACAGAGCUCCAAAUUAAGAUACGUUAAUUUUCCCUGAAACUAGACUCACAUAUCUUCAUACCAUAAAAUUUUCAUAAUUUUUGGUUCAGCCAAAUAGUACAGUUUAUUCUUUAAAGUUUCCCCUGUUUCGCUGUCUGACAGUUCCGACCACUCUUCACUAAAAAUUAAUUAUCUCAUUGUACAGAAUUCGGAUGAUGUUUUAGCUUGUUUCUUCUAAAAAUAGACUCAUUAAGGAUUCUAACCAUAUAAACUAUAACUCAUAAUAAUUUCUGUACAAUUUUUAAUGAUUUUCCAAAGUCAGAACAGGGGAACCCGAAUUCAUUCUGACCUUGUCUCACAAAAUCUAUUAUAUCUCAUGAUUUACAAUUCCAUUGCUCACAUCAUUUCUUUUAUAAGAAACUAGACUCAAUAAGCUUUAAUUUCAUAUUUUAUUCAUCCUCUAAUUCAAUCUCUAAAAUUUUUGGUGAUUUUUCAAAGUUACACUACUGCUGCUGUCCAAAACUGCUUUAGUGCAAAAUGUUGAUUUCCAUUUUGCCCCAAAUUUCACAGUUUAUACAAUUCGGUCCUUUCUCAAUUAACCCCUCAAUUAAUCUAAUUUUCUCAAUUAGUACUUUACUAGACAUUAUAAGUUGUUACACAACUAUUGAAAUUCAGAAUUUCCACAUAUAACUCUAUCUUCAAACUCUUUUACUAUUAGGUCCCAAACAUUCACUUUCUAUUCAAUUCUUUCAAUAAAAUCAGCAUAUGAACAAUUUAAAGCUCUAAUUUCAUGCUAAAUCAUCAUAUACUUCCAGCACAUAUUCAUAUCAACUUUCAACUUCUUUCAUAAAAUCAAAAACUAAUGAAUUUAACAAGUGGGCCUAGUUGUAAAAGUCAUAAAAAUACAAAAAUUUCAAGAAAUAGUCAAGAAUUGAACUUACUUGUAAUAAAAAUAUGAAGAACCAGCUUGAAGAAGCCCUUCCAUGGUGUUUUAGCUGAUGAGAAUUCAGAAAAAUGAAGAGAAAUCUAGAUAAUUCCACUUGGGUCCUAACUUUAUUAAGCAAAUUUUGCAAUUUUCCAAUUUUGCCCUUAAUUCUCCUUACUUUCUUGCUGAUUUCAUGCCUCUGCCGUCCAGCCCAAAUAGACCUUGGGUCUAUUUGCUUUUUAAGCCCUCUUCCUUUUAUCAUUUAAGCUAUUUAAUCAUUUCCCAAAAUUUUGCAUUUGUUACAAUUUAGUCCUUUUUGUUCAAUUAAUUAUCGAAACUUUAAAAUUUCUUAACGAAACUUUAAUACUAACUUUUUAACACUCCAUAAAUAUUUAUAAAAAUAUUUAUGGCUCAGUUUAAAAUCCCCGAGGUCUUGAUACCUCAUUUCGAUUCUAAUUAUUUUAAUAUUUAUUUCUAGUGCACUAUUCACUAUUUCAAAAAUUUUCCUAACUUCAUAUUUAACUUAUACUUACUAAAUUAAUAAUAUUUUCUACCCAUUUGUCGAAUUUAGUGAUCUCGAAUCACCGUUCCGACACCUCUGAAAAUUCAAGCCAUUACAUUUUUUUUUCGUCGGAUUUGUGGUCCCGAAACCACUGUUCCGACUAAGCCUAAAAUCGGGCUAUUACAUCACCGGUCACUGUAGAACCUUCCAGAAUAUAAAGACUGCCGGUUCUUUUACCUUUUAACAAAAUGAGAGCUCCACGAGAUACUUUAAUGUCGCUCGACUCGAUGUUGAUUCUGCAUCCUUUCAAGUCUAAAAUACUCAAGGAGAUGAGAUUCUUUCGUAAAUCAGGUACAUACCUGACAUCUGAGAGUGUCCUAAUCGUCUCAUCGUGUAUCCUAAUUUUAACAGUACCAAUACCGAUUAUUUUACUAGAUGAAUCGUUUCCCAUGUGCACAACUCCACCUUCAACUGAACUGUAUGUGGAGAACCAUUCUCUAUUGGGACACAUGUGGAAAGAACAUCCUGAAUCUAGGAUCCACUCAGACGUAAGCUUGGAGUUAUCGCUCGUUGACACUAACAAGAAAUCAUCACCGCCUUCAUCGACCAAAUUAGCACCAGCUACAUCUUCCUCGUUACUCUCAGCAGCUCUUUUAUUUCGCAGUUUAUAACAAUCUGCUUUGACGUGACCUAACUUUUUGCAAUAGCGACACCUUUUGUCUCGUUUCUUUGAUGCUACCAAAACGGAAGCUUGUCUAUCUGCUUUGCUAUUCAAAUCAAACUCAUUGUCGAGUUUGUCUCUACUCAAUAAAUGACCCUUCACAUCUUCGAACGAGAGUUUGUCUCUGCCAUAAAUCAGGGUCUCCCUGAAAGACUUGUAUGAAGAGGGUAAAGAGCACAAUAAUAGCAUAGCUUGAUCUUCAUCGUCAAUAUGAACCUCAACGUUCUUUAAAUCAUUUAAAAGAGUAAUGAAUUGACUAAUGUGAUCUUUAAGAAGCUCACAUUCGUUCAUGCGAAACGUAAAUAGACGUUGUUUCAACACUAAACAGUUAGCCAGAGACUUAGUCGCAUAAAGAGUUUCUAACCUUUUCCACAAGGCGAAUGAGGUCUUCUCCAUCAAUACCUCCUGCAAUACUGUAUUCGCGAGGCACAACUGGAUUGCAGACAAGGCCUUUUCAUCAAGCUCUUCCCAUUCUGUUUGAUUUAGAUUCUCAGGCUUUUUCCCUGUAACAACCUUUUUCAAGCCAUUUUGAACUAGAAUUGCCAUCAUCCGAACUUGCCACAGAUUGAAAUUUGUCUCACCAUCGAACUUCUCAAUUUCAAACCUUGUUGCUGCCAUCUCUGACCGGGCUGAUCUAUGAAAGUUAAACUAGCUCUGAUACCACUUGUUAGGAUCGUCCCGAAUAAGCAACGAACAAGUAAAAAUAGUAGAAGAAAUUGAGAAGAUGAACACACAAAUUUAACGUGGAAAAACCCCUCAAAAGAGGAUAAAAAACCACGGGCAAAGAUAAUUUUACUAUAAUGGCAAAAGAAUGAAGAGUACAAAAGAUGGAGAUAAAAACUAAACCCCGAAAACCCAAAAAACAAAGAACCCUCAAACGUAAACACAAAAUUCUCUGAAUGUGUUAUGAGUUCUAAUCUAAUGGGUGUCUCUUAAUUCUAAGAUUGUAAAGGAGCCUAUUUAUAGGCUAAAUUAGUAAGUCAAAUAAACUAUACUAAUAAAUGCUAAAUAUAUUAUACUAAUAAAUACUAAAUCUUCUAGAAAGAAAAUAUAUUUUUGUUUAACUUGACUUGCAAGCAAUCUCUUAGAAUUUGGGUCACACAAUUCUAACACGCUUGUAUUAAAAGUUAUAUUGCAUUUUGUUGUCUUUACUAAAAAAAAAGUAAAUUAGUUUAAGUACGUUAAAUCCAAAAACAAAUUGAUCAUUCUAUUAAAAAUUUCAUUUAUUUUUAUUAUUAAAAACCGAUACGUGACUUGUCACAUAUAACUAUCUAGUUAUCCGUCGGCUAGAGGCUAGCCUGAAAAAUGAUCGGAUCAAACCUCGGGUAAGGUUUUUUUGGCCCGAUCUCAGCCUGAAUUUGGUUUUUUUUUGCUACUAUUUUCUCACUAUUUUGUUGUUAUUAUUUGGAUAUUGUAUAUCUCUUAUUUUAUUGUUAAUUUUGUUGUCAUUUUAAAGACAUUUGCUUGUUAAGUUGCACCUAUCUUAAUGUUAUUUAAGUAUAAAAACUUUUUUAAAUUUAUUUUAAUGUUUUUAGUGCAUUUAAUGUAUUAUAUAUUUUAAUUUUUUUAAAUAAAAUUUUAAAAAAUUAAUAAGAACAAGUUGGGCCGAGUUUUAUCAUUUUUAUCUAAAUUGAAUUUGAGAAAAAAUUUAGGCCCAUUUUCAAAUCAGGCCUAAAAAUUUGUUAGGGCCUGACCCAAGGACAACUCUACUGUCAACUACACCAAUUUUUAAUAAUAAAAAUGAAUUAUUUUCUUUUAAAAAAGUUAAUUUAUUUUUCGAUGUAAAAAUUAAUUCACUUAUUUUUUAAAUAAAAAGCACAACCUCCAUAACUUUUUACCCAGUGAUAACUCAUUUUCUCAGGUUACUAGGCAUGUUUGGGUACAAAUUUGAUAGGGAAAUUGCAACAAACGGUUUGGCAUAUUGGGUUGAAUACGCAGAUGAUGCCAUUAAGCCCAACAAAACACACAAUAAGCUAUCCAGUAUCAAGCUUAUCUUUUUCAGCUUCUAAAAGAUUGGGCUGUUGAAUUGUUUCAGGUUUGGGCCUUAGAGUUAAUUUCCCUGUUGAAGACUAUAAUUUACUCUCAAUACUUCAAAACCUUCUAAAGUAUCGGUAUCGCAUUAAUCAAGUAUUUUCUUUCGGUUAAUCUAUCAAUUUGUAUUAACUUGGAUAUAAAAAAGAAUAUGGAUUAAUUGUUAAUCAUAUUCAUGCCUAUCGUAUGAACAAUUUGAAUUUGACAUGUCAAGGUCACUAAAACUAUUAGUGAGUUUACGUUUUGAUCAAUCAAUUUCAAAAUGUUACAAAAUGGUUACUAAACUAUUUAAAAGUAUUUAUUUAAGUAGUCGGGCUGUUAAUUUUUAAAAAAAAAUGGUUUAGCUGACAAGCUCAAAGUGACGAUUUGAUGUAUGGUACCAUUAACGAGUUGAAGAAUAUACCUUAUAUUCAAGUCAAUCUAAUAGUUAGUAUUAGAGAUUGAAAAAGAAAAGUAUUUAGAUAUUAGUUCGUAAAUUAACGGCGUUUAAAGUUAUUUUAUAAAAAAAAUUAAAUUAUAAAAAAAAAUAAUAAUAAUAAUGCAAAGAAUACAAAUAGAGAAACUCUUUCGAUAACAAUUUUAAUAGUUUAAAGGGUAUAAUCUCAUAAACGUUAAUUGGCCGACAAAGGAAAGCCAAUUCCAUGGCGUGUGGUAGGGAAUACAACAAACAACAUACUACCCAAAACCCCAAUCCCAACCGGCAACGCCGUGAGCAUCUCCUGAGCUUGUCUCGACGGUGCCGGAUAAAAGCAAUUCACCACGUUCUGAUCAAACAACGCCACAGCCGCGAACACCAGUAUCGACAAAAAAGCAUGUACGAAAUCUAUAAACCGCAACCGGUAUUUCGCCGCAGAUUCCGGCGGUAAAGUGGCCGAACCAUCAAUGACCCACAACCCAUUCAAAGUUGCCAACCCGUAACAAACAUUCCCAUCCUUGUCUCUGAAACUAUCCGUGAAGCUGGUGAAGAAACACGACAACCCACAAAGGAGUAUCAGUCCGGCAGUCAUGGACCGACACACCGAGUCACAGUCACCUUGGUUAGUGAAAAUGGGGGAGAGAAGCUGGAAAGCAAGGACGGUGCCGGUGGGUAAUAAGUUAGCCAAAUGUGCUGUGCUUUGAAAUGUUUGACUGAUUGCUAUUUGUAUGAGAGUUUUUCUUUCGGGUGCGGGUAGUACUGCCAAGUCUUGUAGGAGGUGUUCAUGCGAUUCAUCAUCAGCAUUAGCUUGAAAUUUGAUAUCCAUGGCUGAGAAAUGUUCUUAAAUUUUAUAUAUGUGUAUAUAUAUAUAUUUCUCUGUUACUUUUGCUGAGAAACUGUGUAUAUAUAUAUAUAGAUUAUGGAGGUUGAUCCAUUGAGUAGACAUGUUCUUGAGUGGUGGUAAAGGAAGGGAAGAGAAUGAAGCGAUGCCUUGCAAGGAAAAGCAAGCUUCCAAAAUAUAGAAAAUCAUCAAGGUUCCGCCAUAUCCUGAAAUGGGAGUUUUGGUUUCAAGCAGGGGCGGAUCUAAAGUUCACUAAAAUGGAAAAUUUUACAUUUAGGUGGUUUAUAAUUUAUAAAAUUUUAAAUUAGUAAUAGUAAAAUUAUACUCUUAACUCUCCAUGAUAAAAAUUUGAUUUGAUAUUUUAAAAAUUAUAAAGAUAUAGGCUAUUAAAAUGAUAAAAUUGUAUUUUUACUAUCAUAAAAAUAUAUAAUUUAAUUUCGCCUCCCAAAUUUCUAACUUCACCAUUGCCCCCAAGUCAUAUUUUUGGAUCCGCCACUGGUUUCAAGAUUUUACUAGCAUAAAAUUUACGGGGAAAUGAUAAGUAGCUAGAUAUUCGAGUAUCGUGGAUUGAGAAAAAAAUAAUGUCCGGAGAGUUUUUGAGUCCAAUUCCACUCAAGUUUGAAUUUAGUCAUAGCCUAAUAUAACUACUCCAUGUUCGAAGUUUCGAUUUAGUUCAAUUCUGGAUAUAGUCUAAUUUAAUUACUAAGUUUUUUAGAAAAAAAAGUUAAGAUUGAUUGAUACUAACAAUUAUUGGGUCGAGUAGUAAGAAUUUCAAUAUCACCUAAAAAAGGUAUUAUGUUUGAGUCUUAUGAACGAGAAAAACAACAUUAGAAAGAUGUGCCUCAUUUUAAGUUCUAAUCCAACUCGCCUUCAGAUUUAACAAGGAUUCAAUAUGAUUGCCGAAUAUGGUUAAUCAAAUAAGGGUUUGAUUUGGCUCAACAUUGAAUUUAGUUGUAACCCAAUAUGACAGGUCAUUUAGGGAUUCAGUCUAGCUCAACAUCUAAUUUAAUCGAAGUCCAAUACAAUUACCAAGGUUAUAGAUAAAAAUGUGAUUAAAAAGACCAAUUAAAACUAAUGAUUAUUAGGUGGAGUAGUAAAAACUUUAAUGCCCCUUUUAAGUAAUAUCUUAUGUUUGAAUUUUGUGGACAAAAAUAACAUUAAAAAAAGUUAUUCAUUUAAAAAUUAGGGUAAACUAUCCUAUUAGUCACUUUAAAUAUGAAUAGUUUCUAUUUUGGUCACCCUAAAAUAGAAAUUAAUCAAGUAUGUUACUCCACCGUUAAAUGGUGACUAAUGGUGCAUUUCUACGUUAGUCACUGUAAAUAGGGGUUAUUACUAUUUUGAUCACUCUAAAUUUUUUGUGUAUAACUACGCUGUUAGUCUUCCAUUACCAUUUAACGGUAGAGUGAUCAAUUUAACCAAUUUUAUUUUUGGAGUGAUCAAAUUAACAAAAAAAAUUGAGAUGACGAAAAUAAAAACGGCCCCUAUCUAGAAUGACUAACAUUAGAAUUUACCCUAAAAUUUUAGGGUUAAUGUCUUUAUAUAAGAGAGUUUGGAGUGAAGGUUUCAAUGGACCGACUUUUAAUGAAAAAUAUAUUUGAUUUUCCAAAUGAGAAGUGUGUGUUGCUUAUGGGAAAGUCAGCAGAUGUCAUUCUUUUUGCCGAGACGCAAUGCAUAAUAUAAACUACAUGUGAACCGGCAAUCUUUUCCAUUUUUAUUUGUUUAUGGGUUUAUCUCAAUGCUUGUUUUAGAGGCUAAUAUUAUUCUCUGCAAUUUCAAGCUGCCUUUUUAUAUAACCAUCGCUUGCACGUCAUAACUACAGAUUACUUACAGAUUAAUGGGCGGAGAGACUUUGUGAUGUGCUGCCCUUCGGGUUGGGGACGCAAUCCCUGCCUAAUCCCACUAUAACUAAUUCAUAACUUGAUAAUCCCUUGCUUGAUUUAUCUUAUGGUCAAAGCUUGAUUCAAGUGAAGGUUGUUCUUGUUUAUCUUCGAAUUAGGUUGUAAGGCUUUUGGUCUUUUUCUAGAAAAGUUUUUUGAGAUGACGUCUCUUUGAAAUUGAUAGACCCCUCAACAUAUUCGAUAUUGUUCUUAGUUGAGGUUUUGUCUCUCAACCCCACGGAAGUUGUCCAAAAGAAGUGGUGGACUCAAUAGAGUGGAGCACCUCGUCGAGUGCUUGAAGAGACGAACCAUGCACCACACAAUUUACAUAGACAUGAUCAUGGGAGGUUUGAGCAAAAAUGGGUUUAGGCAACAAAAAUAAGAUUAAAUUAAAAAAUUGUUUGGGCCUUAGAUAAAUUUUUUUGGCUUGGGCCCAGCUCGAAUUUGUAAAAAAAAAAUAGUGCUGUUUUAUUUUAAUGUUCUUAGUGUAUUUAAUAUAUUAUAUUUUUUAAAUUUAUUUUUAUAUAAAAAUAAUAUAAAAUUUUUUAAUACGGUCGAGUCAGGUCGGACUCGAAUUUUUACUUUUUUAUUCGGAUUGAGCUUAGACAAAAUUUUAAAUUAUUUUACAGAUCAAACCUAUAAAAUGAACCUAAAAUAUUACAGCCCGACCACGAUCACCUCUAAAUUCACGACCACGAUUACCUCUAAAUUCACAUAAUUAAGAAGUUUUGGUCGAAUAAUACUUAUGAAAUUAGGUAAAUACACAAACCGACUGUAAAACCCUAAAAGGAGGCCAUUUCUUGUUUGAUCAUCAUCCUUUAUUUCCCAGACAAAUACAUUUUAAAACGAAAAGUAACUUCCCAUCAAAGCAGUUUACGUUUUAGUGCUUUUAGAUUUUAUCAAUGGAAUUAAGGUUAAAUUUGCAUUUUUUUAAAAUUUUUUUUUAAGUUUUAAGCAAAGAAACUAAAUAAAUUCUGUGUUGAUAUGAUAGUUAGAGUAUUCACUGUCCCAAAUCAAGUAUGACUUGGGUUCGAAUUACCCUGAUCGUGUUAUUAUUAGUGUUCUACCCUCUUCUUAUAACUAAAAAAAAAGCAAAAUUUUCAUUUUUUAAUCAAUUGGAGGGCGAAUAAAUAAAUUUCAUCUUCAUCUACUUCCAAUUGGGUUUGGCCCAUUUUCUAGAAGCAACCCAACAAUGAUGAAACUCGGCCCAUAUCAUAAAAAUUUCCUUUAAAUAGAAAGGGAUAAUACCACAAAUAGCCCUAAACUAUAAUAAAUCUCUCAAUGUGAUACUUAUUUUUUAAAAAUUACAAAUAGCUAAAGUUUCACUUCGUCUAAUAAAGUGGUACUUGUCAUUAUUGUGAUUAAGAAGAAAUGGUAUGGCAAUACAUAAUGAUGCCACAUGUUAAUACAAAUAAUUUUAAAAUGCACAAAGGGCAUAUUUUACGAUGCUAUGUGACGUCAUUACGUGGUGAUAUGUGUUAAUAAAAAAAUAAUUAUUUUAAUUUUAUAAUUUUUAAAAUGACAUGUGGUACUAUAAAAAUAGUGUCGCGUGUCAAUGACACCACAUUGAGAUCAUUGUGUGGUGCCACAAGUCAAUGGGGUCACUUGGUAUCAUUAUCAUGGUGUCCCGUGACAUCUUUUUUUAUUGAUACGAGACACCACGAUAAUAGUACCUUUCUAAUAGACUGAAUAAAGUUAUAAGUAUCAGAAUUUUAUAAUCGAUUGAACCGUCAAUUUUUUAUUAUCUCAAUUUAUGUUUUUACUUAUUCAUAAUGGUUUGCUCUAUUUCUAAUUAUAUAUAAUUGAUUUUCAAGUCAGUCAAAUCAAUUGGUCGGUUUGAUUCUUAGAACAUACCUAUAAGGGUUACAGGGUUGGACUUUAGCCUAGCAAACCGCGUGAUCUUAGAUAAUAAAUUCAUUCCAAAUCUACCUAAAUCAACCCAGGCCCUCAAAAAGUGAGAAUCUCAACUAAAAUUCUCUAGCGAAAUGAUGCUUUACAAAAGCAAGUGAAGCAAGACACAAAAAAAAGAGAGAGGAUGAGGAAAGAACACAACUUGAUUCCAUGUGUUUUAUAACUUCUCUGAACCUCUAAAUGCAAAUUGAGUCCCUAAGUGAUUAUAGAUGAAAGGACAAUACCUUUAUUUAUGGUUGAGCUCCCUAAAAUUCAACGAUACAAAAUGACUUACAUAAACAAUUGAUAUUAAAGUCAAACUACAAUAUGAAAGUCUCAAGGGAUUUAAGUUCUAUACAAUCUUAUCGUUCGGGCUACAAAAUUGCCCUUGUUACCAGAUUUCAAAUAAAUGGAUUUUUCUUUAUAUUUCACGAAUCGAGUCAAUCUUGAUGAAUUAAGUGAUAUACAAUCUUAUGUGCGUAUUAAUCAUGAGCUUUGAUGCGUGUGGAAAAAAAAGUAUAUUCUCUUUUGGUGUGGGACAUUCGCAAUCAUUGUUCAAAGUUAAUUUCGAGUUUACAUUUACCAUUAAAUUAACAAACUUCCACACCCACCUCUAAUAUACUUUUUUACUUAUGAGCAUUGAUCAUGAGGCUAUUUGGUAUAACAUGGAUAUGAUAAGACAUAAUGAUACCAUAUGCAUGCCUAAUUUGACAUCCAAACUUUUUUUUUUUAUGAUGUUCUAAAUUGAUGUGUAUUUUUUUUGCCCAUCAAUUUAUUCUAUUUUGGUAAUUUUGUACUUUGUGUUAACAAGUAUUAGCUAAAAAAUAAAUAGGGAAAAUAAUCAUCAUGAUUUCCAACAUUAAUUAUUAUUUCUAAUUAUGUUUUUAAGAUACAAAUAAUAACCUAAUCAAAAUGGACCCUUAUAGUAACUUUGUUUUCUUCUAAGCUAUAUAAGAUAAAAUUACAAGAGAAAUUGUCAACUUUGUUAUUUUAUUUUAUUUUGUAUUUAAAAGUUUAAAAGUGAAAUAUCUUCAGUCAAUCAAAGGUGAACAAGAUUGAAAUUUGAAUGUUUUAUUUACGUGAAUGGUUUAAAAUAAGAUUUUCCAGGGAGAUCUGAUCAUGGGUCGGGGUAUUCGUUUAAAUUUAAAGAUUUGUUCGAAAAGUGAGAGGGUUUGAGUAAAAAUAUAAGUUCAAAAAAUAUACUUGGACAAAAAAAAGGCCUGUUUAGAAAGCGGGUCAGGCCUCAGGUAAGACUUU
rnacentral:lncRNA from 1 species